rnacentral:lncRNA from 1 species
GAGAUCGCGAACUUCCCUAUGCCGGUAUCCCUCCAGAAGCUACCCGAGCUCGGGACGCCGACCACCUCCUUCAACCUCCAGGGGGCCGCGAAGGCUCGGGUGACCAUGUCGCGAUCGGAGGCGACGGAGCUCCAGAUGCGGCAGACGCAGCUCGCGCGGGCCAGGUCCGGGACGGGGAGCUUCUCGAAGAUGAGCCGGAGGGUGUCGUGGCAGGCGAGGGCGGAGAAGUGGGAGUUCAUCGGCGAGAUGGUGGAAUCGUCGGCAGCGGAGGCGGAGGAGGAGGCGGAGGAGGCGGCGGCGGCGGCGGCGGCGGUGGAGGACGGCAGCGGAGAGAGAUCGGGGGUCCGGGGUGGAUGCUCCCGGUCGUCGUCGUCGUCGUCGCCGCAGCAGACCAUUUAGAGAGAGAGAGAGAGAUGGAAAUGUCUAUGGAGUCGGUUUUGAUGGUUUUGGAUUUUUGGUUUUGAAUGGUGGAUAGUAGGUGCCUGAAAUAUCGUUGAAUUAAGGUUUUUCCCCCCGUGUUAUGGAAUUUAUUACAACUUGCCCCUGACUUUUCGAUUUUUUGCGAUGUCUCCCCUAAAAUUUGAAAUCGGUUGCAAUGUCGGACUGGGGUGACUUCCAUUACUUUUCAGUUUGAGCACCGACCGUGUGCUUGUCACGUGACUGAGAUCUUUCAGGGAAGGUAAACCCGUCAGAUGAUAACGGAAGAAGUAUACUAUAUGUGCCAUAAGUUAUGUAUGGCAUUCACUUUGAUGCCAAAAGUUUCCGUCGAAUUACUUAAGUGCCAAAUCGGAGGAAAAACGAUCACUUUGGUGUCACCGCUGAAAGAUUCCAGCCAAAAUGAUUAUGUGGCUUUUUAAAAUAAAAUAAAAAAAUCGACAAAGCCUUAAACGACGUCGUUUUCGGUCCUCCUUAAGAAAACGACGUCAUUUUGUCGUCCUACAUGGAUGGCCUCACAGAAACGACGUCAUUUAACUCAUUUUGGGAUUUUUUUUUUUCGGAUUGAAAUUAGGGUUUUUUGUCCGCCAUUGCUCAGCCACCGUCGCUCGACCGCCGUCCCUCGGCCACUGUCGCUUGGCCGCCAUCCCUCGACCUCCAUCAUAGUUGCUUGCCACAGCAAGACAAAAGAAAAAAAAAACGAACAGAAAAUCCCAAGGGAGAGGGAGGUGUCAACGGUGAGGGUGGAGGAGGGAAUGGCGGGGCCAUGGCCGCCACCGUCAUUGCAGCUAGCUUCGCCGACGACUUCCAUGGCGUUCCAGAUCUUCGUAGCUACCAUUAGCCAGAUUGCUCGUGCUUCUAGAGAUUCUUCAAGCUUGCGCUUCCUUUGCACCCGACGGUAUUAUUUGGGAAAAGGCAGUGGAGGGGCUGAGAUUCGGGGAUUUGAAAGGUCGACAAGGUGAUUGAAAAUGGGGGAAAACUAUUGGGGGAGGGCAAAGGCGAGUGUGUGAUUUCUUUUCUGGAAAACUCCUAGUGUUGUGUUGGUGCGCUGCUGGUGUUGCUGGUGCUAUUCUUUGGUGCUAGUAGUGUUGUUCUUCGGGGAAGAACCAGUCUUCAAGGAAGAAGACAACACAAAACGGCGUCGUUUUGUUGUUUAAAUGCUGAUUAUACUCUCCGACAAGCCACAUCAGCUUAAAAAAUUAAUAAAAAAGUGCCACGUCGAAUUUCCGGCCAAUCGGAUUGGAGUUUUUGAAACCCUUCACCUCUGGGCUGAAAAUCAGCAGGGCCUUAUCCAGCAGAGCCAUCGCGACUGGUGGUUCUCUUCCACUUUUUAUUAGCUAUAGAAAUAAUAAAAUCAUUUCCUUUGGUUUAUAAAUAUAUUGCUCACACAAAAACUUCAUGAAAGGAAGUAGUUAUACCAAUUUGGUAUUUUUUUUAUAAUAUAACUAGACACAUCAUCAUGUUGCAUGAAAAUCUGAUAAUAUAAUGUUCGUAUCAUGUUCCUAUAGAUUGAUGUUAGUGCUAAACUAUCGUGUCUUUUAUUUAACAAUUAAAAUGAUUGACCUACUGAGUAAUCACUUUAAUAUGUGCUAACAAACAAGUUCUACAAGUUCUAUUGUCUCUUGCAAUGUUUAGGACUUCUAUUUGCAUUUCUUAAUUUGCUUUUGACUUACCCUCAAUAAUAAAUUUCGCAUUUGUAGAAAUGAUACACAAAUCUUUUAGUUGAUUACAUAUGCCUUUGAAAGUUUGGACGAAGUUUGGAGGCUGUAAUCAAAAUCAAAUGCGAAAUUUAUUAUUGAUUAAUUAUUUUAAAAGUAUGGGUUAAAUUUGUAAAAAUGUAGAAAACAUAGGCCCCUUGUGAAAAUUGGCCCGAGCCAACACUAGGGGGAGGCUUUGCAACCAAUUUCAAGACUUGAGGGAGCAUUGCGAAAAUUGAGAAGUCAUGGGGCGAUUUGCAACAAGUGCCAAGAUCUAGAGGGACGGGGUGUAAUCCAUUCCUCAAAUUCCGAUGCCGCGAAACACUUUUUCUUUGCAAUUUUUUUUUCUCAUUUCUAGUUUGUGGAGUUCUUCUUCUGCACAUAAUGAGAAAAAUACGCACGCGAAAUAGUUUUCGAUGAUGAUGACCAUAUUUUGAAUCACUUGUCGCCGGAUUUUAACCGUUUUGCCUAUACAAAAAGGCAAAAAUAUGAUUCGUUCACAUGUCUAUUGAUUUUGAUUUUAAAGAAGAUACACUAUGACAACUAAACAAAAUAUAAUGUUGGCCUAUGUUUGAUAACGUCGACUCAUCUUUGCUUAAAGUAUCAUGAAACUGGCAAGCUCUCUUUUUGAGUUUAAGUGUAACGUAACUUCAUGGAAGGAAAUCAUACUACUGGCUAGCUUUUUAAUCUUGGGAUCAAUAAAUGUUUAGAUGCUAGGUUCUUUUCACUUCAUUCUGGAGAGUAACUUCAUGUUUUAUUACUAAAAACCAGAAAAAAGAAAAAAGAAAAAAAGGAAUAGUAGGCUCUAGACAUUAAUAUUUUGUAUCUGGCUUUACCCUUACUUUCAUACAAAAAAUAAAUAAAUAAGAUUUAAUUAGCACGGGUGCUAUGAAAGUUAUUACCAUGUGGGCAAAAUCGGCACUACUACUAAGGCUGCGUUUGGCAGUCGGGAUAAAAUUCAGGAUAGGAUAUAAUUUAUCAUAUCCUACGUUUGGUGCUCACUCGGGAUAAGAUAAAGUCGGAUAUAAGGGGGAUAUAGACAGGAUAAAAUUAUCCCAUGGGGGAGGUGGGAUAAAGGUGGAUAGGAUUUCUAACGUCUAUAAUAGGAAAGUUAUUUUUCUUGAAUAACAAAUUUAUUAAAUUAACAAAAUUGAAAUUAUAUUUCAAUAUAAAUAAUAUUUGAAUUCUAAUUUAAGAAAAUAAAAAAAAAUAAAAAAUUAUUUUUAAUUAAUCUUAUUUUAAUUCUAUUUUAUAAUAAACAUUCAAUCUAUAAAAUUAAAUAUUUAUAUUUAUUAUAUAUUUUAGGUAUUUUUUUAUUUUAAAUAUGUUAGUACAGUUUACUAUUUGAUAAUUUUUUAUUAAAGAAUGAUGAAAGGGAAAAAAGAAAUAAUAAUGAAAAUAAUAUAAAAAAAGAGGAAAAAUAAAAUAAAUAAUAAAUAAAUUAAGGAAUAGUGUUACAAGAUAUUUUCACCAUAUUCAUUUAUAAACAUUUAGGUUCAUUUAUAAUGAUAUGCCGUUUAUAUAUAAUAAAAAAAAAAUAUACAUGAUAUGAACAUAUCCGACUUUAAUACUGUGAUUCACCAAACACUGGACGGGAUAUAAAAAAAUCCAGGAUUUCAUAUCCUAUCCUAUCCAAUCCUAUCCCGAUUAGAAAUCCGGACGACCAAACGUAGCCUAAAGGUCUGUUUGGCUGCACAUGUUCUGUUCCCAGGAACAGAAAUUUCUGUUUUUUUGUUCUUUUGUUCCCAGGAACAAAAAGAAACNNNNNNNNNNNNNNNNNNNNNNNNNNNNNNNNNNNNNNNNNNNNNNNNNNNNNNNNNNNNNNNNNNNNNNNNNNNNNNNNNNNNNNNNNNNNNNNNNNNNNNNNNNNNNNNNNNNNNNNNNNNNNNNNNNNNNNNNNNNNNNNNNNNNNNNNNNNNNNNNNNNNNNNNNNNNNNNNNNNNNNNNNNNNNNNNNNNNNNNNNNNNNNNNNNNNNNNNNNNNNNNNNNNNNNNNNNNNNNNNNNNNNNNNNNNNNNNNNNNNNNNNNNNNNNNNNNNNNNNNNNNNNNNNNNAAAAAAUAAAGAAUAAAAAAAUUAUCCAAAUUUACUAAACAUGUUUCUGUUUAUUUUUUAUUCCCGGAACAAGUUUACCAAACGCGUAUUUUUGUUCAAAAAUUGUUCCCCGGGAACAGAAAUACUUUUUUCUAUUUCUGUUCCCUGGAACAAUUUUUAAACAGAAACACAACCAAACGCGCCAUAAGCUUCUUUGUUUGGUGUCUUCCGCAGGAACCAAAUUUUCUUCUGUGUUGGCAAAAACUAAACUAUUCUUUAACAAUAACGAUCGUAUCGAUCACAGUAUAUGCAGAGGUUGAUUGAAUUAAACGGAUUGAAAUCUUAAUAGAAAUCGAUUGAAACUUUUACUCUAUAUAGAUUAGAGUGAAAAUAGAAGUUGCAGCUCCCUACACUUAGAUCUCCACCUAUCGUUAGAUCAAAUUUGAACUAGGAUGGAAUGAACAACUUAUGAGCAUUAGUGUGGUUUCACGUACAGUUCCAUGAAAGAAAAUGCAAAAUCUGUAAAUGUAUCUCUCAUGGAUAAUUUACUUGGAAUUAGAUCCUAAAAACUGGUGAGGCUUUGAUAAAUCACGUCUUACACUAUAUAGGAGUAAAUAUACUUGUUGAUAAUAAUUGGGGCUAGGUAGAGAGAGAUUUGCGAGAAUGACAAAAGAUAGAUUCGUGUAGCCUUUAAUAGAACUUCAUGAGCAUUGACGGAUUGAUUGAGUGAUUAAACGUUUGAUUUGGAUGCAAUAGAUUUCAUAUUCAAAUGGUAACCUCAGAGGCCAUACCUGUAAUCUAAUACACAUAGAAGUGGUGGUUUGCAUUCAUAUGUGGGAUCAAUUGAGCCAAAAGGGUUGGAUAUCACGUUUUUAUAAAAAAAAAUCAUAAGAAAAUUUUAGACCACUGUCCAACUAUCUUUAAUUCUUAAUUGAUAUGGUAUGGUAAGCACUUGGUUAAGAAGAAUUCCAGGGCAGACGACUCCUACAUUUUGCGCUUUAGAUCUGGAUUGUGCAAGCAAGAACUCAUGCAAACUAACUCGCCUUAAGUUAGCGAUGGUUUACUUGAUACUACGCCAAUGAAAUGGAGUCUACUUAUCAAAGGCCCAUGAGUCAAUUGAUUUUCAUGAGUAAGAACACAGAUGAAUGAGAAAGGGCAGAUCCAGAGCAAUCCAAGCAACGGGAUGCAUCGCAUGAAGAAGAGAGAGGGCCAACUGUGACAACGCCCGAAACUAAAAUAGCCGACGGAGCAUCCGCGCCCUCAUUCAAGAGAUUUUUCUGGACAUUGCUUACUUUUUCAUUGGAAAAAUAUUACUUUUUAACUUAUAGGGAGCAAAAAAGAUUCAGGCCAUUUGGCUUGACAAAGGCUCAGAAGAAACAGAUGACAAAGAGGACCGGACAUACACAAAUGAACAAUUCAGGAAGUUAUUGAGGUUAAGGUUCCUCCAAGCGAGGGAUGAAAAUUUUAGCGGAGAUUUUGAGAAGCUAUUUCUUGAAUUAAGAUGGCUUCAGUGGACAGGAUGUCCUUCAUCUUUCGAGGCGACCAACUUGCAUAUGGAGAAACUAUUCAUGCUGGGAUUGACACAAAGUGCAAUUACAGAACAUUGGAAUGGAUGGAGCUCAAUCAGGAUAAGCCGGAACGACACAUCCUGAUGUCAUGUUUCUAAUACUGAUUACUCCUUGACGACUAAUUCCCACUAUACUCUUUGUUCUUAUAGACGGCGAAGUGGCUCAAAGUUUGGAACCUUAGGUGUGGUCAUUUACCAUGUACUCCCGGCUAUCCAAAAUAUAGAAAUUCUCAUCCUUAAAGAAUGUGAACACCUGGAGCAAAUUCACCCUUCUAUUAAUGAAUUAGGAGAAUUGAAGGAACUUGUUUUGGAUUCGAUUGCUACAAAAGAGAAUCCUGCUAUUGUUUCUCUGAGGAAGCUAGAGAAGCUCAGUGCCAAGCGUUGUUUUGCUCUGGUUCGACUUUCGGACUCCAUAAGCCAUCUGGCGAAUCUGUUGACCCUCGAAUUUAUGCAAUUGUCAGGGAAUGGCCAAACUUCCAAGCAACAUUGGGUACCUCAAGAAGCUGCAGAGCUUGCCAUUUGGCGCAACUUCCACACUCUGUUGCCUAUCAACAUAGAUCCCAAACUCCAUUGGGAAGAUGGAAUCCCUGACUAAACUCGACCUGUCCAGCACAAGCAUAACAUAACUACCAUCUUCCAUAGAAGAUUUGCAUAACUUGGAAAUCCUGAAGAUUUCUACUAGAUUGAAAAGUUGCGAGGUGCAAUUGGAAGGUUGGGGAAACUCUUGCAAUUGGAUGCUUCAAGUUGCACUAGAAUAGAAGGGGAAAUUCCAAGUGAUUUUAACAACUUGUCUUCACUCGUGAAGCUUCUAACAUAUACAUCCAUUUCUGGCUUGCCAGAAAGCACUCAGAAUCUUUAUUCUCUGCAACAUCUUGACUUAGGGGGCUGCCAAAAGCUUCAAUCAAUGCCUGAACUUCCUUCUGGGUUAGAUUUUCUGCAAGUCACUAAGAGUUUUUGCCUCCACUUUUUUACCAAAUUCAUCUAAGAGAACUCACUGUUUAUGAUUGCAUAUCGUUGGAAAAUCUCCUAGAGCUUCCUCCAAGACUAUUGAAGCUUCACGUCACAAGAUGUGGCAAGUUGAAAUGCUUGCCAAGAUUUGAGCCUCGUGAAUGCCCCAAAAUGAUGCAAAGCGAACGCCGACACGUUGCAAUAUCCCCAACGACGUUGGCCAUAGCAGGUCGCAUGAAGUUGACUAAGCUGGAUGGCCUUGGACAAUGUGCAAAGUCCCUAAGAUGCAUGCCAAUGAGUGAGAACUAUGGAUCAAGCACUCCAUUAGAUAUGGAAGACAAUCUAGUCGAAGUUCAAGGUCUUGACAAGUUGAAGCACUUGGAAGAAUUGGAUGUAGAUUUUUGCCGUUUUAUUGGAAGACUGGACCUUCCAAAACCAAAUCAUCUGAACGAUUGAUUGCUAGAUAUUGCAAAAAUCUAGUUGAAAUUCGAGGCCUUUAUCAUUCAGAGUUCUUGGAAGCACUGCAUAUCACUGAUUGCACGUCCAUUUUGAGAUUAAACCUUGCAAAAUCAGAGCAUCUAAAGGAAUUGAAGGCCACAAAUUGCAAAAGUCUAAUUGAGAUUUAAAGGCCUUGAUAGGUUGAAGUUCUUGGAAAAGUUGGAACUCUGGUCAUGCAAGUCCCUGGAAAGAUUACCAAAACUGUCGUGCUUGGAGACCCUGAAAGAGUUCAACAUCAACUGGUCCAUUGUCUGACCAAAAACAACGGAUGCAUUGAGCUUCGUGAUAUUGAGUCUGGAGAAUUUUUUGUCCUGCCAAAGCAUAUAUAUGGACGAAUGUCCAUCCUUAAAGAUAUUGCCAAACCUGUCAAAUUUCGAGAAUUUAGAGAAGCUCACCAUCAGGAUUCGCUUGAUAUUUUGGAGAUACUCGGAAUUGAGGAUUUGAUAUCUCUGACACAUCUAGAUAUCACAUGAUGCAAGUCAAUCAAGACUUUACCAGAUUUGUCGACAUGUAAGAUGUUACAAUUUCUGGUGGCCCAAGACUGCGACAAACUUGCCGAACUUCGAGGACUUGAAUUUUUGGGUUUGAUGUAUUUGGAUUUUUCUGGAUGCGACUCACUGGGAGCAAUACCGAACUUUUCUAGAACACACGUCAUACAGGACUAUGAAGAAUGCCCAUAUGAUUAUGGCUUACCAAUGAUUGAAUUCCGAAGGUAAUGAUGUGAUAAAUCAUGUAUUACAAUUGUGAGACGAUUGAUGCUUCCCUAAACUAAGGAAAAAGAGCAAGUAAAUUGUCGUUCUUUUGAUUCUUACUAACUUUUUGCCAAGAACAUUUUCCUAAACAAUCAGCUCUCAGAUUUUUCAUUAUGAUCUCGAAGCAUUGGAAUUUUAUGCUACGCAAGGCAGAUUUGUUCCCUUGAUGCUUGUCCUGGACAUUCCAACUUGGCAAAGUUAAUCUCAUCCAUACCAUAUGUGCUCGUGGUUUUGAUGUGAGCGAGUUAAAUCAAUCAAGAAAACUAAUAUUCCAAUUUUGCUGCAAACUUAGUCUUAUGAGUUAGCUGCCGCAAGUCCAAACAACUCCAAGAAGUCAGGAAUGACCAACGUACUAGCCACAAAGAACGAUGCUCAAAGCUUGUGGAGUUAGUAAUGCUAUCUUCCAUUUGCCUGAACUGAGUUGACCACAAAAUGCACUGAAAAUCUCAAAAAAGAAAAAAAAAAAAAGAGGAAGGUAAUGUCUUUGAAGAUAGAAGAUAACAAACGAAAUCGUGAGGAUUGCAGCUACCGCUGCUUCCAGAGACUUUUCAUGUAAACUCCGGUGCUGCCUCCUCUGUGGUAUGAUGACUAGUUCCUAAAAAAUUUGAUAUAAUGCCAAAGUUUUUGUAAAAACAGCGAGCUGUCAAUAUUGCCAAUUUUCUGAGACCACACGAUUUAUUCGAAAGUAUAAGCUAGCACAGGUUCAUUUUUCCUACUCUCAUAUCAGCAGCAUACCGAUGUCUGGUUUUCCAAUUCCCCAGGAAAUGAAGAUUUCUUCUCUUUGCAGGGGUUUAUACCAAUAAAUUAUCGAUACUCUUUUACAUUGCCAAAAUUUCACAGUUGGCAUCAAAACUGAAUUGCAUAUUAAGCUUAUUAUCGAUAAGAAAAUUAACGUUAGAUUCACUUAUAACGUGUCAGCUAGAGAUGUCCAUCACUUUUCUGACUCAGUUUAUUGAGAGGGAUGACAGUUUUCAUUGCUCAAGCUUUUCCUAGGUGUUUAUUGUUGCACUGAAAUUUAAGUGUGGCUGGAUAUGAUUUUUACUUUGCCAGAGCUGUCACUGUGUAUCAGCAACAUCUGGAACUCCAUAGAUUCCUUGCCGGUAGGAAUGUACACCUGCACCAUCAAUAUGGAGUAGUUUAAUAGCACUUCGCAGCAUGAUCAAGUGCCAUUCAAUGGCUGUCCACUAAUUUGCGUAAUUAUCGUACCGGUAUUUACAUGUAAGUAUGUAAGGUACUUCCGUGCUUUUACUCGUGAAAAGUGAGGGAAAAUUAAUUGCUUGCUUUAGUAUAGUUUGGCAGUUAGGAUUGCUGGAGACUCUUGAAUUACUCAUCUAGUUCCUGAUUUGCUGAAUCAUUAUCACAAUUUUCUUACUGAAGAUUGGACAUCCUAGCGAUUUGUCAGCCAGCAAUUUCUGCAUAAGCGAGAUUUUUGCUAUUUUAGCAAAAAUAACUUCAAAUGGCACUAAUGCUUGAAGAAAUCUUGUUGAAGUUGGAAAUGUUAAAUUCAUUUUUCUAGGACAUGAUAAUUGGCACCGCAUGUAGAAAUCCACCCGCACUCCAUCCAAAUCCGGGACUGAUACAAAUUCUGUCUCAGCAUUGUAAGAAACAGGGGAAGCAGAGUAGAAAGGUACUAUGAAAUACUGAAUGAGAGAAACAUCACGUGCAAUUCCAGAUAAAUGUCAUUUGACCAGAAUGCAAUUCUAAAUAUCAGUCGAAACCGGCAUUUCAUACGUGCGAGUUGCCCCUAAAGUCAUUGCCUAAUCAAUCCAAAGGCCAUUUGCACUUGCAUCCCGCAUCCUCUUUCUGUCAAAUUACUUAGCAUAAGGUGACAUCAAGCCUGGAUCUGCACUCUGCAGCCUGUUUCUGUUGAUAUUGUUAGAAAUCUGACAGCCCAUCAAAUUACUUAUCGGGUUAUAGUUUUGCCUAAUUAGACGAAUGAUUCCAAUGGACCAAUGAUUAAAAAAAAUCUUUGGAUUUACCCUUGAGAGAACAUCGACAUCAACAUGUUGUUAGCAUGUGACUAAGGUCUUUUGCGAACCUUUUUUCCCUCCAAAAGAACGUAUUUCGCAAUAGUAAUCUUCAACAUGAUAUGCAUUUUCUUUGUGGCGUCAUAGUGGGCGUACAGCUUCGUAUGGUCUCUUCAAAGUUUUUCCCUGAUAAUUCAGUAGAAAUUGUUACCAGAAGUUGUCUCUGGUGCUGUGUUUUGUGUCCGAACUUCUUUUGUUCGUCUACUACUCUACCUUAUUCUCCAUUAAAAUAAAAUAAAAACAAUAAGUAGAUACAAUAGAAGUUAGUCUAUUAUCUAACAAGUUAAAAGUUAGCAUACCUAGAUUGCUGAAAAACGAUUGCUUGUAUCUCAAUCGCUCUGAAGAUAUUUUCCAAAAAAUAAAUGAUUUGGAAAAUACAUCUUUUCUCAUAUGGGCAUAAGAUAAUUCGAGCAAAAACAUUAUGCCCAAAAGAUUGAAGGUAUACCAUGGAAUCAAGCUACUUAUGGGCUUCAUAUCAUCACAGAAGGAACCUUUAAACCAUGUAGAGGUCCUCAUUGUCCCAAAAAGUGGCAUGUGAUUUUAUGCCGGAAAUGGAGUACUUGUGUGUGUUUUCGUUGGUAGCCAUCACAACAUCGAGGCACCAAAUUGCAUUGGUAAAUUGAAGCAUCUACUUUAUCUCAAUUUUUCUUAUACUAAUAUCGAAAGGCUUCCUAAAUCAAUUGUUCGACUGCACAACCUAGAAGCUUUAAUGUUGCGUGGUAAUGAAAAUCUUACCGAAUUGCCUGAAUAUAUUGAAAAACCGAUCGAUUUAUGAUUUCUCGAUGUUAGAGAAACUCUAAGCCUAGCAACUAUGCCACUGUUUAUAGGUAACCCUGUGGGUCUUGAGAUGUUGCUAUCACUUUUUAUAGGUAAUCUUGGGGGUCUUGAGAUGUUGUCCAAAUUUGUUGUGGGAACCAAAAAUGGCUAAAGGAGUUGUAGAUAAUGCCGAAUGCACCUUGUAGGGAAAUUAUUCACCUCCAAGUUGCUUAAGGUUGGAGAGCAGGUCAAUUUACCCACGAGGGACAGAAUAUGCUAGUGGACCAUGUAGUGAGUGAAGAUUAUGAAAAUUUCCUGAAUUUGUUUGCAAUUUUAACACGAUGAUUAACUUGAAAGAAGAAGAAGAAUAUACAUUAAGAAUCAUAUUGGAAAAAAAGAGAGUACAAGAACGACAUUGAACAAAUUGUAAAAGUACAGCGAUUGGCGGUUUAUUAUCUCUAAAGUUUUUGCACAAAUUUUGUGAAGAGAGUCUCCUAAAGAUUUUGUUAAAAGUGAAAUAUAUUGCUUUCUAUUCUUUUUCCACAAAAUCAAGGCAAUGACACUUUCAAGAAAAUGACCUACACGUCUCAAUGUCUUUUCCCGUUUCCACAUGCAUUAUUUUCUCUAACAUGGCUCUUAGAGAGUAUCAUCAUAUAAAAUUAGUCUUCACUAUGAAUACAUUGACUCUUACACUAAUAUUGAUUCUUCAUUGUUGGCCAAAGGCCUAAGUGUAGAUUAAAUGCCUCUCAGCAAAAGACCAAUUUUCCACUAGUAUUAUUCUAGUGCAUUUUGCCACACGUCACAUUUGAAUUGUUUUAACUCAUAGAUACUUUAACAGUAUGCAAAGAAAGGCUGAGAUUUAUUCUUUAGCGAUUCAACAAUCAAAUGAUCUUUUAGGUGAGGGCAGGUCAGGUUCCCUUAAUACAUAGUAAAAAAAUGAGUAAGGAAUGAGCGACGUGGUUGUCGUACCACAUAAGUUGCGUUCGUCGGGCUGGGUUGUACUACACCCAAGUGGGGAGGCCCACUAAGAAGGAGCCAUAUAAAAAGCGAAUAAAAAUAUCAUCAUUAUUUUCUUUUUCUUUUUUUUAUUAACAUGAACUACACGUGAAUGUGGGGCAAACUCAUUAAAGUUUAUAUUGAAUCAAAUCUUGUUACUUUAAAUUCACAACAAUCUUUUCUUUGAAUUUUAACUAACCCAUGCUAUUUGGCUAAUUAAAUGUGACUUAGACCACGUCAAUGCUUCUAGCACCGUAAGACUUAUAUUUUAAUAAAUAAGGAAAGUAAAGGUUGUCCAUUUUCACUUUGAUUUGCACGACCAUGUAAUCCUAUUACAAAGAGAACUAAUAAAAAGCGAGGGCUAGUGGGGUAAAGAAGUAAAUUGCCUCAUCAAAGACGGUAAGAUUAUGUGUGUCCCGGGCACUUUGCCUCAUCUUUUAAAGCAAAGAGAAGAAGUAAUUUCCGACAUGAACACUUUCGCAAAAGUUACCGAGCAAGGGAGAUGAUUGUGUGGCUCUUUAGUAGUACCAUGCGAAAACUAAUUUUUCAAUGUGAACACGUUGACUCCAAUUUAAAGUAUCGAGUUUUUUGGUUAAUGGGGUCGAGAAAAGCUAAAGGUUACCUGUCUUGAUUUGAUUGGUCACACGGUAUAAUUGCAAAGAGAAAGUAACAAAAUAUCCUCAAAAGUCUAAAGUGAGGUAGUCUUGCUUGAAGGAGACGAUUAACUUUCUACGCCUUUUACACAAACAUUAUAUAUAAAAUUAGAUUUGGACCAUUGAGAAUGACAAGAUUUAUGUAAGUUUUAUAUGAGUCUUGCUAAAUUUUAUAGUCUAAGUGCAUUUGAUAAUAUUUUUAUUCUCGAAAAUAAUUUUUGUUUAUAAAUAAUUUUUUCAUUUUUAUUUUCAAAAACAAAGAAAUAUAUUUUUAUUUUUUCUAUUUCAAAUUUAUUUACUGAUCAAUUUUCUAUUUCAGAUAAUAGAAAGAUUAGUUGAUUUUGUCAAACAAAAUUUUAUUAUUUUUUUGUUUUGACGAAAAAUAAAAAGAGCAGACAAAUAUGAAAACAGGAUGGGUGCGCCAGGAUAAUUACUAGAAAAAUGAGUACGGAAUGAGUGACAUGUCACAUGGACAUUGGUCAAAGGAACAGGCAAAGGAGAGAAAAUGCUCACGCGGUUCUCGUACGACAUGUUGGGGUGUGCCACGCUAGAGCACGAGGGACCAUUAAGAGGAGCCAUGAAAAAGCAAAUGGAAAAAUCAUUACUAUUUUUUUUUAUUAACAUGAAUUACAGUUGAACGUAGUUUAGACUCAUUAAAUUUCUAUGUAGUUAAAAAAUUUUACUUUAAAUUCAUAACAGCCCAUUCUUUAAAUUUUAGCUAACUCAUAUACAAUCUAACUCAGUAAAUAUGAGUUAAUUUGUAGAUUAUUUUUUAACCCAUUUUAAUGCCAGUAAAAGACUUUCAUUUCCACGGUAUGGAAAGCAAAAGGUUGCUCAUCCACUUUGAUUUGCACGGCUAGGUUAUCCAAUUACAAGGAGAUCCGACAAAAGGUGAGGGUUAAAGAAGCAAAUUGCCUCAUCAAAGACAUCCACGGCAAAGAUUGUGUGUAUCCCAAGCACAUCCGGCUCAUUUUUCCAAAGGCAAGAGAAGAAGUAAUUUCCAAUGUGAAUACUUUUGCAAAGGUGGCCGAGUAAAGUGGACGAUUGCGUGGCUCAUUUAGGAGUAGCAUCGUGUGAAAACUAAUUUUUCAGUGUGAAUGCCUUGACUCCAACAUAAAGUAUCAAUUCUUUCGAUUAAUGGGGUCAAGGAAAGCUAAAGAUCGCCCGUCUUCAUUUUGAUAUGAUUGAUCACGCGAUCCAAUUACAAAGAGAAAGUGACAAAAUAUUCUAAAAAGUCUAAGGUGAGGCAGUCUUGCCUAAAGGUGACUGUUAGCUUUCUAUGCCUUUUACCCAUAUGUGAUAUAUAUAUAUAUAUAUAUAUAUAUAUAUAUAUAGACCAUUGAAAAUGACAAGAUUUAUGUAAGUUUUAUAUGAGUCUUGUUAAAUCUAACGAUUUGAAUCCAAAUGAAGAUGAGUGUAUGUUGGAUUCACCGAGUGCAUUUGUAAUAUUUCUACUCUUGGGAAUAAUUUUUAUUUAGAAAUAUAUUUUUUAUUUUUGAAAAUAAAGAAAUAGACUUAUUUUACUUUUUGUAUAUGUUCUAAAUUUAUUUAGUGACCACUUUCUUAUUCUUAUGAAUAGAAAAGUUAAUUGAUGUUAUUAAAUGGAUUUUUUUUUAUAUUUGAAAAAAUAAAAGAAUAGAAAAAUGAAAAAAAAAUGAUAUACCUUGAAUAAUCACUAGAAAAGUGAGUAGUGAAUGACGUGUCAAAUGGACAUAACCGUGCCAAAGGCAUGUCCAGAACCUGUAGGAUUUUCACCAACCUUACGUCCAACCUAAGCAUCGGGUGGGAUUGGUUACCCAAGCGAAGUUGGGAUCCGUCCUUCAAUCGGGGAAGCUACUGGACCAGUGGUCGAGAGACUGUGCCAAAGGCAUAUCCAGAACCUGUAGGAUUUUCACCUACCUUACGUCCAACCUAAGCAUCGGUUGAGAUUGGUUACCCAAGCGAAGUUAGGAUUCGAGCCAAGAAGUAAGCUUCUUGACAUAGUGGCACUUCACUGCUCAUAAGCCCCCAAAUUCUCGGUCUAUGUUUUACCAACCGACCAAGAGGAUGGGGAGGCAAGAAUGAACAAGCAAAGGAGAGAAAAAGCCCACGCAGUUGUCGUAUUAUGUGAGUUGGCCUUCACAAGAUGGCGUGUACCAUACUCGAGCAUGAGGCCUGAUAUUGCUAGUAUGAGUACCUAGAGGGGGGUGAAUAGGUAUAUAAAAGAUUUUUCUUCAACAAUUGCACAAUACUAGACAGUUGAAGGAAACGAUAAUCAAAGUAAGACUGAGAGGAGAGAAAAUUGAACACGCGGUUUAUAGUGGUUCGGCUUAUAUCAAGCCUACGUCCACUCUUCUUCACUGACAGCCUAUUGGCUGGAUUCCACUAUGAACAAAAGAGAAGUUACAGCACAGCUUUGCCUUGAUUCCAUAGUGUAGAUGUUCUACCACACCUCCUCAAGAUUUCUCACAAAUAUAGACUCUCUUUUGUAUACAAGUAUUCGCUAAAAGGAAUUGUCUAAACAAAAAGGAGCUUCAGACUUUGGAAUUCUUCUAUCGCGCACACCUUGAACAACUAAGACAGUCUUCCUUAUAUACUCCUUUAUGCCAUCAUACCCGUUGGCACUUACCAAAUGAAUUCCUCAAAUCUACCCGUUGGACGGAAUCAAUUAGGAAGAUUGUUCAAGCUAUUAAAUGAACGUGUUGAUAGCCCAUCAAUCAUGUUCGCCCAUACAAUCAGAAUCUCGGUUUCCAUAAGCAGAACCUUCCAAUAAUAUUUAGGCAAUCACCGGAUCUUCAAUUAUCGAGUCAAUCUUCGAUCAAUCAAAGGACUCCGUUAUGUCUUCUCCAGCCACGAGAUUUUCUCCAGUUGAUAAGGUUAAAUCCUUAACGAAAUAUCAAGUUCUGGAUAACCUUUCUUCAACGGAUUAGAGACUGUCAAUGAUGAUAGACUUUGAGUCUUGAGUCUGGCUGUCCGGAGGUCUUUAGACUUUAAAUAGCAGAGUCUGCAAGCCUUCAGACUAGACUGAUAGAAAUGUUUUGUCAACUUCAAAACACUUCAAGAAGAUUUCUCUAACAAUGCCCACUAAGAAUGAGCCAUGUAAAAGCAAAUGGGAAAAUCAUUACUACUUUCUUUUUUUGAUUAACAUGAAUUAUUUGUGAAUGUAGUUUAGACUCAUUAUAUGUAGUUAAAUUUUUUAUUUUUUAUUUUACUUUAAAUUCAUAACAACCCAUUCUUUAAAUUUUUGCUAGCAUAUAUACAAUCUAACUCUCUGAACAUGAGUUAAAUUGUAGAUUUUUUUUUGGGCCCAUUUUAACGCCAGCAAAAGACUCCCAUUUUCACGAGCAAGGAAAGCAAAAGGUUGCUCAUCCCCCCUUUGAUUUGCACGGCUAGGUGGUCCAGUUACAAGGAGAUCCGACAAAAGGUGAGGGCUAAAGAAGCAAAUUGCCUCAUCAAAGACAUCCGCGGUAAGAUUGCGUGAAUCCUAAGGCAAGCACAUCCCGCUCAUUUUUCAAGGCAAGAGAAGAAGUAAUUUCCUAACGUGAAUACUUUUGCAAAAGUUGCCAAGGGGACAAUUGCGUGGCUUUUUAAAAAGUGGCAAAUUUUCCAGUGUGAACACGGUGACUCCUACGCAAAAUAUCUCGAUUCUUUCGGCUAAUGGGGUCAGGGAAAGCCAAAGUUGCCUGUCUUCAUUUGAUUUGACUAGUCACGGGGUCCAAUUACAAAGAGAAAAUAACAAAGUAUCCUUAAAAGUCUACAAUAAGCUCCAAGGUGACGAUUAGCUUUCUACACUUUUUACACAAACAUGAUAUAUAUAUAUAUAUAUAUGUGUGUGUGUGUUAAAGAUUUGGACAAUUAAAAAUGAGUUAGAAAGUAGAUUUUUGAUUAAUUUUAAUGCCUCUAGCGAAGAGAGACUUUCGUUUCAAUGGACAAGAAAAGUGAAAAGUUAACCCAUGUUUACUUUGAUUUUUGCAGCCACGUGGUCCAAUUGCAAGGUGAAUUGAUGAAAGUGGACUAAUUAUGUAAAUUGCUAGGAGUGUUAAUGAUUUGGUUCAUUUCGGAUUACCAAUAAAUGAGAGUUAAAUUGAAUAGAAUCGCAACCUGAGUCAAAAAUUCGAUUCGGUUAGUUUAAAUUUUCAGUUUUUCUUUUUAUGUUUUACUUACUAGAACCAAACUGAAUGAAAUGAUAACGGAGAGAGUAUUUAAGUUGAUCCUUUAAUUUUUAUUGAGAAUUUCGAUUUGAUCUAACUAAUCCAAUUAGAAUAAUCCAAACAAAAAAAAGUAGUUUUUUUUAAUCAUCAGAACUGAAUCAAAUAAAAAAUAUACGGAAUUUCGAUCCGUUUCGGUUCCGUUCAAAUUACCACAGAAAAGACGCGCAAUCCGCUGCCAGAUUGCGUGGAUCCCGAGCAGGUCUGGCUCAUCUUUUGAGGCGAGAGAAGAAGCAAUUUCCAGUUUGAACACCUUGCGGAAGUUUGCCAAGCAAAAGUGAUGAUCGCGUUACGACAAAUAAGGAAAAAGGGCGAGGAUUGUGUGGCUCUUGCAGAGGAGCAACGAAAAUAUCUAUGGAGUCUACAGCGAGGUCGUCUUACCAAUUUCGAGGAAGGAAGGUUUGUUUCGGUGUCUUGGUCAAAAAGGUGAGGGUGAAAAAAGCAGUACGAUUGCCUCGCGACAGAAACGCAAUCCUCUCCCCAAGAUUGCGCGUCUCCUUCGGGGCGAGAGUCAGAAGUAAAGCUUUGUUUAAAGUCCGAGUGCUCGUAACUCAGGAGGAGAAACGCCAAUCGCCGUGAGUCACUUGAGACGCUCGUCUUUCGCUCUGAGAUAUCUGGCUUUGAUAGCUCUAGAUUGAGGCGUGGAGGUGGUCUCAGAAUUGUGCUGCUUUUGAGACUCGGACACGACUUGGAUGUGCUUUUAAGGUAACUCCUUUUUAAACAUUGAAGCCCAUCCGAGUAAUUCCGUCUCUGCAUCACUCCUCCAGAUGAGCCGGAUAGUCUAUUACAUUUUGAUAGAACAAAAUAAAAACAUUUGAUUAUUACUUAUUGCAUGACAUCUAACAUCGUUAAAAGCAUGCACAAUAUAACAUGUCAAAUUCCAUCGACUUUUUCAAAAUCACGAUCGUCACAUUUAUUGUAGAUUUUUCUUACUACGUUCCCCUUACUCAAACUAAUCAGUAUGAGCGGUUGGACUGGUUAAACCUGGCGGAAUUUGAUAGUUCUUACCACAAUCUCUCUCUCUCUCUCUCUCAUAAAUGUCACUUUCUGAACCUUUUACAUCGGUCCUCUCUCUUGCAGAACAGUUCAACGCUAUCAUCUACAGUCCUCGCUCGCUCUCGUUGUUCAUUUCCCUCUUGAAAGUUCUCGCUGAGGCUUGUUUAGGGUCUUCUCUCUCCGACCUUGCACCUCCCUUCGCAUCUCAGCUCGCGGAAGGUAAUCGCUUUUUUCAUCUCUUAUUAGCGUGUCAUUUUUGUUGAUUUGUUGCAGCCGAACUAGUGUGUAACGUGUGUUGGGCUUUUAUUGUCUAAUGUGGGAGGCUGCUAACAUGGUGUGUCACCAGCUCCAGCUCAUAAUCGACUUCUGUAGAAAAGGGAAGCCUUUGCUUUCGACUGUAGAUGUGACUAAUCAUGUGGCCUCUCUGCUCAUUGUUCGUUUACAUCGCAAUUCAUUGUCCAUCCUUUAUUAAGCUAGAAUGAGUUGGAAUGCCAGCACGCUAGAUUCUAUUGCGCGCAAAAUUGCCAGUAUUCACCUCAAACCAGGGACCGUCUUUUGAUGGGUCGUGAGGUUUCUUUGUCUAUGAAGGUCUAAGAUAAAUUAAAUAAAAAACGAAACAGAAAAGAAAAAGUAGUACGCCAGUUUGCGGCCAAUUCUGGGAUCAAGGGGUUUGAUUUUCAAUUUCGAAAAUUGGAAACAGGCUUUGAUAGGGUUGGUUUCAGGUCUUGUUUCGGAAUCUACACACUCUAUAACCAAUCACCCAUAAAAGUAAUUAUUCUCUUAAUUGGAUUUUAUUCGACAAUUUUGCCUCCCAAUAGAACAUUCUAGACAAAUAAUAUGAUGUCUUCCUCGAAUUAUUGGUCAAGAUAAUCCUAAAAGGUACAUUGCCUUCACCUCUAACUCAUUCUUCUUUCAGAGUUUUGAAAAUUGACGGAGUCAGUUAACUGAAAAAAGGGUUAAAAAAAAAAAGUUGAAUGAGUUAAUAUGCCAAGGUUUGAGUAUUUUUAACUCUAUUACUGCUUUUUUUUUUUAACAAAACAUGAAAACUAUAUUGCUACUUUCGACUUGCUCUCCACUCAUGAUAGUUUCAAUCAUCACAAUACAAAACAUACCAAAAUCCAUAUUAUGAUGACUUCUUUCACUUUUGCGUCUCUCUAAAAUUGCAGUCAUGGUAAAAUCUUGGUUUACUUGGGACUCCCAAAUACACAAAUUCUCUAAAAAUAGAAUAGAAGUAGAUAAUUGAGGGCUUGUUAUUCAACAGUAUAAUAUGACUUAUAUACCUGUAUCAAUCAAUAUCCAUAUUCACAGAUAUCUAUCUAUGGUCUUAUCUUUAACUUAAUAUCUUUUACAUGAUAUUCAAUAGGAAGAAAAAUAUCUUAUGACACAUGUGAAAAUGAUCACAUAAAUUGAGCCGAUUCACCUAACUUUAUAACACUCAUAUCUUACACUUCUUAUUACAAAUAAUAAAUUCGUUCUUCAAAAUGUGAUUAAUCAAUUUAACCGGGUUUAUCAUGAAUUUAGUCAAUAAUCCUAUUCUUCUUCCAUUUAGUUGAAGAAAAAAAAGCUUUGCGGUGAUAUUUUCAAGGUGGGCCCUCCAAUAAAAAUGGGGACAAGCACUCAACGUCAUUGUUUCAAACCUUGGUCGUCUCUUAAUUUUCUUCAGCAGCUUCCUUUUACUUCCUUUCUUCUCUCCUUCUCCUGCUUCCACCGAAUCCGUACAAUUUUGUGUCAUUUCUAAUCGGUCAGACUAACGUGGAGAAGGGGCAAAGUCAGAGCAAGGCAAACAAAGGGCUGCACCGUUUCGUUUCAGAUCGGUUCCUUUGCGGCGCUUCUUGCGUCUCUAUGCUUGUAUUCAAACAUCUCGCUAAGAAGAAAAAGAGUGCACUGAGGGAAUCUGCUCCUCCGUUUGAUGCUAUCCAACAAAUUAUAGCUUUAGUUCUACAGAUAAGAUAUCAAUCAAUGUUUAAGAUUUGGAGAUUUAAAAUAAAAGGCUCGGUGAUGAUAUACCAGUUCAAAAUAAAGUAUUUAUACAUGGAAUUAUAGCAUGUGGUAUUGGUGUGUAAUGAGUAAAAGAUAAAUAACCAUGAGCAUUUGUUUAUCCCUACCUCACAUUUCCAACUUCAUUAAAUAUAUGACAAUUUUAAACCUAAUUUAAAUAUAAAAUCAUAUCCAUAAUUACUAGCUCAAUCCUUUCUUGACCUCUUUCACGCAUAUCUAAUUCUGUUUCAAAUCAAUUAUUAACAUUAAAUGAUCUAUCAAAUUCUGAUUUUCUAUAACCCAAUAAAAACCAAACGUAUGCUUAUGUCUUUAGUCGAAUGCAAUAUACUUGUACACAGAUUCCAGUUCUCUAUAGCCUAAUUGAAAAAUUAAUGUACACGUUGUUCGUGAUUGGAUCAAGCCAACGAGGUUGACUUGACUAGAGGAUGAGGUCCAAAAGAGGAUAUUUAAAAGCAUAGAUAUUUAAAAAUAUUUCUUUUAUCACACUAAAGUCCCUAAAAUUAACGUACAGGUUAAUUGAAAAAAUUUUGGACCCGCAUUUUCAGGGAAAUACUCUUAGAAAAGCCCUACUCAAUAUCUUCUUUGGGGGCUACCCAGGCCUCUUCAUUUCCCUGAACCCAGUCUAGUAUGCUAGGAGAAGGGCUUCACGGGGAUCUGAGGUGGGUCCCUAACCCUUUCGGGCUUGGCCGGGAUACCCAAUGGGACCGUUACCCCAUACUACUCACCCCUCAUUUCCCUGUAAAAGGGUUGUGAGGAGGAGUCCCCCCGGGGUGGUCAUUUCAGGGGGAGCAGUUUAAGGACCUGCUCAGGUCCGAAUUUCUAUGCACUUUUAGAAAGAAAUAAAAUGUCGGCCCAAAAGGAAAUAUUUCCCCUCAAUUUAAAAUCAUUUUCAUCAACUUCCUUCAAAAUUUAAACAGCCAAACAAAUGAAGUUUUUUCCUCAAUAUUUUAUUUUUAGUUAAUUUUACAUAUGAGCAAUUUGAAUCCUGCCAAUUAAAUCAUGAUUGAUGGAAAUUUUCUCAAAUUAGGAAAGUGCAUGCAUCUGGAGAAUGAUGUCCACUGGGCAACAAUUACAUUACACCACAUUAGUUUGGCCAACCGAAAUGGGGUUAGUAGAAAGGGUUGGGAAAAUGAGGUGGUGAAGAUAAUGAGGUUUGUUUGGAUAUUAGGCUAAAAAUAAUAAGAGUAAGGUUGAAGGCUAUUAUAAGAAUAAGAUGUCGUGGGAGUUUAUAUUUGGUGGAAGAUGGUUCCAUGGUCCAUGGUAUUUCCUACAUAAUUUCAAUGUUUUAGGUGUGAACUAAAAGAAUCUGUCUUGAAUUAUCAUAGACAAAGUUAUGUCGUUAUACCAUGUGUUUUGAGGAAGUCGAUUAGGCGUGGUAGCUAGGAGCACUGGCAUUCGACUUUUUUGUUUAAUUACUUCUUUCAAUGUGAAUUGGCUUUCUGAACAAGUAAAUGAAGGGGCUCUUUGGGGGCCCUUUUUAGGGGCCACCACCUAAUCUUCUGCAGUCAAGCCACGUUGGUCACCCAAACUGAAGGCCGUGUCCUCCCUCUCUCUCUCUCUCUCUCUCAGGAGCACGAACUUCUUUCAGCAUUUCCCUCUCAGAUCGCCAUGGACAAAGGGCAAAGUCAGACAAAGAGAAAGACAGCACAGAAAGAGAGCACCGAGGGAGCAUGCAGUUCUUCGUUCAUCUCUCCAAAACUCACAGGACAAGGUGACGAUGCAUACGACGUAUUCUUGAGCUUUAGAGGCUCAGAUACUCGUAAGGAAUUCACCGACCACCUCUACAAUAGACUGGUCAAUACUGGGAUUUUUGUGUUCAAGGAUGAUAAGAGCAUCCCAAUUGGUGAGGAUUUUAGUUCACAAAUUCUUGGUGCCAUCUCACGAUCGAAGAUUUCGAUCCCCAUCAUCUCCAAAAAUUAUGCUACUAGCAAAUGGUGCCUUCGUGAGCUCAUCCAUAUGAUGGACUGCAAGAAUAGUGGGUCACACAUAGUGUUGCCAAUUUUUUACAAAGUUAAACCAUCAGAUGUGCGGCAUCUAAAAGGAAAUUUUGGGGAUGCCUUCCGUUUGAGUCAGAAGGAUUUUGAUGAGAAGGUUAUCCAGGAAGGGCCGCCAGCACUUGAAGAAGUGAGUGACUUACAGUUGUGGGAGUCCGAGAAAUUUGCUAACGGGUACGUCACAGAACUUUUCUUCCUUUUUUUUUUUUUGGUUGGGAAACUUUUCCUUUUUCUUUGAUAAGUUCUCUUCACGCAAAACCAAUGAAAUGCAGAUGUAUUACUUGCAUUGCAAGCUCAGAAAAGAUCCCCAAAAUGUCCCAGUAAACAACCCUAAUGGGUCGAAGACUAGCAAACACUAGUACUUCCCAGGAUCUCGUGAAAACUAAACGAACGACAACUUAAACCAAAGAUCCCGCAGUGCCCAAGCAUUUUACAUUUAUCUCCAACACAAAGCCAAAAAACGAAAGAAACAACCCCUUCAGCCAAUAGUAUGCCUAUAACGGACCCCAAUGCUGGGUCUUGAUCGCUACCAGAAAAAUUAGACCUCAUUAUGCCAACGGGUUGGCUCGGCUGAGAAGGGUUGGAAAAUUCCCAUUUACCAUGUUUAGGCUUGAUUUCCAAAGCCAGUAACCCUCAUUGGUAGGCAAUCUUGGGAUAGCCUCCUCUCCUCCUAGAAUUUUUUAACCAAAAAAAAAAAUGGACCUAUCUUUGAACGGGCAACAACCUCAAUCGUUAUAACGAACAUUGUAGUUUGAAAGACUCUUCUUGGGCCAGGUACACCACCUUAUUUUAUUUCAACAAGAUCCAUCUAUUGGCAUAAGAGGAUAGGGUAAAAAAAAAUUGGAAUGACCGCUACUCCAUCUUCCCCCAUUGUUAUGCGUAAAUCCAAAACAGCUUGCAUGUUAAUUGGCCCCAUGCAUCCUUAAAUAUAUGCUGGUCUUUGGAUGAGAUUAAGUAUAAUCAGGUAGUUAUCAAUGAAUUUUGUUGUUUGAUAGGCAUGAAGGAGAAUUAGUGGAAGAAGUGGUCAAAAAGGUUCUGAGCAAAUUGCAACAAGACUUUCAGCUUGAUGUUACUAAGCACUUAGUUGGAUUUGGGGAUCAUGUGAGCAAAAUCAGGUAUUGGGUAGACACUCCUGCCAGUGCUGCUCGAAUGAUUGGAAUCUAUGGCAUGGGUGGGAUCGGAAAAACGACUCUGGCCAAAUUAAUCUACAACCAGUUGUUGGAUGAAUUUGUACAUCAUAGCUUCCUUGCUAACAUUCGAGAAACGGCUCAAUGCAACGGUAUUCCUUAUCUACAAAAUCAACUAAUUGAGGAAGUACUUCAAAUCGAAUGUCAAAUUCGGAAUGUUGACCAUGGAAUUAGUUUGAUUAGAUCUAAAUUCAAAGGAAAAAAGGUUAUCAUUCUUCUGGAUGAUAUAGAUAACAAAAAGCAACUAGAUGCUUUGGCCAGAGAGCGUAAUUGGUUUAUGAGUGGAAGUAUUAUCAUUGUUACAACAAGAAAUAAAGCUAUUCUUGAUCAAUCUGAAUUUGAGGUAGACUACCCAUAUGAAUUGAAUGAAUUGGAUGAGGAGCAUUCUUUGCUUUUAUUUAAGAGACAUGCAUUUCGUAUGGAUCGUUGUCCAACGGAGUUUGAGAUAUCUCUGUGAAAUCAUAUCACCAUGGGUGGGCUACCCUUAGCUAUGAGGUCGUUGGUUCAUACUUGUUUAAAAAAACAAAGCNNNNNNNNNNNNNNNNNNNNNNNNNNNNNNNNNNNNNNNNNNNNNNNNNNNNNNNNNNNNNNNNNNNNNNNNNNNNNNNNNNNNNNNNNNNNNNNNNNNNNNNNNNNNNNNNNNNNNNNNNNNNNNNNNNNNNNNNNNNNNNNNNNNNNNNNNNNNNNNNNNNNNNNNNNNNNNNNNNNNNNNNNNNNNNNNNNNNNNNNNNNNNNNNNNNNNNNNNNNNNNNNNNNNNNNNNNNNNNNNNNNNNNNNNNNNNNNNNNNNNNNNNNNNNNNNNNNNNNNNNNNNNNNNNNNNNNNNNNNNNNNNNNNNNNNNNNNNNNNNNNNNNNNNNNNNNNNNNNNNNNNNNNNNNNNNNNNNNNNNNNNNNNNNNNNNNNNNNNNNNNNNNNNNNNNNNNNNNNNNNNNNNNNNNNNNNNNNNNNNNNNNNNNNNNNNNNNNNNNNNNNNNNNNNNNNNNNNNNNNNNNNNNNNNNNNNNNNNNNNNNNNNNNNNNNNNNNNNNNNNNNNNNNNNNNNNNNNNNNNNNNNNNNNNNNNNNNNNNNNNNNNNNNNNNNNNNNNNNNNNNNNNNNNNNNNNNNNNNNNNNNNNNNNNNNNNNNNNNNNNNNNNNNNNNNNNNNNNNNNNNNNNNNNNNNNNNNNNNNNNNNNNNNNNNNNNNNNNNNNNNNNNNNNNNNNNNNNNNNNNNNNNNNNNNNNNNNNNNNNNNNNNNNNNNNNNNNNNNNNNNNNGGCAAAGAAGCCUUCGGAGAACAAAUACUAGGAAAGGUACAUCUGCCUCCUCUCUCUCUUUCUCUCAUAUUACACAUAUAUUUUUUUUAAUAUGAAUAUUCUAUCUUUAUUUAGUAUGAGGAAAUGCUCCUACUUUAGGAAAAAGUAUGUUCAAACAUCCAUUCAUGUCCAUUGUAGAUGAAUUGUGACGGCUAAUUGGGAUUAUAAGUGUCCCAAGGAUGAAAAAGUUACCUUAUUUGAUUCAAAUUCAUUGAUAUAAAUUACAUAUGUCGAAAACUUAAUUUACAAUCAAUUUAAGAUUCUUUAACUAAGAUUCUGCACUAAAAAUCUGGUUCACUAAAAGUGCGGAACUUUAUAUCUAGUUGAAAAUAUUAAUAAUCUGAAAAAUUACAGUAAUUAAUACAGAUGAAGCGUAUACAUCAUAAAAAAAAAUAUGUGCCAAUCAUAAUAAAUAAUAAUUAAGCAAAUCAGUAACAGUAAAGAAAAAUCAAUGUUUGAUAAACUUUUUCCCCCAUUUUGAUCAUGAAAGUACCCGUCCCUCUACUGGUUUCAUCUAUCUCUUUUCCUUCUUCUUUCCUCUUAAUAGAUAUGAUGGUAAAAAAUCUCCUUAAGAAUUAUAUUGGGAAAACUUUACUAUGCUUUUAGGGUUACGUCACGUUGACCUUGUUCAUCUCAUGGACUAGGUUAGGUGUUUGACUAUCAGUGGAUCUUCUUAUUAUUUCUUUAAUUGCUUCUUUCAUUUCCAUUGUCCGUUCCUGCGCUUUUCCUAAUAAAACACUUCUUUCCUCUCCAAGUUGUUUUUAUAUUAUUUAUAUAUUUGGGACAACGCUCUUCUGUGCCAACAACCACUGGACAAACUUGACUAUUUAGAGGAAAUGUCAUGCUUAUUAUUAUAUCGAUACUUUUUUUAUUUACUAUAAACAAUUUUCAGCAUGAAGUCAAAUUUGAAAGUAAGUUUAGUUUUUACAUAGAUUGUCAAUGUUCAUGUCAUUUAAUUAUUUUAUAUUGUCCAUUUGGGGAAGCCUAGUAGGUUCAUGACUGAUCAAUGGCGGGGAAUUAACCUUUGCAAUUAACCAAGAGAUGUUGGGAAAGGAAAAAGCUUUAUUUUCUCAAUUUAGUUUGAAUUAGUUCGCUCAUACCAUUAUAAAGAGCACAUUCUUUUGUUGAUUAAAUAAUUAUUCUUAAGAGAAAUAAUAUUGACCGUGAGUUUUUCACUAGUUAAUAUAUAAAGUACGGAUAAUGACAAAUGAGUCGAACCAUAAAAUUAAACCCAACCAAAAAAAAAGGGAAAAAAGAAUUCUAUCUUUGGUUUGAUAGUGUUAAUCUCAAUCAAGCCGUUUGGGAUUUUGUCACCAUCUUCUUCCAAUGAAAUGAUCUCCUUUAGCAACAAAGUUUAAGCGGUAUAAGAUGCGAAAAGAAAUGGUGCCAGUCUUGGGAAAUGGACUUACGUAUCUUCACUUUUCUGUUUAGGUAACAUAAGUAGAUUUCUCCAGAAACUUUCGUGUGGUAGAGUUUGCCGAAAGUUGUUGCCCAGCAUCGACAAACCUAUUGUUCCAUAUGUUAAGACCUUAAUCUAACUAUAACACCAUGUAAGGAAGUUAAUUAGUUCAUUUUUAGUUGGUCUAAAGCCAGCUCUCUUCCAAUUUCCGUCUAAAUCUAAAAUAUUAUUCAAAUGCUAAAGGUGUAUUGCUAAAGAAUGAUUAAACACUUAAUAACAAUAGUUAACAAAUUGAAAAUCAGGUGCUUACUUAGCUACUUAACAAGUGACCCAUGGAUACUCUUUAACAUCCGUAAGUUUUAAAAGGUUUCAUGUAUUUCCACUUUAAUAAAAAUCAAAGUACAUGCACUACAAAAUUCCAAAAAAGCAAGAGGUAAGAAUUGAGGUGUUUCGUCUUGAAUCUUUUAAAGCAAGAAAAAGUGUUCUUUUUAUUUAAAAUAUUGUUUGAAUUUUUUAAAAAAAUAUCAAAAUACUAUGUGUGUUUACCUGUCAACAUUUAUGUUCGGCGAGGGGUAAAAAGAUGACAAAUUGUGAAAAAUAUGGGGUUUAGAAAAGCAAAAGUAAAAAAUAAGAAGUCGAUCCAGACACUCAAUUGAUUGAUUUUGAUAUGCAGAGUUUCCAGAGUAGCCUCUAUUGGCCCCAUGGCUGUUCCUCUACAUGCACAAGUGAACUGUUUAAAAACUUACCGAGCUCAAGGUUCCUUUCAUUAUGCUGGAUGACCAUAAGUGGAGACUUUAAUGAAUUGUGUCCUGAAUUGAGAUGGCUUCAAUGGCUAUACAUUGAACCCGAUAUAUUUUCUUCAGCAAUCAAUUUGCAUCUAUCUAAAUUAGUGGUGCUGGAAUUGUCACAAAACAAUCUUACAGAUGAUUGGGGAGGAUGGAGUUCGAUCAUGGUAAGAUGGAAAAAAGACAUCUUCUACGAUCUUUGCUUUGUUUUGUUUUAUCGAUUAAACUCCUUUUUGAUAGCUUUUUCUCUUUUGUACAGGUGGCAAAGCAGCUAAAAGUUCUCAACCUUUCAUAUAGCCGGAAGUUAAGAUAUACUCCUAAUCUCUCGGCUUUCACAAAGUUGGAGAUUCUCAUCUUGUCUAGUUGUGACAAACUCAAGCAAGUCAACCCUUCUAUUGGCAAACUCAAGAGCCUCAUUUCCUUGGACUUGUGUGGAUGUAGUAAUCUGAAAGAGCUACCAGAGGAAGUGGGGCAAUUGCAAAAUCUAAAAAACCUCCUUUUAAAUUCUACUAGCAUUACAAAAAUUCCUAUGUCAGUCUAUUCUUUGAGGAAGCUAGAGAAACUGAAUUUCAGCUGGUGUCAUUCAUUGGUUGAAAUCCCUCUCGCAAUUAGGAAUCUUUCAUCUCUCCAAUACCUUAACCUCUAUUUGUGUUCAUCAUUGAGGAAAAUCCCUCAUUCGAUUGGGAAUCUUUCAUCUCUCAAACGACUUAAUUGUAAUUGGACAUCAUUGGCAAAAAUCCCUAACUCAAUUGGGAAUCUUUCUUCUCUCAAACAACUUAAGCUAAUUUGUGACAAAUUAUUGAAAAUCCCUAGCUCAAUUGGGGAUCUUUCUUCUCUCGAACAACUUGAUCUAAGGUGUUGCAAGUUAUUGAUAGAAAUCCCUAGCUCAAUUGGGGAUCUUUCUUCUCUCAAACAGCUUUAGCUAGAUUCUUGCUCGUCAUUGACAGAAAUCCCUAGCUCAAUUGGGGAUCUUUCUUCUCUCGAACAACUUCAGCUAGGGUCUUGCUCAUCAUUGACAAAACUGCCCAACUCAAUUGGAAAUCUUUCUUCUCUCAAACAACUCCACCUAAAGGUUUGCUCAUCAUUGACAGAAAUCCCUAACUCAAUUGGAAAUCUUUCUUCUCUCAAACAACUUCAUUUAUGGAAUUGCAAGUCAUCGACAGAAAUCCCUAGCUCAAUUGGGAGUCUUUCUUCUCUCAAUGAACUUAAUCUAAAAAGUUGUGAGUCAUUGACAAAAAUCCCUAACUCAAUUGGGAAUCUUUCUUCUCUCAAACAUUUUGAUUUAUUAGGUUGCAAGUCAUUGACAGAAAUCCCUAACUCAAUUGUGAAUCUUUCUUCUCUCGAACAUUUCAAUUUAGUGAGCUGCAGAUCAAUGACAGAGAUCCCUAACUCAAUUGGGGAUCUUUCUUCUCUCAAACACCUUAGGCUAGGGUGUUGCUCGUCAUUGAGAGAAAUUCCUAACUCAAUUGGGAAUCUUUCUUCCCUCGAACAACUUGGUCUAGGGGUUUGCGAGUCAUUGACAAAAAUCCCUAUCUCAAUUGGGAAUCUUUUUUCCCUCAAACAACUUAAGCUAGGGUUUUGCUCGUCAUUGACAGAAAUUCCUAGCUCAAUUGGGAAACUUUCUUCCCUCGAACAACUUGAUCUACAGGGUUGCGAGUCAUUGAGAGAAAUCCCUAGCUCAAUUGGGAAUCUUUCUUCUCUCAAAGAACUUGAUCUACAAAAUUGCGAGUCAUUGACAGAAAUUCCUAGCUCAAUUGAGAAUCUAUCUUCUCUCAAAAAACUUGAUCUGCAGGGUUGCAAGUCAUUGACAAAAAUCUCUAGCUCAAUUGGGGAUCUUUCUUCUCUCGAACAACUUCAGUUAGGGUUUUGCUCCUCAUUAAUAGAAAUCCCUAGCUCAAUUGGGAAUCUUUCUUCUCUCAAACAAUUUGAUCUACGGGGUUGCAAGUUAUUGACAAAAAUUCCUAACUCGAUUGGGAAUCUUUCUUCUCUCAAAAUACUUGAUCUGGAGAGUUGCGAGUUAUUGACAGAAAUCCCUAGCUCAAUUGGCAAUCUUUCUUCUCUCAAUCAACUUAAGCUAAAGGGUUGUGUGUCAUUGAGAGAAAUACCUAACUCAAUUGGGAAUCUUUCUUCUCUCAAAGUACUUGGACUAGAGGCUUGCAAGUCAUUGAAAGAAAUCCCUAGCUCAAUUGGGAAUUUACUGAAUUUGCAAAGAAUUAGGGAUUUUUGACCUUGAAUAGUUACCCAUUGCUAUUGGAUGGUUGAACAAACCGCCAACGGGCUAUUUCUUGAAUCUUGUGAUAGUCUAAAAGGGAGAAUUUCAAGAGAAAUCGAUGACUUGUCUUCGCUCGUGAUUCUCCAUAUCACUGGCACAUUGAUAUUUGACCCGCCAGAAAGCAUCUGAAGUCUUUCUUCUCUCUAAUGCCUUGACCAAGAGGGCUGUCGAGAGCUCGAUCAUUGCUAGAGCUUUCUUCCGGCUUAACAUAUCUUCAGGUCAAUUCCCCAAUUCCCAGGUUGCCAAAGCUUUCUUACCUGUUCCACCUAGAAGAACUUCAUUUUUAUGGAUACGAUCAACUUAAGUACUUCCCAGAGCUUACCUCAAGACUCUUGAAACUUUGUGUUGACUCCCGUCCUAAGUUGAUAUUGCUUGAGCUUGACAGAUUCAAGUACUUGGAAGAGUUGUCAAUAAAACACUAUAAUUCCAUUGAAAGAAUGGACCUCUCACAAUCGAAUCUUUUGAAAGGAUUGGACAUUGAGGAUUGCAAUAAUCUAGUUGAAAUUUACGGCCAACAUAAAUUGGAGUUCUUGGAGACAAAUCGUACAUAUAGCUGCAAAUCCAUUAGAAGGCCAAUCCAUUCGAAAUUACGAGGGCUUGAAGCGAUUAAAUACUUGCUAUUGCGACAAUCUAGUUGAAAUACAAGGUCUUGAUAAGGUGGAGUUGUUAGAGAUGUUCAAUGUCUGUAAUUGUGGUUCCAUCAAAAGAUUACCUGACCUAUGAUGCUUUUGGAACUUGAAAGAAUUGAAUAUCAAUGGUUGUCAUAAUCUAUGUGGUGUAGAGACUCAAUUCCCAGUCUUACAUAAUUGCAAGAGUGGGGAAGUCGGCCCUAGAACCUAACAUGAUGCUUCAGCCAAGAUCAAAAUUUAGAUCCGAUUGUGGUUCUUCAUACGUUAGAAGGCGUUGGUCAUCUGGUAAGAUUCUUCAUCCUUUAACAACUAGCAUGAGCGAAAAGUGUAAUACUUUUCUAACAGAUAUGUCUUUUAAGAAUUAUUUGCUUGAUGCUCGGUAUCUAUUUGAUCUGGAUUUGCCUAAAUAUAUUUGUUGUUGAUUGCAUCACGGCAAUGUUUUUUCAGCUAAUCUUCAAUCGGCAACUUUUGCAGAUAGAUUGGCGGCUUGUGAGGCAACAAAUGAAAAUUAACGACAUAGGUAAACAAGAAUUCUUUAGUGAUUUACAGUUUCCCUCUUGGUAAACCCAAGAUGAGAAUUUUUCAUCAAGAGGUUGAUCUUCUGCAACUCAAUUUAUAAACUGCGCGCCAGAUCCCUUUUUUCUCUAUAUCUCAAACAAGUAUUCUCCUGUAAAAAAUCAUUCGCCAUUUUGAACUCCUUUUGUGAGCAAUUUUAUGUGUCAAAUUUGACUAUUGAUAGAUAUCCUGUUUAGGACAAACAGCUCUCGAUUUUUCGUGAUGAUGGGAAAGCUUUUCCAUUGUUCAUUGGAGCAUGAAUUCCUAGUAAGGAAGAGAAACUGAGCUAAAAUAAAAAUCAAGGUUCAAUUUUUUUUUGGAGCGUGAUUUAAAAAAGUAAAAAUUAGUUUUGGCUAGCCUUUUUCAUCUAUGAUUGUAGGCAGGCUUUCCAUAAACAAUUGUGAGACUGUUGAAAGAUUAUCAAGCGAGAUAAAUUGGUGCUACUUUUGUGACAGGUCCGGUUGGUCUAUGUAAGGAUCAACGCUUACUUUUGGACUUCAAUUCAAAGAGCUGUAUAGAUGACCUUUUGCAUAAUUGGGACAAUUUUUUGUCUGUUCUGUAAAACAAGCUAGGCGAGGAACUUAAGAUUUUGCUUAUUAUUUUGCAUCCCAUUUGAUCCUGAUGUUGUCGUGGAAUCGUUUUAUCAAAUGAUUGAUCUGGGUCUGGCUAACUUGGCUGAGGCAAUUCAUAGUCCGUACCAAAGAACGAUCAAAUGAAGAAGAGGGAUUUUGCUUAGGUGUCAUCAGCAACAGCUGAAGGCUAGCUUUUGUGCUACCUUGAACAGGCUCACGGGCCGACUGGAGUUUCCUAAGGAAGCUUUUUAUGCCUGUGAAGAUCAAAGCACUUGAUAUGGUUUCAUCAGCACAAAACCGAAUGAUUGUGAAUGUAUUAUUUUUCAGUUGAAUCUACUUUUUGUAUGCUCAUUAGGUUCUACCUCUAUUAAGAAAAUACAUACAUGCUGAUUUUUCUACAUGUUAACCAGAUGCACGCUCUAAUGGUAUCAUUCCCAAAUUCGGUCAGGCUCUGCAGUUAGAGGUAUGCACUGCCAGUCCUACCAUAACUGUGAAAGAGUGACUUGUGUACUUAUAUUUAAUUGAAUGUGUUGUGUGCUUGUUAGGUUCUACCUCUCUGUUAAUCGAAUAUGUACGUGCUGAUUUUUCUGCAUGUUACCCUGAUGCGGUGUUGUUUGAUGCAGUCUCGUUCUAAUGAUAUCACUUUCAAACCCAAUGAGGCUUUGCAAAUGGAGGUAUGUACUAACAGUUGUACCAUAAUAGAGCAGCUUGUGUGCUUAUACAAUGUGAGCUGUGGAAUUUCACCAGAAAUCCGUGAAUUAGGAUUUAUGAUGACAAUCUCCUCUUUUUCUAUCAGUUCAUAAUAUCUUUUGAGUGUUGUGAUAAAGGUCUCUGAUAUGACGAGCUUAAAUCUCAUGUAUGCAGCAUUAAAUUUGUAAACUUACAUAUAGCCUCCUAGCAAACAAUUCCGUAUUGCUGAGUUCGCUAAUUGGAUAUUGCAAAAUAACCAAGUAACAAGUACGCCUUUCUGUUCUGUAGUUUGGGCACUUUGCCUUUUAAGCAUCCAUUCUGUUCAUAAACACAAACAAGGAUGAUGGUGCUAAUUGCUGACUUCUCUUCUCUUAAGUCCGUUGUUUUCUAUUUCUUUGGUUGAUAAUGAAUUAUGUUGAUUGCGAUCCAAGUGUGAAUUAAUGAGAGACCCCUGGAAUGUGUGGCAAAACUAAUGUCCCCAGAUUUUGGUGUUGAUAGAUGAGAUUCAUUGAAGAGGUCACUCGUAGAUUGCCAGAACCUGGACCAGGUCAAAAUAACAUUGUUUAUAUUGAUGGAAUCUCAAGUCUAUGCUUACCACUUUCAGCUAAUUUUAGGUUCUUCAUUCCAAAUACAUCUAAAAAUAGACAGAACUAAGGAUCCCAUGCAGCCGCGCCUUUAUCUCUCUUCGAGAUGAUUGGAAAGUGUGAAACAUUUUUACUCUCAACCAUCUUGUGUAACACAUGCAUCGCCCUCAUUUUCUGACCAUCUUUAGCAAGUGCCCGAGUGGAGACUAGUUAUAAGUCUUCUAAGGUUGAAUUUGUUAGUGUUCGUAACUUUUGAUGAAAUACCAUAAACAACCUGAAUUUAUCAUUCAUUCUUUUCCUGAAUCUAUCACGAAGUACAUACGUAGCUAGUAGAAUUAUAAUUAUAUUCAAAAUCUCAUGUGACAACUGCUAAUUGGAAAAGCCAAUGAGUGUGAGACCCAAAUACAGGGUUUACAUUUGAUGAUGCGGUUCAAACUAUAAGAGACACACCUUGGGGUCGUCCAAAACUUCUUAACGACUUGCCUCGAAGGACAACCAAGAGAAGGGAACAUAAUCUCGCCGAGGAAUGAAGAAGGAGAAGGGGAAGCAGAAGAAGAAAAUUGCCUCAACUGAGUUGACAACAAAAUUGCAGCUAACACUGCUACCGGGACCCUCUCAUGUGGACUCCGAUGCCACCACAUCUGUGAUUUAACUGGUAUGAUAUCUAAUUCAUGAAAUAUUUGAUAUAAUGCCGAAGUGCUAAUUUCCAAGUCCCCUUCAUUUAUUGAGUAGUAUAAGCUUGCACAAGUUCAAUUUCCUUGCUCUCGUAUCAGCAGCAGCAUCACAAAGUCCCGUCUUCCAAUUCCCAAGGAAAUGUUCAUUUUUAUUCUUUGCAGGGGUUUAUACCGAUAAAUGGUUGAUACUCCCUGCAAUAACCGCCGAUGAUCGUGGUGUACAUGGUCACAUCUAGCUCUCAGCCUGUGUCUUCCAAAUUCUUCAGCAAUCGAACGGCUUUUCCAGUAUUGCCGGUUCUGCUCAAUCCCUCAUCAUGGCUUGGCACGUGGUUAUAUCUACCUCGAUUGUCUGGCCAACAUUUCAUCCGCCAAGCUCAUGGCUUUGACGAUUCUACCCUCUCCAACGAGCCCAUUGAUCAAAGUGUUAUAAGCUCGUAGUUGUGGGUUCAAGUCCAUGUUUGACCAUUUUACACAAAACUGAGGACCCGAGAUCGGAUCUUUUCAAUUGGCAGAGGUAAUUCAUCAAAAUGUUGCGAGUAGAACCGUUGGGAGUGGUUCCUUUCGAACCCAUCCACUCGAUCAUGUCAAUGGUGACGGGUAAUGCUUCAUCUUGGCCCCAACCGCGAAGAGUUGGGCGAAACAGGGAGGUAAAGUCAAGAGGGUUCACUCGAAUCGUCCUCUCCAAGAAGAAUAAAGCAUUGUCAGCUUCCACCAAUCCGCCAUUUCUGCAUUUGUUCACCACAAAGGUCACAAGUUCAGAUUGACCCAUUGAAUCACUCACUCCAGCAGUGGAUGGGCAACCGUGGGAGCAACGUGAAAGAAAAUGGUUCGAUGCAAAGAUGGGAUGAGAAGUGAGAGGUUUAGCGAGAUCGCCAGAUUCUCGAACAAGACGGUGAAGAGCAGAAGUGAAAAUGGAUCGAUUCAUUCUCAUUAGUUUUGCCAAAUUUUCUCCUUCCGAGUUCAAGAAUCCACAAAUUGACACGAUGGUGUAUGGAGAGGAUGAUUAUUAGGCAAUUCAAUCACUGAAACUUUAGUUGUAUGAUAACAUAGUUUUCGGUUCAAUCAUUGAAAACUACUUGAUUGGCAAACUGAACAUUUCUAGAAAUACUCUGAUCGAUUCAUUCCUGUACUCAGCAAUUGAAGAGAGGUUGGGAUGCAUAAUCAUGCUCUUAUACUGUUGUGAAAACAACUAUGAAAUCCACAUGUGAGACCAAAUCCGAUUGGAUUGAAAUCUCACAUGACAAGAACGGUGAACACUAGGGGAGUCGAAGUAUCGCCUGUCGACAUGAACGUUUCUAUUCUUACGACUAUCGGCACAAAAAAUGAGAAAACAAUACUAACGUUUUCUACUAUUGUCAUUAUGUGUAUAGAACAUACUUUUGGCGUUAUACCAGUUUAACAAUUUGUUUUGGUCUAUUCGAUGCUUUCUUACUCGUCGAAUGAGGCAGGCAUCCCAGCUCACAUUUUGCAAAACGAAAUUUUCUUAUAUGAAUUUUUGGGCUGGAUGGUUUACAUAUGAAGUGCAUAUUUCUGUGUUUUGCAUAUGAAGUACGUACUUCAUGAAGGAAAAUAAUAAUAAUUUUUUUGGCCCUGAUGACAUAGGAUUACUUAGCUAGUGGAUAAAACUCUAAACAUGUGAAAUGGAUGACGAAGCUAAAUCAAUAAUUUCUCUUUGAAAUUGAAAGUGUUUAUUUUUGUGACUAGCCUUUUCAUGCUUAGCUUAUCAUCUUGUCGUUCAAUUGAACAAAACAUGCAACUGAUUAGAAGUGCCACUCUACGAGGACAUAGAAAGACAAUAAUUUACGAUUUAAGUAGACAGGAACCCGAACGUUAUAAGGAAAUAAUUGAUAAAAGGAGAAAAUGAGAAAGUCGUCCAUAUGACAUUCAUAACAGGUAAUUACCACUAGAUAGGCAAUAUUUAGGAGGACAGUUUUCUGUUUUACAUUUCUAUUUCAAUGUGCCAUCAGAUUCGGUAAUUCUAGACUUAAUUCAUAUUGUGAUUCCUCUCAUUCUUCAUCCUGAUCUCUUUUACGUCAUUUCAGUUGCUUCGUUCUUGUACACCAAACGUGCCCUUACGGUUUCCUAGUGUAGGCAUGGGUAGUUUGUUUUCUCCUAAGAUAGUUUUGCUUCUUGGAAUUAAUGUUGACAGAGUAGAGUUUUCUCCAUCUGGCGAUUUGGGUGUAUUGAGGUGCUUGUGUGGUGGUGUUAUGGGAAGGAAGUUUCACAUCGGAGACAUGAUGUAAUGCAAUGUUGUCGACGUGAAUUUUGAUGAAAAUGCAUCUAGACCAAAGUAGUGGUAUAGGAACUAAGAAAACUCUCCGUGGCAGCACAAUAUAGGAUUUCUUUGAUAGAUUUUCCUGCGGAAACUUGUCGAAUAAAGGUAUCUGACUUUGCGUUCUGAAUAUGUAUGUCGACAGCUAUUUCGCCUGACGUAGUUGUUUUUCUUCGGAGAGUGUGUGCAUCUUCCGCCCUUUUCUUUUUCUUUGUUUUUCGUUUUUUUUGUUGUUGUUGUGCAUCCAUGUGGUAGAAAUUCUGCAUUGGCAAAUAAUAGAAGUGCUAUGCCAUAAUUUCAAAUUAUUGGGGGAAGUUAUGAGUUGGGCGUCCAGUAGUCCUUCCUCGAGCAUGGCUACUAAUCAAGAUCCUUUUGUUCCCAUGCACGUCAAGACGCAAAAACAAUUUCGAACUAUUUUCUAUGGGAUUGCGCAGCCACCUGAUCCCGUUGCAAAGAGAACUAGCAAAAGGUGAGGAGGGUCCAUUGAUUAAAGAAGUAAAUUUUCUGGUCAAAGAUGAGCAGUAACGGCAGGAUCGCGUGUAUCCCAGGCACAUCCUGCUCAUCUUCUAAGGCAAUAAUAGAGGAAGUAAUUUCCAAUAUCAACACCUUACAAAUGGAAAAGUUUCCAAGUACAAGGAGAUAAUACCGUACCUCUUAAAGAUGGUAUCCUGUAAAAAAGUUAAUCUCCACCGGGAUUGGUGUGGCGAUGGGCUCCAAUUACAAAGAGAACAAACAAAAAUAUCACAGCGGGUAGUCUUGCCAAUUUUGGGGGAGGAAGGUUUGUUAUGGUGGUCUUGGUCAGAGGGUUAAAAAGAAGUAGAAGCGUUAUCCUCUGCAAGAUUGUGCGUCUCCUUUGGGCAAGAGACUAAAGUAAAGCUUUACUUAUGACAUGUGUGGCAAAGCUCCCGAUUCUCAAAAUUUCUAUAUUUUCAUUCUCGAAAAUAGAAAAAGAAUGGAAAUUUAUUAAGUGAAGCCAGUUAAUUUUUCAAUUUCUUGAAAUAAAGAAUAGAUUUGGAACAAAAAUAAAAAGUGAAAAAAGUUAUUUAUUUAUUCUCGAGAACAAUUUUUGAAACAAAUCAUUUUUUCUUCUUUUCUUCUUCUUUCUCCUCUAGUCAGUUGUUGAGCCUCGUUGAUGGCUGGCGAUCAACCAGAGACGAGGUCUGGUAACCUCGCCAGUGAUUGGGCGAGGUCAAGCCUCGCCGGUGACUAGGACUAGAAAUAGUCUUGUCCUUUUUUUUAAUCGAUUAAUUAUUUUCCUUUUUUAUGUUCUUUACAUAGUGCCCAUGAGUUUGGGGCCACGACCAACUCCCAAGUUAAUGAAAAGAAGACUAAGGUUCACUCGUAAGCACACCGGAUUAUAAAGUUGGGCUUGAGGUUGAGCUAAAGCUAAGCUUUUUAACUAGUCUAGUUUUAGUGUAAGAACCUUUUUUUUUUGUGGGUAGAUAUUACAUCAAAGUACAUUGAAAAUCACUUAUUAGGUUAUAGUUAUGUUUAAUUAAUUGAGUAAUUCUAGUGAAUAAAUGAAAAAAAACGACGUCAGCUUUACUCCUGAAGGGAGAUAGAAAUUAACAUGCUGUUAGCACUUAAUUAAGGUCAUUUAUAAACGUUUUUUUUCCUCCACUUCUCCCCAGUACGUAUUUGGUAAUUAUAAUCCUAAAUAGAAUACGCAUUUUCUAUGUGGCCUUAUAGUGGGCAUAGAGCUUCGUAUGGUCUCUUCAAAGGUCUUCCCCAGUAAUUCAGUAGAAAUUGUUAUCAAAAGUUGCCUCUGGUGCUGUGUUUUGUCUCUGUGUCCAAACUUCUUUUGUUCGUAUCCUACGGUGGCUUUUUGUUCAUGAAAAUAUGCUUUAUUUAACAAACUGUAAGCUAACAUGCUUAGAGAAAAAUGUUUUAGGAACCUACAGUGUUUUGGACUUAGCAUUCAAACCAAAAAUGAUACUGAUCCAGAAGCAAUUAUCGUACCAAAAGGAAAAAGAGAAGAGAAACGGAGAAUAUAGAUUUUGUCUUGGUCGGGUUGUUUGUGGGGUUGAGAGGCAUCAUUCCUUCAGUCGACAUAAGAUGCUGGAGAUCUUGAUUUUGUCUACCACUUUAAAGCGUGUUUGGUAACAAUUCUGCUUCUGAGAACAAAUUCUGAUCAGAAAUGAAUUUUUUUUUUAUUUUGUUCCCAGGAAUAGAUUUUGAGCAAAAAAAAUACGUUUGGUAACUGUACAAAAUUUCUAAUUCUGGAAUAGAAAAAGAACAGAAAUGCGUUUGGUAACUACAUAAAAUUUAUAUUUCAAUUCUUUUUUAAUUACCUUUUUAGAUAAGUAUAAUUUUGAUAUUGAAUUCUCAUGAACCACUCACUAAUAUAAUCUUCUUUUAUGAGUGAAGAAAUCAUAUUAUAUUUUAUUAUAUUUUCAAUUUCAAAAUAAUUCGAAUUUAGAAUUCUAUUAUAUUUUAAAAUUCUAUCAAAUCAUAGAAAUUCUAUUGAUUAAUUAUAUUUAUACUAAGUAAUAAAAAUAUUAACUAAUCAAUUUUUUAUUAAAUAGUAAAUAAUAAACCAUAGUAUAAACUAUACUAAUUAUAAACUAUCCGGACUUGGCACUUGUGAGUGGGAUUGAAGCAGCACCACCACAGAAUCGUUUUGCAACCAAUCCACACAAGAUCCACGCGAGAACGAUCUUCGCUUCCACCGUAUGUCGAGAGAAUCCCGACUCGAGAACUCUUUCGCAGGUUAAGACAGCCAUCGCGCAAAGGAAUCUUUAACGAGUAGAAAGGGGCAAGCUUCUUCCUUUCGAGCAACCAGUCGAGCAUAUAGGCACACGGGCAAAGGGAGAAAAUGCGUCAGCUGUUUUCAUAUAUAUAUAUAUAUAUGUAUAUAUAGAUCUCUGCUCUUGAGACAAUUUAGGACAUGCAGCAAAGGAGCUAUCAAGAAAAGGUACUUACUUGCUUUGGUCAGGAUGAAGAUAACGAGUUCUGCAGCUCCAUGUGUCUAGCAGCAACGUCCUUAAACCCCUCUUUCAACUUAACUUCAUGGUGCUUUUCUUCCUCAAGCGAACUCACCAAUCUGUCCAGAAAUCUACAAUUCGGAGAAACAAAGGAGUUAUUAAAGUAUGUUCUCCUUUGUAUAUAGGAAAUAGAAAGUAGACUGGCAACUCUCCAACUUCCUAUAGUGAAAGUGACGAAUUUCAUACACUUUGAAAAACUGAAUAGAAAUUGCAAUGAACAGACCAUCAAUCUGAAAGAAUAUCUGAAAGCACCUUUUGGAGUUCGAUAUCAUGAUAAAGUCUCGAGUUUUCCUGUUUGUCAGCAGAGAAAUGGCCAGUGAAACGUCUGAAACCAUUGUCUCGAUGGCAUCAGCCGCAAACUGCUGUAGAACAAAGGGAGCAACUGACUGGACUUGAUGCUGCAGAGAUAAUGUAUCUUGAUUCCUCAACUCUGCUAAUCGCUGAUGGAGAAAGGCUUUGAUCUGAUGAAAGUACCAAAUCAGGCAAGAACAAGAGAUGUUGUCCAAAACAAUGUCAGUACAAUCUUUGCAAAAUACAAUACAUGUGGGAGGUGACCAUGAGAUGAACCAUAAAUUGGGAAAGAACAAUUAAACGGCGCAACAAACUAAACACUAUCUCAUAAAGAUCAUCGAGAAUCUUAUUUCUAUACUCUGUAUCUAGAAGCUGGCUUCGACCUUCCUUUGUUUCUGUAGCUUGUGCAAUAGUUGGUGAAUUAACUGCACCUACAUUGGGCAAGCUAACAUCAUCACUGACAUCAACUUGAGGUGUUUCAACAUUAACAUCCCAAGAUAUCUCUGACACUGAUGUGUCCUGUCCAGCAUUGCUCGGUUGAAUUUGAUUAUGCUUGACAGCUUCAUUGACCUCACUUGCUGUGACGAUUUCAUAAGUACCAAAGCCAUUACUGCCGUCAUCAGUUUCUUCCACAGUCCCAAUAUCCCAAUCAAUUGCAGCAUUGUCUACCGAGACAUCCCAGUCAAUAUUAUCUGCAGCAGCAUCCACAUCACCUCCUAUCUCAUUGAAGCCUGAUUGAGUAUUUGCAGAGUCUGUGAUAUCAGAGAGCAGAAACAUUCAAAGAUGGUGGAUUUUCACGAAUGUCUAUCAAGUUUGGUACAACACUCUUAGGACAUAUCAGCAAACAUGUCUCAAUAAAUUAAUCUUUACAAUCAGACCGAAAACCAAUAAAUGGAUCUUAAGUAAUUUCUAAUUUACUGCCUUACAUCCUUCUCUGUGUGAGCAUCUUUCACAAAAUUUGAGUAAUACUCAAUAGCUCGAGACACUGAGUCGCUGUUGAUCACUUCCAGAAUUCUGCUAAAUGUGCUCGGAAGUGAUUUUGCAGUUUCCAAAAGUUCAAACCUCACAUUUGUUCCCUGAAAAGCAGACAUGGAUGCCCUUUAACCCUAUCUAAAGGAAAGGUUGCUAUUCUUUAGCUUGGUAGAAGCACACACCCAAUAUCUUAAUAGACUAGAUUCAAAAGUUUAACCUGCAAACCAAGCUCUUGACAAGCCUCCACAUAUUUAGCUGCUGACAGAGCUGCAUUUCUUUUGAUAUCAACUUCUCUACGCUCUAGCUCUGCUAGUUGCUGCUGAAUCUUCAGAACUUGUUUCCUCUGAUAGGGGCUUCACAUCAUAUUAAUUAUCAAUGAUAUGAUUAUGCCUAUCACAGAAAAACAUAUUGCAAUGUACUCUACACAUCCUAUCCUCUCGGAAAAACAUAUCAUAAUUGACAUUUUGGAUCAUUAUCUGAGCAGCUUCGCCUAAAAAUAUAUGAUCUUUCUCGAAAGAACAAACAAUUGUCUCCAAGCACCCUGCCAAAAUUAUAAAUUAUAAAUCCAAUGCGAGAAUUAUCCUUUAGAUCACAGAAGAGUGUGUGUGUGUGAGAGAGAGAGAGAGAGAGAGAGAGAGAGGUCUUACAGCGGCACCUGUUAGCCAGCCAGAUCGGCGCGGGCGCCCGCCGACUCGAGCCCGGUGGCGCUCCCGCCGGCCGUCGCAGACGACGAACGACGGCGAUGGUGAGCGAGCCGUCACCCAGAUCAGCCGACAACCACCCAUAGCUGCGAGUGAAGGGAACUCACCUUGAACGAGCAGCUUCAACGAUGAAGAAGCAGCAGUCGCCGUCGGUCGCAGUUCUUGAGGAGAGAAUGACUUUUGUGACGUAAGAAGAAAAAGAAAGGGUUUGAGCAGAGGAGAGGAGAGGAGGGAACGUAUGGAGAGAACGUCGAGCAAACGAGAGGAGAGUUCCACUUUUUUUUUUUUUUUUUUUUUAUAUUUAUUUUUUAUUUAUUUUCGGAAUAAGAAUCAAUUUUUUUUUUUAUUCUUGAUUUUACUCAAAAUUUAUUUCCAGGAGAAAAAACUUUAUCAAGCGCGAUUCUGUUCCCAAACUAAUCCUAGGAACAAAAAAUCAAAAUCAGGUACUGUUUAGAUGAUUAUCAAAUAGUGCCUUGAUAGUUAAUACUCGCAAGGUUGAUUCACUAGCUGUCUACAUGGACUUUGAUUCAAUUUCUCCGGAGCUCAAGAUAAGUCCAAGUUUUGAGCCAAGCUCGAAUCUACAAGUAUUAAGUCGAUGUAUUGACAUUCAAUUUAUUUCCUUUGUUGCUUAACUAGUGCCUAAGUAUUUGUUUGAAAUUGACAAAGUAGUACUUUUUUUUUCUUAAUUUACCUCUCUACUUUUAUAUUCGUUUUCAUCUGACGAUCUCCAAAAAAAUUGAAAAAAUAGCAUUUCCAACACUACGUUACCGUCUGGCCAGAAAAAGAAAAUGGAUAAUUAUGUACACCAAAGGAAAAUUAGGAUCCGUAAGGUAAUUUACUAACAAACUGAAAAUAGACAAACCAUACGACCCAUGGCAAAGUCACCGUCAUUAGACAGGAUUCGGUCCCAUCUUCCCUUCUCAUCUGGUCACUGUCGAUCAUUCGACUAAUUCUUGCCAUUCUUUAGGUGGCUUUGGGUUGUCCCCAAGCAUUUUGCUAGCGAGCCGAACUCGAGUCAAGAAAACAAUACUCGAUCAAGUAAGUUUCGAUUUUUGAGUGCCACGAUCCGAGCCGAAGACACGCAUUUGUGCACAUUUUCUGUGGCAAGUUUCGCCAUUACGAGCGAGACAGAUAAUGACAUUCGGGGACGAGUCCCACAUAAGAAAGUAAAUGGUCGCGGCGAAAGGAAAAGAUACCGAAGUCAGAAAAGCAUAUUGUACACGUUGCACGGGCUAGUUAGCUUCAAACUUCAGACUUGCGAACACUGCAGGGCCAUCCUACCUAGCUUUGCAGCAUAGGACCCAAAACCUAGAUAUGUAAGAAAUAUUGAUACUAAAUAUAUAUAUAUUAUAUGCAAAAUAUAUAUUAUGGAGUAGAAAGAAAUUCAAUAUAUAUUGUUAUUUUAAAAUUUUCAUUUUAUAUUAGAAUACGAAUAUUAUUUAUAUUUAUUUUUCAUUAAUUUAAGAAGUUUGCUAUUUGAGAAAAAUAGCUUUUAUACCAUAAUAAUAAGAAAUUCUAUCCACCUUUCUUGUACUUUCUAUAGGAAAAUUUCAUCUAGACUAUGUUUCUAUAUAUCCAGCUUUAUUCUAUCUUGACAUACUAAAUAUGAUACAUUACACUAUCCUAUCUUGAUUUUUUAAUUAGGCUCAUUCAAUUAUUGGUCAAUUGUAAGAUCGAGUAUUCAGAACUAACUUUUCUACCAAGUGCAAUGGCCAUCUGAUUCUCGGGGUAGCUUCUACUGUAUAUAGCCCAGACUCAAGUCUCUCUUCGCUUGGAGCGAAAAAGGUGUACGUCCUCUGGCUUGGCCACAGCGGAUGAUGGAUACCUUGGCCACAGGAUCAUAUUCAUUAUUCAGGCAUCAGUGCACCUACUAAAGCAUGCUCAGCCACUUCCAAAAUUCUCAUCCUACGGUCAACAGCCAUAGCUACAUUACACCGGACGUAUAUACCAUGCAUGAUAAGCAACCAACUUCUUCUUUUCAGAUGAGACAACGGCAUUUUUCUUCUCUGGUCGGCCAUGAUUCUCUCCAGAACAUUGGAUAUCUCACGUUUAGCCACGUCUCCAGUUCACAUGUGCUCUGACGUUUAGCCACGUCUCCAGACGAAGCAUCUAAGCUACCCAGAGGCUGCCACCUCCAACUUCCUGGGAUCGUAGAUGAUAUCCAAACAGGAGUCUCCAGGUGGGCAUCCCUACCCGAGUCAACCUGAUGAGGAACUUCCAAGUAUCAUUGACUAUCCACAAACAUACGUACCUGUAUAUUAUGAAAACCAUAUACAAUAUGAAGCAUAAAAAGAAAGACGGUCUUGUAUGGCAUCUGCCAUAUAAGAGAAGAUAAAUAUGACUUAAAAGCAGCAAACAUGCAAUAUGACUUUGCCAUCACCUGUCUUCCUUGAUCAUUAUCACUACAUAUCUUUGGAGCAAAAAUAUCUGGUAUUGGAUGUCGAAACCUUAUUCUCAUUAGAUGAAGAAGACCCAUCCCAAAUAAGUUAUAGUCAACCUGCCAUUAAUUAACCUCAAGUGCAUCAAGAAACACACAUAUGAAAGAUAGCAAGUCUGGGCAUGAGGGCAUUAAUGACCCAUCCUUGCAAACUCACCCACUAUAGAACCAGAGAAAGGCAAAUUUGGCUAAGAUAGAAAGAUAAACUGAUGUCGCAAGAUAAUACCAGAAACUGAAGCAGAUAGGGAAUAUGCGAUUCAUGCCACAGCAAACUUCUGUCAAAUACUGCCCCUCCCUGGAAAAUGAUGUUGGACCAUGAAUAAAAAGAAAUAGACAAACAAGAUGACUAUAGGCACAUGUAUUGCAUGACACCUUUUUUUUUUUGUCAAAACUAAUAUAUUGAUUACAAGCUUUUCUUACAAGAAAACCUUCCUCAUAGAAGAUAACCUUUUGGAACAAAUCCAAAUACCAUCCCAACUUUCAUGCACAUACCAAUUUUCAUCCCCUACUUUUAAAACCACCAAUUCAAGAGUGUUGUUAAUAUUGAGAUGGGGGAGGGGGAGGGGAGGGGAGAGAGAGAGAGAGAGAGAGACUGGUAAUAGAGGUUUAAGACAGCUAGAGCGCAGCCAAAGAUGGCAACUGGUGGCUGUGAAGCCUUUGAGUGGUGUGAUUGGUGGAGAUGAUUAGGUUUGGGUUUAGAAUUUGGAAAUAAUUUUGGGAUAAUAUUUUCUAAAGUUUGUUAAAGGAAGGGCAAUUUGGUCUUUGGACUAUGCAGUUUGGGCCUAAGAUGCAAUUUGCAAAUUUCAAAAUUCGAGCAUGUAAAGCGAUUUUUGCAUGAAAUCUUAGCGUGGUAUUCAGAGGUUUGCCUUUUUUUACCAAAACUAAUAUCUCCAUUUACAAGGUUUUCUUUUGAGAAAACUUCCCUGCAUCUCAGAAAAUGUUCAACAGAACAUACUCCAAUGGCCACAUUUAAUGACUAGUGGACUUCCACUGAUACAUUUAUAUUACUCUGUCGAAGAACAAAAUAUAUGCUAAUUUUCUCAGGCCUCUCAAUAAAUCAAAACUUAAUUGCCAAAUUUUGGCCCAUAUAUUUCUGGGAUGCCCCAAAUAAAAUAUGAAUAGCAAAUGCUUUCUUUUUACGAUAAAACAAAAAUUUAGUUAUCAGGCAUGCGCACUCCAGAUCAAAACAAUGAAUACACUUGAAGGCAUGCAAUUGAAGAAGCCAAAGAUGACAAGUACCAAAUCUAGAGCAGAAUGGUGAAAACUCUUUAGUAUUCCAAAGCAAUACCAAUUCCAAUAAGGCACUAUUGAUAGAGAAAGAAGAAUACCAAAAGAAGCUUGGCAGCACGUGAGACAUCAUGUGGAUGAUAGCUAAAGCAUCAGUCAAGGUGCCACAAAGAUGUUGCUAUGGAAUAUUCAGGCAGAAAAAUAUAGAUACACAAGCUGUCAUUUAUGGAUACAGGUAUAUCUUGACAAACAGCUCUUCAGAUGCAUGAUAACCAUAAAAUCUCCUUGCUCGUACAAGGCUGCAACCAUGCACGUGUUGCCAUUUUACGCCAGCAUUGCCUUUGAGCUGCAGUAACUCACAAAACAAUCCUUUCAGAUACAAACUAGCAAGUGAAUCGCACAAUAAGUUAAAGCCAGGACUUAAUAUUUUCGAAGAAUGACAAAUUAUACCUUCAAGGCUUUCUCCAUGGCUAGAGAGAGCAUUUGUAAAUGCAUCCCCUGUGCAAUUCAACAGUGACCAAUUAAUUCCACGCUAGUAGCAGAACAGUAAGAGACUAGUUUAAAAAGGGACAUGAAUUCGAAAUAUAUGAAAGCACGAAUAUAUCAAACAAAUUGAGAUAAAGUCUACAGCAACAUUAUAAUACGAGGACAUUGACAAAAACUGGUCAAGUAAAACCACAGCCACGUUGCCAAAAGAACAUAUCACCCUGAAAACACACAAGCUACAUGCUAGAGGUAUUGUGAACUGAGAGAAACGUUGAUUAAUUUCUUCAAACCAGGAUAUGCUCAAAGCAGCCUAUGCAUCUGUAACACGCACAAGUACCUUCAGACGUUGGAUGGAUAGGAAUAUCUGUACAUGGUACAUACAAAUAGGGUAAAGCCUACAAGAAAAAAAAAACAUAAUUUAGAACCAGUACGAAAAAAAUGUAAAAGAUAUUGCUGUCUCAUAAACUAUGCCAUGGACAAGCAUCAUGUACUUUUCACAAUAGAUUGCUUGGCGCCACGUAAGCAGAAAGGGGAAGAAACUUUCUGCAUUCUGAAAUUGCCUUUUAUCUUGUAGCAUAUACCUCAACUCAAUUCUGUCAACCCAUGCUGGUUUAAAUUCUUCAUCGGCAGAAAGGAAGUUACUUUCAUUGCUCCACAGCUCAAGGGAGGUAAAGCAAGUACUUGGAACAAUUAAAAAACUACAAAUAAACAAGGACUACACUCACCUUAUGCACAUGUAAGCAAGUUUUUUGAUCAGCAGGAGUUGAACCAUAUGCUCUUAUUACAGGAACCUCAUUCACUUUUUCACCUUCAUCAAUCAAUCAUGAACAAGAUUAUGAACAUACAAAAGUAAAUACUUGUAGCUAAAUUUCUAGCUACUGUAUAGUAAAUGUAACUGUUAUUUUUGCAGGUUAAAGGUCAAAUCCUCACACAGAAUUUUAAAGAUUGACAUGGGACCACGCCACAUGAAAACUGUAAGCGCACCUUCUUCUCUUUGCAUCAGCAACAAAAAAGCGAAUUUCAAAUAUGUCAUCAUCAAGACAACUACACUCUCCAAACGAAAAGUAAUCAUCAGUCUACGGAAGAAGACGAUGAGAUGAACAAUGCCCACCAAAUAUUAAGAAAAAUAUUCAAUACUCUCUGGAUUUUCUAAGCAACCAAACCAAUCAUGUAAUAAAUUAUCAAGACACCAAUGUGCUGAUUCCAUGACUGUGCUACAAUUUUAAUCAAUCCUUGCAUAUAUCCAUGCCAGGCAAUUACUUAACAUCAAUCCAGCAGCCCCAACAAGAAGUCCGAAUAAGAAAUCCACGGACAAACUGAUAAGUUCUUCAUAACAGAACACUAAGCCAAGCAUAUUCCUUGCACUCAUAAGAAAGCAAACAAACUUUUGUCUGCAAUGCAGUAACUGAUCAAGUCCUACUCUAGCAAACAAAAUUAACAGCUUCCAGAUUCAAAACACAGGCUUCUCUGGCAUUUCCUACUUACCACUAGAUUCCAUAACCAAAGAAGCGAAUACAAAAAAUUAUGCUUCAAAAGAUGAGAGCAGACUCUCAUUCUUUUUUUACCAAAGACACUUUACGUACAUUUUAUUACGAUAAAAACAUAGAAUAACUUCAAAAGCAUCGCUGUUCCUAGGAGAAGACAACAUCAAGACCCGUUCUAAGACCCCAAUUCAGCCACAGCUCCAGGAAGCAGCAAGACCCAACAACAUUACUGCGUGGCAACUACCUAUUACCAUCACGGGCACAGUAAAACGAGUCUUUCCAUCUGUUUUCGUGCUUCCCCUAAUGCCCAAAUUCCCACAGUCUCAUUCUUUUUUACUAAAGACACGUUAGAUACAAAUUAUUACUAUGAAAACAUAGAAUAACUUCAAAAGCACCGCUGUUCCUAGGAGAAGACAACGUCAAGACCCAUUCUAAGACUCCAAUUCAGCCACAGCUCCAUGAAACGGCGAGACCCAACAACGUUCCCACGCCGCGGCUACCUAUAACCGUCGCGGGCACAGUAAAAAAACGAGUCUUUUCCAUCUGUUUUCCUUCUUCCCCUCUAGGAGAAGACAAUAUCAAGACCAAUUCUAAGAGACCAAUUUAGCCGCAGCUCCAUGAAACAGCGAGACCCAACAACGUUCCAGCGCCGCAACUAUCCAUAACCGUUACGGCCACAGUUAAAAAAACGAGUCUUUUCCAUUCGUUUUCAUGUUUCCCCUACUGCCCAUAUUCCCCACCGUCCGAACCGCUCGUACCUUGAAAGCUGCUGUAACAAACAUCGACGCCCGGGAUCGGGCGCGCCAUGUGGUAGUCGAUGGACACGAUCCGGACGCUGAAAAUCGCGGGGUCCUUCUCCGGGCCCAACGCCGCUGUACUGGGCUGCGAACCUUCUUCUCCCGUCGGGACCGGCGGCUCCUCCAUCUGCGGAAACCUUCCCACGACCCUCGCUGGGGAAAAGCGCCGGAACCCAGUGCGCGCUUAGCCCGAAAGUCGAUAGCCUGCGAGAGCUCGGAGGCGCUGGCCGAUGGUAACCGACCGCGCGAAAGUCAAGAGCGUCUUCUCCAAGCUCUUUCCAUUUUCCCCCCUCUCGCUUGUUCUCGUGCAGUGCGGUAACGGAACCCCGGAACAGGAAAAUGGACCGAGAAAACUCUUUUUUGGGCCGAUGAAUUAUUAUAAGUUACCUCGGAACGGUUAUUUUACUACUGUCAAAUAUAAUGAUAGAUUCCGACCAAAAAAAAAAAUUAAUGAUGGAUUCGGCCAAAAAAUAAUUUAAUAAUAGAUUAAAAAUCGGCUUUAAUCUAUCUUAUUAAUUGGUUUUAUAUACUAAGUAAAUGCUAACAACAAUGUUAAAUUAGAGAUAUUAGCUAUUAAUAACUCGGCAAUCAAAUUAUAAUUUUAUAACUUUCAAAUAGAUUAAAGAAAUAAGAGUAUUGAAAAUAUUAAAACUUUCAAAAAAUGCAAUCAAAUUAGAAAAUUUAUUAUAAAUAUACAAUUGAGUUUUAAAAUUUUUAAAAAAUACAAUUAAGUUUUAGAAUGGAUUAAUUUUAAUAUGAAUUAAGAUUUGUGUAUCAGUCGAAUCAAAACUAGUUUGUAACUUAAUUAAAGAAAUAUUUGUGUAUCGCUUGAAUUAGGAUAUGUAACUUCAUAAAAGAAUUAAUGACUUUAACAUGUUGACAACUUGUACAACUAAAUAUUUAUAAAUUAUUAAAAUGAACAAUAAUUUUGGAACAAUCAAGCAAACCCCAGUAUUUUUUUAUGAAGGUUUGGGUACAAACAUGUCACAAGCCAAAUACGUCACUGAUCCUCUUUUUUUAACAAACUGUUACUAAACAAUAUUUUUGAACUUACUGAUACGGAACAAUAGAACAAUCCUGGUCAGUGGUAUGCUCCCGAAUUACAGACCUUCAAGAGGUUUGUUCAACAACAAUAGUCAUCGAAUUCAAAUGAUCUGUCCACCCAUAGCUACAUCUACAAGCCCAGCUGAAAGUUUAUCAACACCUCAAACAAUUCGCUAAAACAUUAGCCGAUCCACACACAAAUUACUCCGUAAAUAUAUUAGUCAGUUCACGCAUAAAUAAAUCAUAUGCUCCAUUCCUUUCCAAAAGGCUAAAAAUAUAUGUACGUUGAUCACUAAUCAUACAAUAGCCACCACCCUUUUUCCUUUUGGACACUAUAUUUACAAUGAAAUGCAUAUUACAAAUGCAUUAUACAAGGUUCUAUCCACAAAGUGAUGGGAAAACAAGCUUAAUCGAUGCUUGGAGUUGCCCCAAGAAUGCAAAGAAAUAGAUGCGGCUUGGCGGAAUUGAAGAUUCACACACAUGGAGAAAUAGGUUCAAUUCCAGUCCCGUGCUUCAAGCUGCCAUCACCAUUCAUUUCAUCUUAUUAAAGCAGCCAUAACGUUGCCUAACUAUUUCAUUUAGGCCAAUCCCGCCUGUCUCUCCCACCUAAGGUCUUCGGAGAAUUUGGAGAGUGCAGCCCUCGGGUCACCAUCAGAGAUAGACAAGUAGUACUGAGCAGUCCCAUCAUCAACCUGCAUGCUCCUCCUAAGCGAGUCAAGUAUUCUCUUCUUCCCUCGUUCAGAGGUUGUCCUCUUUAGCAAAGAACUUAUCUCUAUGUCCCGGACGCCUUCUGGGUAAAGCACGGCGACUUCCCUCCUUGCAUGGUUAUCUCGCUCUAUGUAGCAUGUGGAAUCGAUAAGAAUGUCAGGGUUGCUUAUGGGGAUUAACAAUCCCUCCAAUAUAUACCAUGAUCACUCAUCAUGUUGUUCAAGCGCUUUAUGUCCAUGACCUGACAGCACAAAAGAAAUUCUUGAAGCAUGUGACAUGCGGUGUAGACAGGCACAAAAAGGAUAUGCUUGACAGAAACAUUGAAGCAGGGAAGAAAAAAUUUUCAGGGAAGCCAUUCUAAAAGUAAGACUCUGCCAACUGUUAUCAAAACAUUGAACCCAGAGAGAUCUAACUACAUGACAUCAUUAUUGACACUUCAGGGUUAUUAUGACUACAACCAUGGAAAAUUUCCAUAUAAAGACAUAUUCAUUUCCUAGUUGCACAAACAAUUUAAGUUCUGCUCUCAGAAUUUGAGGUUCACGUUCAACCAUUUCGAUGAAUCAAUACCACCACUGCAGAAUCAUCUACUAUUUCUACGUCAAUGUUAUUAAGUCAGAGAAACUAUCAUGAGGAUCACAAAGUGCAUUGCCCAUCAUUUCACACUGAUUACUUGCAAAAUCUGAGCAUCAUUUAGCCUCAUGUGUUCUGGCAACUAAGAGAUUGUGAUUAUCUAUUAAGAUAAUCAAUAUAUAGUCGUCAAUCAAGCAUAUCUUUUUGCUAUUAGUAACCGGAGAUGCUUCUCGCUUGGCAAACUUAAGACAACUUUACCACAUGAAGAGAUUUCAUAAUGUUUUACAUGAAGAGGACCCUAUGCUCCCUAAAACAUAACAUUUUGGUCCAAGCCCCAACCUUCCUCCAUACCUCCAGAAGAAACCACGACAGUGACUUCCAAGUGUAACCGUUUCCUUUUCCUUCUUUAUAUUUUAGGCUUCACUAAAAGAUGAAGUCACUCCAAAAUUACAAAAUUCGUAUGUCAAUUAGUCUGGCCUUCUCCAAUGGGAAUAAAUCUAUAAGAUUUGCAGUAGUAAAUUCCAUUGAGCAUCUAUCCUACCACCUAUUUGAUACAAUAUAGAGCCACAGCGUAAAAUUAUAACUAACCCCACUCAAUGGGGAUAAAUCUGUCAUUAACAUUGAAGUCAUUCAACCGCCAGCCUGCACAAAGAAGCUAUGAACAUCAUCAAAUGACAUGUACACUGUGUAGCAUCUUGUCAACAUUUUUCUUCUCCUAGUAAAUUCCCCAAGCUAACCUUUAUCAAAGAGGCCAGAACCCAAUUGAAUGGAGGUAUAAAAGAGCCAUGCCUGAAAUUGAACAAAACUAUGUACUUAGACAAUCCUGCACCAAUCAACAAAGCUAUCCAACUUUGGCUGUUAUAAUGGAGGAAUGACAGAAUGCUUCUUCAAGGAGAAAAGCCUCUGCAAAGACCUGAUAAUUGUCGCUAGCUGUACAGCAUUUCUCAAUCAACAAGUCCUCAGCAUUCUUCGGGAUUCACCAUUUUAGCAAUCAAACUCAGGAUCACAAAUUCGUACAUUAUGAAAAGCACCUAACCCAUCCCCACCCAUCCUCUCAGCGCCAAUGAAUAACCAAAUAGACAAUCUAUGCUGGAGAAGAAAACCAACCAGAAAUUCCAUGAAAAUUCACAAUAAGGCUCCCAGCUUCCGUCCACUUCACUCAAACGGACCCACCCACGUCUAACCCUGGCUACACAUGACCACAUGCAGAACAAACGUACACGACUUCCAAAACAUCAGAAGGAUACUACCAAGAAACCUUCUUCGUAAAGUUUCAAAAGCUAUAGCCGUACACACCACUUUAGCUAACUUUUAAAUGAAAUCGCAAUCCAUUUGUUCUUCAGAAUCAGCUGAAAGUGAAUCUCCAUCGAAAAUGCAGCGCCAAAGCAUGUCAUUUGCAAACGUUUAAAGUAUACUGCGGGAGGAAAUAAUUUCGCCACCGACAUAAUUCACAGUUUUGCUCACAAUCAAUACAGCAAAAGGGACAGAAACUCCAUUACCUGAACGGAGUACUUCACGGCGCGGCUCGCGACGCUAUCGCCGCGCUUAAUCUGGUGCGAGAUUGCGAACUUCCCCACGCCGUUAUCCCUCCAGAAGCUGCCCGAGCUCGGGACGCCGACCACCUCCUUCAACCUCCAGGGGACCGCGAAGGCUCAGGUGACCAUAUCGCGAUCGGAGGCGACGGAGCUCCAGAUGCGGCAGACGCAGCUCGCGCGGGCCAGGUUCGGGACAGGGAGCUUCUCGAAGAUGAGCCGGAGGGUGUCGGGGCAGGCGAGGGCGGAGAAGUGGGAGUUCAUCGGCGAGAUGGUGGAAUCGUCGGCAGCGGAGGCGGAGGAGGAAGCGGCGGCGGCGGCGGCGGCGGCGGCGGUGGAGGACGGCGGCGGAAAGAGAUCGGGGGUCCGGGGUGGAGGCUCCCGGUCGUCGUCGUCGCCGCAGCAGCCCAUUCAGAAAGAGAGAGAUGGGAAUGUCAAUGCAAUCGGUUUUGGAUGGUUUUGGAUUUUGGUUUUGAACGGUGGAUGGUAGGUGCCUGAAAUAUGGUUUAAUUACGGUUUUUUGCCCCGCAUUUUGUCAUUUAUUACAAAUUGCCCCUGACUUUUCGAUUUUUUGCGAUGUCAGACUGGUGUGACUUCCAUCAUUUUUCAGUUGGAGCACCGACCAUGUGCUUGUCACGUGACUGAGUUGAUCUUUCAUGGAAGGGAGAAAGGGCCCGUUUCGUUCAAUUUUGCGAACAUGAUUUUGAGAAAAUAAAGGGUUUUCCGAAAUGCUACCCCUUCUAAGCUACCCCUUCUAGUGAAUUGCAAUUUCAAAUAAUAACUUCAACAUAAACACUAGGCCAAUUUCAUAAAAAAACACAAACUUUAGAUAUUAUCUCAUAUCUGACCCGCGUUAACCAUCCUUUCAUAGUCACCGUUAGUGACAUUUUUAUGUUAGCAAUAAUGUCCAACACAUCAAGCUGACGUGGAUAUAAAGAUAAAACUAAACCUAGGCUUUCUCCUCUUCGUCUUUAAAGCACGAGAAAAUCUGCUCAUCAUGUCUCUCUAUUUGUUCAAAAAAAAAAAGUCUCUAUCUCUUUGACAUCUCCUGGCUAGAGUCACUGCCAAGUUUGACAUCCACACGUCCACCGCCGAUGCCCGUCCAGGCCAACACUGCACGUCCAAACCAGACAACCCCUCCGUCGUCCUUGUUGUUAGCUUCGUCUUUGCCGGAAGGAGUCUUCCAUCUCUAUCGUCUUUGUGGUCAUCUUACCUGUUUUUUGCUUGAGCAAAUGGCCAAAAAUCUGGAAAAAAAUAGAAGUCUCCAGAAAAAAAAAAUCUGGAGAAAAAUUUUGAGACAAGGAAGGGGCAAUGAGUGUCUUGGCUUGUCUUUUUAGCCAAAAAAAUCUGACAUUUAGAGGAGUUUACAGGGCAACGUGGGUCAAAAAUCAAAGACAAGCCAAAAGAUCUGACAUUUAGAGGAGUUUACAGAGCAACGUGGGUAAAAAAUUGGUGGGUCUCUUGGCUUGUCUUUUUGGCCAAACAUAGAAGACAUAGCUGCAAACAACUCGAGUUAUGCGGAAUUUGUGGAAGCUGGGUUAUGGGAAAUCCUGGGGGAAAAAGAAAAGGAAACCCAGAAACUUGAGUGCUAAAGGUUUUUUUAUGACAAAACUCACACCGGCAAUUGGGUUUUGCUAUUUUUAUUUUUUAUAAUCAAAUCCGGCAGCCGGCCGGUCGCCCUAUGACAAAUAAAAUAAGAAGGUGGUAAGAAGGUGACACAUAUCCUCGUGGGAUCCACGGACUGAUUGAGGAGAAAAUGAGGCUUUUGCUAUUUUUAUUUUUUAUAAUUAAAUCCGGCAGCCGGCCGGCCGCCCGGUGACAAAUAAAAUAAGAAGGGGGAUGGGGGAGGCGACACGUAUCCUGGGAAGAAUGGGACGGACUGAUUGAGGAGAAAAUGAGGCAUCAUUGCGCGUCUCCUUCGGGCCAAGAGGGGCAAGAGGUUCAAAGUAAAGCUUUAUUUAAGUCCCGAGUGCUCGUGACCCAGGAGUAGAAACGCCAAUCACCAUAAUCAAUUGAGACGCUGGUCUUUCGCUCUGAGAUAUCUGGCUUUGAUAGCUCUAGAUUGAGGCGUGGAGGUGGUCUCAGAAUUGUGCUGCUUUUGAGGCUCGGACACGACUUGAUGUGCUUUAAGGUAACUCCUUUUUAGACAUUAAAGCCCAUCCGAGUAAUUCUGUCUCUGCAUUACUUUUUCAGAUGAGCCGGAUAGUCUAUUACAUUUUGAUAGAAGAAAAUAAAAACAUUUGAUUAUUACUCAUUGCAUGACAUCUAACAUCCUUAAAAGCAUGCAUAAUAUAACAUGUGAAAUUCCAUUGACUUUUUCAAAAUCACGGUCGUCACAGUUUGCAGAUUUUUCUUACUACGUUCCCUUUAUUCAAAUUGAUUAGUAUGAGUGGUUGGACUAUGAGCGGUUGGACUGGUUAAACCUGGUGGAAUUUGAUAGUUCUUAGGACCCCUUUGGUUCAACUUUGGGGAAAUGCAAAGCCAUUUCCCCAAUUUUAUUUAGAAGAAUGGGCAUUUGGUGAAUGCUGAAGUGUUUGGGUACUAUUUCGGUAUUUGCAUUUUGCAAAGUAGCUUUAAGGUGAAAAAGAAAAAGGAAAAACAUAAAAGGAAAAAUGAGGAGGAGAUGUUGAAGCAGAGGGGAACAGUUGGGAGGCAGUCAGAGUUGCUGGGGGAGGCGGUUGGUGGCAGUGGUCGCGACCUAUGCACCGCCAACGCUUGGGUCGCUCGACCCCAGGCGGGCUCGAACCACGCGAUAGUAGUGCGUGGUGACGGCGAUGCAUGGGUGGCCAGAUUUGGCCGACUGAGCACCGCUCAGCCCAUCACGUGGGUCGCGCGACCCAGGCGGCGUCGCCUGAGGUCACGACCCACGCAAUAGUGAUGCAUGGCAACGGCAGUGCAUGGGCGACCAAAUUUGGCCGGCUGAGCUCCGCUAGCUGAGCUUCACUCUUGAAGCUUCAAGACCAACGAGGAAGACGAUGAACAAGACCAACAAGGAAGACGAUGAAUAGUAGUUUUUGAGGGUAAAACAGGAAAACGCAAUUAUCAGUGAAGGCAAUAUUGGAAGAAAAAAAUUCAUUAAACCCCCUCUUCAGCAUUUCGAAAAUGUUGAAUGCCUAAAGCAGAUCUUCACUUGUUUUGGGCUUUCAGCAUUCCACAUUAUUCCAAAUGCUAACAUUUGGCCAAUGACACUAAAAAAUGCUGAACCAAACGCUUAAAAAUUUUCCCAAGGGGCUUUCGGGGCUGAAAGCCUCUUGGAAAUGCUUAACCAAAUGAGGCCUUACUACAAUCUCUCUCUCAUAUUUGUCACUUUCUGAACCUUUUACAUCCGUCCUCUCUUGCAAAACAGUUCAACGCUAUCAUCUACGGUCCUCGCUCGCUCUCGUUGUUCAUUUCCCUCUUGAAAGUUACUCGCCGAGGCUUGUUUAGGGUCUUCUCUCUCCGACCUUGCACCUCCCUUCGCAUCUCAGCUCGCGGAAGGUAAUCAAUUUUUUUUUUUUUCAUGACCCAUGGAAACCCGUAAGCCAACAGCCGGCGGACAAACCCUGGGGCUGACGCAAGCUAACCACCACACUCACGCCAGCGGUUAAGUCACCCUGCGACGCGCUGGGGAUUCGAACCCCUCCCCUUCAUGAGGGGGAGGAGGCCCAAAGCCAGCUACGCCACCCAGAUGGGUGGUGAAGGUAAUCACUUUUUCAUCUCUUAUUAGCGUGUCAUUUUUGUUGAUUUUCUUGCGGCCGAACUAGUGUGUAACGUGUAUUGGGCUUUUUUUUGUCUAAUGUGGGUGGCUGCUAACGUGGUGUGUCACCAGCUCCAGCUCAUAAUCGACUUUUGUAGAAAAGGGAAGCCUUUGCUUUCGACUUUAGAUGUGACUAAUCAUGUGGCCUCUCUGUCUCAUUGUUCGUUUACAUCACAAUUCAUUGUCCAUCCUUUAUUAAGCUAGAAUGAGUUGGAAUGCCAGCACGAUAGAUUCUAUUGCGCGCAAAAUUGCCAGUAUUCACCUCAAACCAGGGACCGUCUUUUGAUGGGUUGUGAGGUUUAUUUGUCUAUGAAGGUCUAAGAUAAAUUAAAUAAAAAACGAAACAGAAAAGAAAAAGUAGUAGGCCGGUUUGCGGCCAAUUCUGGGAUCAAGGGGUUUGAAUUUCAAUUUCAAAAAUUGGAAACAGGCUUUGAUAGGGUAGGUUUCAAGUCUUGUUUCGGAAUCUACACACUCUAUAACCGAUCACCCAUAAAAGUAAUUAUUCUCUUAAUUGGAUUUUAUUCGACAAUUUUGCCUCCCAAUAGAACAUUCUAGACAAAUAAUAUGAUGUCUUCCUUGAAUUAUUGGACAAGAUAAUCCUAAAAGGUACCUUGCCUUCACCUCUAACUCAUUCUUCCUUCAGAGUUUUGAAAAUUGACGGAGUCAAUUAACUGAAAAAAGGGUAUAAAAAAAAAGUUGAGUGAGUUAAUAUGCCAAGGUUUGAGUAUUUUUAACUCUAUUGCUGCUUUUUUUGAACAAAACAUGAAAACUAUAUUGCUACUUUCUACCUGCUCUCAACUCAUGAUAGUUUCAAUCAUCACAAUACAAACAUACCAAAUCCAUAUAUGAUGACUUCUUUCACUUUGCAUCUCUCUAAAAUUGCAGUCAUGGUGAUUUACUUAAUCAUAGGGACUCCCAAAUACAUGAAUUCUUUUAAAAUAGAAUAGAAGUAGAUAAUUGAGGGCUUGUUAUUCAACAGCAUAAUACGACUUAUAUACCCAUGUCAAUCAAUAUCCAUAUUCACAUAUAUCUAUCUAUGAUAUUUUCUUUAACUUCAUACCUUUUACAUGGUAUUCAAUACGAAGAAAAAUAUCUUAUGACACACACGUGAAAAUGAUCACAUAAAUUGAGCCAUACGCGCAUAUUAAGAGAUUCACCUAAUUUUAUAACACAUUUCUUACACUUCUUAUUACAAACAAUAAAUUCGUUCUUCAAAAUGUGAUUAAUCAAUUUAACCUGGUUUAUCAGGAAUUUAGUCAAUAAUCCUAUUCUUCUUCCAUUUAGUUGAAGAAAAAAAGCUUUGCGGUGAUAUUUUCAAGGUGGGCCCUCCAACAAAAAUGGGGACAAGCACUCAACGUCAUUGUUUCAAACCUUGGUCGUCUCUUAAUUUUCUUCAGCAGCUUCCUUUUACUUGCUUUCUUCUCUUCUUCUCCUGCUUCCACCGAAUCCGUACAAUUUUGUGUCAUUUCUAAUCUGUCAGACUCACGUGGAGAAGGGGCAAAGUCAGAGCAAGGCAAACAAAGGGCUGCACCGUUUCGUUUCAGAUCGGUUCCUUUGCGGUGCUUCUUGCGUCUCUAUGCUUGUAUUCAAACAUCUCACUAAGAAGAGAAAGACUGCAUAAAAAAGAGUGCACUGAGGGAAUCUGCUCCUCCGUUUGAUGCUAUCUAACAAAUUUAUAGCUUUAGUUCUACAGAUAAGAUAUCAUUCAAUGUUUAAGAUUUGAAGAUUUAAAAUGAAAGGCUCAGUGAUGAUAUACCGGUUCAAAAUAAAGUAUUUAUACAUGGAAUUAUAGCAUGUGGUAUUGGCGUGUAAUGAGUAAAAGAUAAAUAACCAUGAGCAUUUGUUUAUCCCUACCUCACAUUUCCAACUUCAUUAAAUAUAUGACAAUUUUAAACAUAAUUUAAAUAUAAAAUCACAUCCAUAAUUACUAGCUCGGUCCUUUCUUGACCUCUUUCACGCAUAUCUAAUUCUGUUUCACAUUAAUUAUUAACAUUUAAAUGAUUUAUCAAAUUCUGAUUUUCUAUAACCCAAUAAAAACCAAACGUAUGAUUAUGUCUUUAGUCGAAUGCAAUAUACUUGUACACAGAUUCCAGUUAUUUAUAGCCUAAUUAAAAAAUUAAUGUACACGUUGUUCGUGAUUGGAUCAAGCCAACGAGGUUGACUUGACUAGAGGAUGAGGUCCAAAAGAGGAUAUUUAAAAGCAUAGAUAUUUUUAAAAAAAAUUAUCACACUAAAGGCCCUAAAAUUAACAUACAAGUUAAUUGAAAAAAAUUUGGACCCGCGUUUUCAGGGAAAUACUAUUAGAAAAGCCCUACUCAAUAUCUUCUUUAAUUUCUAUGCACUUUUAGAAAGAAAUAAAAUGUCGGCCCAAAAGGAAAUAUUUCCCCUCAAUUUAAAAUCAUUUUCAUCAACUUCCUUCAUAAUUUAAACAGCCAAACAGAUGAAAUUUUUUCCUCAAUUAAUAUUUUAGUUUUAGUUAAUUUUACAUAUGAGCAAUGCCUAAAACUUGAAUCCAGCUAAUUAAAUCAUCAUUGAUGGAAAUUUUCUCAAAUUAGGAAAGUGCACGCAUCUGGAGAAUGAUGUCCACUGGGCAACAAUUACAUGACACCACAUUAGUUUGGCCAACCGAUAUGGGGUUAGUAGAAAGGGUUGGGAAAAUGAGGUGGUGAAGAUAAUGAGGUUUGUUUGUAUAUUAGGCUAAAAAUAAUAAGAGUAAGAUCAAAGGCUAUUAUAAGGAUAAGAUGUCGUGGGAGUUUAUAUUUGGUGGAAGAUGGUUCCAGGGUAUCUCCUACAUAAUUUCAAUGUUUUAGGUGUGAACUAAAAGAAUCUGUCUUGAAAUAUCGUAGACAAAGUUAUGUCGUUAUACCAUGUGUUUUGAGGAAGUCGAUUAGGCGUGGUAGCUAGGAGCACUGGCAUUCGACUUUUUUGUUUAAUUACUUCUUUCAAUGUGAAUUGGCUUUCUGAACAAGUAAAUGAAGGGGCUCUUUGGGGGCCCUUUUUAGGGGCCAUCACCUAAUCUUCUGCAGUCAAGCCACGUUGGUCACCCAAACUGAAGGCCGUGUCCUCUCUCUCUCUCUCUCUCUCUCUCUCUCUCUCAGGAGCACGAACUUCUUUCAGCAUUUCCCUCUCAGAUCGCCAUGGACAAAGGGCAAAGUCAGAAGAGAGCACCGAGGGAGCAUCCAGUUCUUCGUUCAUCUCUCCAAAGCUCACAGGACAAGGUGACGAUGCAUACGAUGUAUUCUUGAGCUUUAGAGGCUCAGAUACACGUAAGGAAUUCACCGACCACCUCUACAAUAGACUGGUCAAUACAGGGACUGCAUAUUUUUGUGUUCAAGGAUGAUAAGAGCAUCCCAAUUGGUGAGAAUUUUAGUUCACAAAUUCUUGGUGCCAUCUCACGAUCUAAGAUUUCAAUCCCCAUCAUCUCCGAAAAUUAUGCUACUAGCAAAUGGUGCCUUCGUGAGCUCAUCCAUAUGAUGGACUGCAAGAAUAGUGGGUCACACAUAGUGUUGCCAAUUUUUUACAAAGUUAAACCAUCAGAUGUGCGGCAUCUAAAAGGAAAUUUUGGGGAUGUCUUCCGUUCGAGUCAAAAGGAUUUUGAUGAGAAGAUUAUCCAUGAAGGGCCGCGAGCACUUAAAGAAGUGAGUGACUUACAGGUGUGGGAGUCCGAGAAAUUUGCUAACGGGUACGUCAUAGAACUUUUCUUCCUCUUUUUUUUUUUGGUUGGGAAACUUUUCCUUUUUCUUUGAUAAGUCCUCUUCACGCAAAACCAAUGAAAUGCAGAUGUAUUACUUGCAUUGCAAGCUCAGAAAAGAUCCCCAAAAUGUCCCCGUAAACAACCCUAAUGGGUCGAAGACUAGCAAACACUAGUACUUCCCAGGAUCUCGUGAAAACUAAACGAACGACAACUUAAACCAAAGAUCCCGUAGUGCCCAAGAAUUUUACAUUUGUCUCCAACACAAAGCCAAAAAACGAAAGAAACAACCCCUUCAGCCAAUAGUAUGCCCAUAAUGGACCCCAAUGCUGGGUCUUGAUCGCUACCAGAUAAAUUAGACCUCAUUAUGCCAACGGGUUGGCUCGGCUGAGAAGGGUUGGAAAAUUCCCAUUUACCAUGUUUAGGCUUGAUUUCCAAUGCCAGUAACCCUCAUUGGUAGGCAAUCUUGGGAUAGCCUCCUCUCCUCCUAGAAUUUUUUAACCAAAAAAUAAAAUAAAAAAUGGACCUAUCUUUGAACGGGCAACAACCUCAAUCGUUAUAAUGAACAUUAUAGUUUGAAAGACUCUUCUUGAGCCAUGUACACCACCUUAUUUUAUUUCAGCAAGAUCCAUCUAUUGGCAUAAAAGGAUAGGGUAAAAAAAAUUGGAAUGACCGCUACUCCAUCUUCCCCCGUUGUUAUGCGUAAAUCCAAAACAGCUUGCAUGUUAAUUGGCCCCAUGCAUCCUCAAAUAUAUGCUGGUCUUUGGAUGAGAUUAAGUAAAAUCAGGUAGUUAUCAAUGAAUUUUGUUGGUUGACAGGCAUGAAGGAGAAUUAGUGGAAGAAGUGGUCAAAAAGGUUAUGAGCAAAUUGCAACAAGACUUUCAGCUUGAUGUUACUAAGCACUUAGUUGGAUUUGAGGAUCAUGUGAGCAAAAUCAGGAAUUGGGUAGACACUCCUGCCAGUGCUACUCGAAUGAUUGGAAUCUAUGGCAUGGGUGGGAUCGGAAAAACAACUCUGGCCAAAUCAAUCUACAACCAGUUGUUGGAUGAAUUUGUACAUCAUAGCUUCCUUGCUAACAUUCGAGAAACGGCUCAAUGCAACGGUAUUCCUUAUCUACAAAAUCAACUAAUUGAGGAAGUACUUCAAAUCGAAUGUCAAAUUCGGAAUGUUGACCAUGGAAUUAGUUUGAUUAGAUCUAAAUUCAAAGGAAAAAAGGUUAUCAUUCUUCUGGAUGAUAUAGAUAACAAAAAGCAACUAGAUGCUUUGGCCAGAGAGCGUAAUUGGUUUAUGAGUGGAAGUAUUAUCAUUGUUACAACUAGAAAUAAAGCUAUUCUUGAUCAAUCCGAAUUUGAGGUAGACUACCCAUAUGAAUUGAAUGAAUUGGAUGAGGAGCAUUCUUUGCUUUUAUUUAAGAGACAUGCAUUUCGUAUGGAUCGUUGUCCAACGGAGUUUGAGGAUAUCUCUUGUGAAAUCAUAAUCACCAUGGGUGGGCUACCCUUAGCUAUUGAGGUCGUUGGUUCAUACUUGUUUAAAAAAACAAAGCUAAAUGUAUGGAUAGAUGUGUUGAAGCAAUUGAAAGAACAACCACAUGAAGAUGUCCAAGCCAUAUUGCGGAUAAGUUAUGAUGCAUUAAAAGGAGGACAUAAGCAGAUUUUUCUCGAUAUUGCUUGUUUCGUUAUCAGGGAAGAGAUCAAAUUCGCAAUGUACAUGUGGGAGGACUGUGGGUUUCAUCCAAGUCAAGGAAUAGAAGAAUUGGUACUGAGGUGCUUAAUAAAAAUUGAAAAUGAUGACAAGUUAUGGAUGCAUGAUCAAUUGAGAGAUCUUGGAAGGAGCAUUUUUUGCCAAGGACAAUCACCUCAAAGAUGUAUCGAACCAUGGAUCAGCAAAGAAGCCUUCGGAGAACAAAUACUAGGAAAGGUAACAUCUGGCCCUCCUUUCUCUCUUUCUCUCAUAAUUAUACAUAUAUAUUUUUAAUAUGAAUUAUUCUAUUCUUUAUUUAGUAUGAGGAAAUGCUCCUACUUUUUAGGAAAAAGUAUGUUUAAACAUCCAUUCAUGUCCAUUGUAGAUGAAUUGUGACAGCUAAUUGGGAUUAUAAGUGUCCCAAGGAUGAAAAAGUUACCUUAUUUGAUUCAAAUUCAUUGAUAUAAAUUAAAUCUGUCAAAAACUUAAUUUACAAUCAAUUUAAGAUUCUUUAACUAUGAUUCUGCACUAAAAAUCUGGUUCACUAAAAGCACGGAACUUUAUAUCUAGUUGAAAAUAUUAAUAAUCUGAAAAAUUACAGUAAUUAAUACGGAUGAAGCAUAUACAUCGUAAAAAAAAAAAAAAAUGUGCCAAUCAUAAUAAAUAAUAAUUAAGCAAAUCAGUAACAGCAAAGAAAAAUCAAUGUUUGAUAAACUUUUUUCCCCCAUUUUGAUCAUGAAAGUACCCGUCCCUCUACUAGUUUCAUCUAUCUCUUUUCCUCCUUCUUUCCUCUUAAUAGAUAUGAUGGUAAAAAAUCUCCUUAAGAAUUCUAUUGGGAAAACCUUACUAUGCUUUUAGGGUUACGUCACGUUGACCUUGUUCAUCUCAUGGACAAUCAGUGGAUCUUCUUAUUAUUUCUUUAAUUGCUUCUUUCAUUUCCAUUGUCCGUUCCUUCGCUUUUCCUAAUAAACACUUCUUUCCUCUCCAAGUUGUUUUUUUAUAUUAUUUAUAUAUUUGGGACAACGCUCUUCUGUGCUAAAAACCACUGGACAAACUUGACUAUUUAGAGGAAAUGUCAUGCUUAUUAUUAUAUCGAUACUUUUUUAUUUACUAUAAACAAUUUUCAGCAUGAAGUCAAAUUUGAAAGUAAGUUUAGUUUUUACAUAGAUUGUCAAUGUUCAUGUCAUUUGAAUAUUUUAAAUUGUCCAUUUGGGGAAGCCUAGUAGGUUCAUGACUGAUCAAUGGCGGGGAAUUAACCUUUGCAAUUAACCAAGAGAUGUUGGGAAAGGAAAAAGCUUUAUUCUCGAUUGAAUUUGAAUUAGUUCGCUCAUACCAUUAUAAAGAGCACAUUCUUUUGUUGAUUCAAUAAUUAUUCUUAAGAGAAAUAAUAUUGACCGUGUGUUUUUCACUAGUUAAUAUAUAAAGUACGGAUAAUGACAAAUGAGUUGAACCAUAAAAUUAAACCCAACCAAAAAAAGAGAAAAAAAGAAUUCUAUCUUUGGUUUGAUAGCGUUCGUGGAAGUUCAUAUUUCACAAAACAAUUUGUCUUUUGGCAGUUUAGUUUAUUCAUAAUAUUUCCAAGAAACUAACGAAAAAGAUGCACUUUCAAGUUAUGUUGAUCAGUCGAUAAUUUUCUUUUUUUUAAUGUUUACUUAUAUCUCCUGCCCUAUUGUAUCUUUGCACUCGGCCUAUACAUAGCAUUCCAGAAAAAAAAAAAAAAAACACACACACACACACACACGAGAUAAUACUUUCAAUAUGUCAUAGAAGUUCAUGUGAAGAAAAAAGGUGUCGAGUGUUGUGAAAUAUGGAUCAAGUAGUCGUGAGCCCAUACCAUAUGCACCAAACUGACAUGAAUAAAUUUAUCAUGAAGAUAUAACUGUACUAUCCUUAUCUCUAAUGGAAAAGCACAUAUAGAUGGACAAAUCAUGUUCUUUGGAAAGACAGUUAUAAUUUAUAAGUUGACAGUUCUUAAUCUUUCAUUAUGGUAAUUCAACUAGGAAAAAAAAAACAUCUCUCAUUAUAGUAAAAAUUCAGGCGGGAAACCGCAUUCGAAAGACAUUCCUUUUUUUUUCCCAAUAACAAUGGACAUACUUCUUUUGGAUGGAGUGCACAAGAAAAAGUUAAAUGCGUUAAAAAUUGAAUUAUAAGGAAUUUAAAAGGAUAUUAAAUGAAAUUGCAUGAAACGGUAGUGCGAUCAAAGGAAAAUUACAAGGAAAGUAAAAGAUGAACUUUGUUGUGCCAUGCGUGUCUGAUCUUACCUCUGAAUACCCCUUUUAUACUAAUGCAUCGUGUCGACCAUUCUGUUUCUAGGCCAUUCACAUGUAACUUCCACAUGCAUCAUAUGUCACAUUCAUCAAUUGUCUCCUGCGUUACUUGCCACAUACAUCCUAUGACACCUAGUCCUAUACUAUUCUUUUCAAGGGAGAGAUUUUUCUAUUAUUCUCUCAACCUAUAUUUUCUCAAAGUUAAGUUCAUUAUGAAUCUUAUUAUUUAAAUGAAUCCAUGGGCUAUUUACAUCAUUUAGCUCUUAAAAGGUGAGAGCCCACUGUGCGUGUGCGUGUGUGUGUGUGUGUGUGUGUAUAUGUAUAUAUAUAUAUAUAUAUAUAUAUAUAUAUAUAUAUAUAUAUAUAGACACACACACACACACACUCACACACGCGCGCGCGUGUUUUGCUUCUCUUUUAAGAGGGAAUUGCUCAUCAUUUGAAACAUCAAUUGGUGUCAACUGCUCAAUCCAAUAUAAAUGGUGUGCAUAGCGAGGGUCAUGUCUAGUCUAUAUCUAAUAUAAUAUGAUACUAUAAUUAUAGAAAUGAGAUUGGUGUCACUUUAGGUCCCUUCCAAUUUUACUAUUAUUUAAGGAUUCUCCUACUAUAAAGAGUAUGGCGGAGGAGUGAAGUCUCACUUUGGUAGAGUACUCCUUGUCUAACCAACACAUCCCCCACCUUUAACGGUUAUAUAAUAUUCUCUUCAUCAACAUGUUGUACCAUCCCCAAUUUUUAUCACCAUUCUCUUCUUAUUUUUAAGAGUUUAAGUUACAAAGUUCACAUAAAAAUAAGCAUAAUGUUAAUAUAACAUGCGCGUAGCAUGUGUAUAGAGUAUUGUGGACAUUAAGCAAAGUACAUUUACAAAAAUAAUACCAUUUUUAGGUCGAAUUUUACUUUUUACAUGUCACAAAUGCAUUUUCUUGAACAGGUCGAGUGAGGGGCAUUGCUGGCUUGAAAUUACUCUGCUCUAGAAGUGCAUGUUAACAGAUUACUAAUUUCUAAUUCACCUCUUGAGAAGCAUGCCCAUGCUAAAAACGAAAAUAAAUAAAUUUUUCUUUUUUUUUUUUGGGUGAAAACGAACGUCAAUAAUUUACAUCAACGUACCUCUAGAAAACCUAUCUGACAAAAGUGGAUACUAAGGGCUACCUAAGUUCCAUAAUGGUGAAAUACUCCAUUAACUCUCAUUGCCAAGUGGGACACCGGCUUAAUUAAGUCCGACUGGACGGUUCGAACAGGAAAUUAUUUGCACUUAAUAGUGCAAGGAAUCAAACCCAUAUCAUGAUACACAAAAGCGCAUUCCUUAACCACUAAAUGAGCAGUGUAGGGUUGCCUCUCAAACAUUUCAGCCAAAUCUUUCAGAAAACUAUCGACUGUACCUCGUAUUGCUUUUGGUAAAUCCUAAAGAACCUGGCCAUAGAAUAAAUUGCAAAGAAAAAAUAACUCACUAGACAUUUCUCCUGAGUGCCUAACUGACCGUGGCCAGGUGCCCGCUGUGAUCCAGAAUCGCACACCCAACCGUGCGUGACUAGGUGCCCGCUUUGAUCCAGAAUUGGACCGCUAUGCUGUUCAAGCGACCAAGUCUUGCUGGAGGCCCAGCCACUGACCAGUAGCUUUGGCUACUUGCGAUCUCUGUUAUGGGCAUCUCAGUCUGUUCCUCUGAAUGUUGACGCCAUGUCAAUGUGCAGAUUGAGUCACGACUUGAUUUAUUUGUGGUCAAUCUCGAGAUGCUAAUCCAAUAGAAAGUUUUAGAUUUAAAAUUUCGAUACUUGAACGUUAUCCAAUACUGUCACUGAUCAGCUAAGCUUUCGGGGGGAAAGUAAUAAAGUUUUGCUGUUAAUGUCAAUCAAGCCGUCUAGGAUUUUGUCACCAUCUUCUUCCAAUUAAAUGAUCUCCUUUAGCAACAAAGUUUAAGCGGUACUUUUGACUUAUAAAAUGCGAAAAGAAAUGGUGCUAGUCUUGAGAAAUGGACAUACGUAUCUUCACUUUUCUGUUUAGUUACUGUUCCAUAUGUUAAGACCUUAAUCUAACUAUAACACCAUGUAAGGAAGUUAACUAGUUCAUUUUUAGUUGGUCUAAAGCCAUUUCUCUUCCAAUUUCCGUCAAAAUCUAAAAUAUUAUUCAAAUGCUAAAGGUGUAUUGCUAAGGAAUGAUUAAACACUUAAUAACAAUAGUUAACAAAUUGAAAAUCAGGUGCUUACUUAGCUACUUAACGAGUGACCGAUGGGUACUCUUUAACAUUCGUAUGUUUUAAAAGGUUUCAUGUAAUUCCACUUUAAUAAAAAUCAAAGUACAUGCACUACAAAAUUCCAAAAAAGUGAAGAUGUAAGAAUUGAGGUGUUUCGUCUUGAAUUUUUUAAAGCAAGAAAAAAUGUUCUUUUUAUUUAAAAUACCAUUUGAUUUUUUAAAAAAAAAAUUAUCAAAAUACUAUAUGUGUGUGUGUAUCUAUCAACAUUUAUGUUCAGUGAGGGGUAAAAAGAUGACAAAUUGUGAAAGUAUGGGGUUUAGAAAAGCAAAAGUAAAAAAUUAGAAGUUGAUUCAGACACUCAAUUGAUUGAUUUGAUAUGCAGCGUUUCAAGAGUGGGUUCGGUUAUUGGCCUUGUGGCCGUUCCUCUACAUGCACAAGUGAACUGUUUAAAAACUUACCGAGCUCAAGGUUUCGUUCAUUAUGCCAGACAACCAUAAGUGGAGACUUUAAUGAAUUGUUUCCUGAAUUAAGAUGGCUUCAAUGGUUACACUCUGAACCUGAUAUAUUUUCUUCAGCAAUCAAUUUGCAUCUAUAUAAAUUAGUGGUGUUGGAAUUGUCACGAAACAAGCUUACAGAUGAUUGGGGAGGAUGGAGUUCGAUCAUGGUAAGAUGGAAAAACAAGACAUCUUCUAUGAUCUUUGCUUUGUUUUGUUUUGUCAAUUAAACUCCUUUUUGACACCUUUUUCUCUUUUGUACAGGCGGCAAAGCAGCUAAAAGUUCUCAACCUUUCAUAUAGCCGGGAGUUAAGAUAUACUCCUAAUCUCUCGGCUUUCACGAAGUUGGAGAUUCUCAUCUUGUCUAGUUGUUACAAACUGAAGCAAGUCGACCCUUCUAUUGGCAAACUCAAGAGCCUCAUUUCCUUGGACUUGUGUUGUUGUGAGUCAUUGAGAAAAAUCCCUAGCUCAAUUGGGAAUCUUUCUUCUCUCGAAAAACUUCAUCUAGGUAGUUGCAAGUCAUUGAGAAAAAUCCCUAGCUCAAUUGGGAAUCUUUCUUCUCUCGAACAACUACAUCUAAGGAGUUGCGAGUCAUUGACAAAAAUCCCUAGCUCAAUUGGGAAUCUUUCUUCUCUCGAACAACUUGAUCUAGGGCGUUGCGGGUCAUUGGCAGAAAUCCCUAGCUCAAUUGGGAAUCUUUCUUCUCUCAAACAACUUGAUCUAAAGAGUUGCACGUCAUUGACAGAAAUCCCUAGCUCAAUUGGGAAUCUUUCUUCUCUCAAACGACUUGAUCUACAGAAUUGCAAUUCCUUGACAGAAAUCUCUAGCUCAAUUGGGAAUCUUUCUUCUCUCGAACUACUUGAUCUAGGGAUUUGCCAGACUCAACAGAAAUCCCUAGCUCAAUUGGGAAUCUUUUUUCUCUCGAAGAACUUGAUCUAGGGGGUUGCGUGUCAUUGAUAGAAAUCCCUAGCCUCAUGGGAAUCUUUCUUCUUCUCGAACGACUUGAUCUACAGAGUUGCGAGUCCUUGAGAGAAAUCCCUAGCUCAAUUGGGAAUCUUUCUUCUCUUGAACGACUUGAUCUAUAGAGUUGCGAGUCCUUGACAGAAAUCCCAAGCUCAAUUGGGAAUCUUUCUUCUCUCGAACGACUUGAUCUACAGAGUUGCGAGUCCUUGAGAGAAAUCCCAAGCUCAAUUGGGAAUCUUUGUUCUCUCGAACGACUUGAUCUACAGAGUUGCGAGUCCUUGACAGGAAUUCCUAACUCAAUUGGGAAUCUUUCUUCUCUCGAACGACUUGAUCUACAAAGUUGCGAGUCCUUGACAGAAAUCCCUAGCUCAAUUGGGAAUCUUUCUUCUUUGGAAAAACUUGUUCUAAGGGGUUGUGUGUCAUUAACAGAAAUCCCUAGCUCAAUUGGGAAUCUUUUUUCUCUUGAACAACCUUAUCUAGGGGGUUGCGUGUCAUUCACAGAAAUCCCUAGCUCAAUUGGAAAUCUUUCUUCUCUCAAACAACUUGAUCUAGGGGGUUGCAAGUUAUUGAUAGAAAUCCCUAACUCAAUUGGGAAUCUUUCUUCUCUCAAAGAACUUGUUCUAAGGGAUUGCAUGUCAUUGACAGAAAUCCCUAGCUCAAUUGGGAAUCUUUCUUCUCUCAAACAACUUGAUCUAUAGAAUUGUGAGUCAUUGACAGAUUUCCCUAACUUAUUGGGAAUCUUUCUUCUCUCAAAGUACUUGGACUAGAGGCUUCAAGUCAUUGAGAGAAAUCCCUAUCUCAAUUGGGAAUCUUUAUUCUCUCAAAUUCCUUAACCUUUACGGGUGUUGUUCACUAAAAGAAAUUCCUACCUCAAUUGGGAAUUUACCGAAUUUGCAAAGCAUUAGGGAUUUUUGACCUUGAAUAGUUACCCAUUGCUAUUGGAUAGUUGAACAAACUGCCAAAGGCUAUUUCUUGAAUCUUGUGAUAGUCUAAAAAGGGGAAUUCCAAGAGAAGACGAUGACUUGUCUUUGCUCGUGAUUCUCCAUAUCAUUGGCACAUUGAUAUUUGACCCGCCAGAAAGCAUUUGGAAUCUUUCUUCUCUCUAAUGCCUUGACCAAGAGGGUUGUAAGGAGUUCGAUCGUUGCUAGAGCUUUCUUCCGGCUUAACAUAUCUUCAGGUCGAUUCCCUAAUUCUCAGGUUGCCAGAGCUUUCUUACCUAUUCCACCCGGAAGAACUUCAUUUUUAUGGAUACGAUCAACUUGAGUACUUCCCAGUGCUUACCUCAAGACUCUUGAAACUUUGUGUUGAUUCCUAUCCCAAGUUGAUAUUGCCUGAGCUUGACAGAUUCAAGUACUUGGAAGAGUUGUCAAUAAAACACUACAAUUCCAUUGAAAGAAUGGACCUCUCACAAUUGAAUCUUCUGAAAGGAUUGGACAUUGAGGAUUGCAAUAAUCUAGUUGAAAUUUAGGGCCAAGGUAAAUUGGAGUUCUUGGAGACAAUACGUACAUAUAGCUACAGGUCCAUUAGAAGGCCAUCCAUCUGAAAUUACAAGGGCUUGAAGCAAUUAAAUACUUGCUAUUGCGACAAUCUAGUCAAAAUACAAGGUCUUGAUAAGGUGGUUCCAUCGGAAGAUUACCUGACCUAUGAUGCUUUUGGAACUUGAAAGAGUUUAAUAUCAAUGGUUGUCAUAAUCUACGUGGUGUUGAGACACAAUUCCCAGUCUUACAUAAUUGCAAGCGUGGGAAAGUCGGUCCUAGAACCUAACAUGAUGCUUCAGCAAGAUCAAAAUUUAGAUCUGAUUGUGGUUCUUCAUACGUUAGAAGGCGCUAGUCAUGUGGUAAGAUUCUUCGUCCUUUAACAACUAGCAUGAGCGAAAAGUGUAAUACUUUUCUAACAGAUAUAUCUUUUAAGAAUUAUUUUCUCGAUGCUUGGUAGCUAUUUGAUAUGGAUUUGCCUAAAUUUAUUGGCUGUUGAUUGCAUCACGGCAAUGUUUUUUCAGCUAAUCUUCAAUCGGCAACUUUUGCAGAUAAAUUGGCGGCUUGUGAGGCAACAAAUGAAAAUUAACGACAUAGGUAAACAAGAAUUACUUAGUGAUUUACAGUUUCCCUCUUAGUGAACCCAAGAUGAAAAUUUUUCAUAAAGAGGUUCAUCUUUUGUGCGCCAGAUCUCUUUUUUCUCUAUGUCUCAAACUAGUAAUUUCCUUUUAAAAAAUCCUUCACCAUUUUGAACUCCUUUUGUGAGCAAUUUUAUGUGUCAGAUUUGACUAUUGGUAGGUAUCCCGUUUAGGACAAACAGUUCUCGAUUUUUCGUGAUGAUGGGAAAGCAUGUCCAUUGUUCAUUCGAGCAUAAAUUCCCAGUAAGGAAGAGAAACUAAGCAAAAAUAAAAAUCAAGGUUCAAUUUUUUUCUCGUGCGUGAUUUAAAAAAGUAAAAAUUAGUUUUGGCUAGCUUUUUUCAUCUAUGAUUAUAGGCAGGCUUUCCAUAACAAUUGUGAAACUGUUGAAAGAUUAUCAAGGGAGAUAAAUUGGUGCUACUUUUGUGACAGGUCCGAUUGGUCUAUGUAGUGAUCAAGGCUUACUUUUGGACUUCAAUUCAAAGAGCUUUAUAGAUGACCUUUUGCAUAAUUGGGACAAUUUUUUGCCUGCUCUGUAAAACAAGCUAGGUGAGGAGCUUAAGAUUUUUCUUAUUAUUUGCAUCCCGUUUGAUUCUGAUGUUGUGGUGGAAUCAUUUGAUCAAAUGAUUGAUCUGGGUCUGGCUAACUUGGCUGAGGCAAUUCAUAGUCCAUACUAGAGAACGAUCAAGUGAAGAAGAUGGAUUUUGCUGAGGUGUCAUCAGCAAGCUAAAGGCUAGCUUUUGUGGGACCUUGAACAGGCUCACGGGCCAAUUGAAGUGUCCUAAGGAAGUUUUUUAUGCUUGUGAAGAUCAAAGCACUUGAUAUGGUUUCAUUAGCACAAAACUGAAUGAUCGUGAAUGUAUUAUUUUUCAGUUGAAUCUACUUUUUGUAUGCUCAUUAGGUUCUACCUCUAUUAAGCAAAUACAUAUGUGCUGAUUUUUCUACAUGUUAACCAGAUGCAGAGUUCUUUGAUGCAAUGCGCUCUAAUGGUAUCAUUCCCAAACUCAGUCAGGCUCUACAGAUAGAGGUAUCCACUGCCAAUCCUACCAUAACUGUGAAAGAGUGACUUGUGUACUUAUAUUUAAUUGAAUGUGCUGAGUGAUUGUUAGGUUCUACCUCUCUGUUAACCAAAUAUGUAUGUGCUGAUUUUUCUGCAUGUUACCCUGAUGCGGGGUUGUUUGAUGCAGUCUCAUUCUAAUGAUAUCACUUUCAAACCCAAUGAGGCUUUGUAGGUGGAGGCAUGUACUACUAGUUGUACCGUAAUAGAGCAACUUGUGUGCUUAUACUAUGUGAGCUGUGGAAUUUCACCAGAAAUCCGUGAACUAGGAUGCAUGAUGAAAAUCUCCUCUUUUUCUGUCAGUUCAUAAUAUCUUUUGAAUGUUGUGAUAAAGGUAUUUGAUGCGAUGGCUUAAAUCUCACGUAUGUAGCAUUAAAUUUGUAAAGUUAAAUAUAGCCUCCUAGCAAACAAUUCCGUAUUGCUGAUUUCGCUAAUCGGAUAUUGCAAAAUAACCAAGUAACAAGUACGCCUUUCUGUUCUAUAGUUUGGGCACUUUGCCUUUUUAGCAUAUGUUCUAUUCAUAAACACAAGCAAGGAUGAUGGUGCUAAUUGCUAACUUCUCUUCUCUUAAGUCCGUUGUUUUCUAUAUCUUUGGCUGAUAAUGAAUUCUAUCGCUUGCGAUCCAACUAUUAAUGAGAGACUCUUGGAAUGUGUGGCAAAACUAAUGUCCCCAGAUUUUGGUGUUGAUAGAUGAGAUUCAUUGAAGAGGUCACUCAUAGAUCGCUAGAAUCUGGACCAGAUCAAAAUAACCUUGUUUAUAUUGAUGGACUCUCAAGUCUAUGCUUACUACUUUAAGCUAAUUUUAGGUUCUUCAUUCCAAAUACAUCUAAAAAUAGACAGAACUAAGGAUCCAUGUAGCCACGCCUUUAUCUCUCUUCGAGAUGAUUGGAAAGUGUGACACAUUUUUACUCUUAGCCAUCUCGUGUAACACAUGCAUCGCCCUCAUUUUCUGACCAUCUUUAGCAAGUGCCUAGGUGGAGACUAGUUAUAAGUCUUCGAAUUUGUUAGUGUUCGUAACUUUUGAUGAAUGUCGAGACCUAAUUUUUCGGGUGCAUCAUCUAAAAUUAAGCUAAUAGAUUACUAAAUCUAAACUUAGCUCGGACUCUCUCAAACCUAUACAAAUUCACGACUUAAGUUUAAAUUUCUUAACAUGCAAAUAGAUUUUAUCUAGAAGUCGCCAGUAAUCUAUUUUUUGGUGGAUCGAUUAGAAACCCAAGUAAAGUAGCGGGAGUUUUACUUUACUCCUACGAACCAGAAAUUAUGAGUUACGAACCAGAAAUUAUGAGUUCGGGGACUUGGUUACACUAGAUUUCUCUAAUGCCUUUACGGUACAAUUCUUUUAUUUUCAAAAAUGUUUUUGGCAAACAGCUCAAAUUUAUUUUAAAUCUAUUUCCAAAUAUAUUUUAAAUCUAUUUCCUUAACAUGUGAAGUGAUCAUGUGGGUGCGUAAACCAUCAAUUUAACACCCAAAUAAAACAACUAAAUAAAUUGCAAAAACCUACCCUAAAGCAAUGAAAGUGUCUGCAAUGUUAAAUUAUAAUCCACAUCAACAACUCUAGAAAUGAUUUCUAAUUAACAUGCAAUUUUUUUUUCACUUCAUUAAUAAAAAUCAUGUAAUAUGCAAUGCAAUAUUAACUAAAUGACCUAAUUCUAAUGAUGGGAAAUUUCUAAUUAAAUAAACCUAAUAACAAUCACUAAAUGACGUGCAUUUCAUGAACCUAAUUCUACAUGACGUGCACAUAAUUUUUUAUUUUCUUAACAAGCAUGCAAUCUAUCUAGGAAAAAUUAUUUAAACCUAUAAUUAAUAAAAAUGCAAUCCUAACAUGUAAUGACGUGCAAAAGAUGCCAUAAUUCUACAUGACUUAUGCAUGAUGAUUUUUGUUUUUCUUUUCAAUUAAUUUCGAAAUAAAAAAAAUGUCAAAUAAUUAAACAUGCAAUUUAAGCUAACAAAAAACUAAUAUCCUAAUUUGUUUUUCCGAUAAUCCAUGAUAAAUAAAAUGCUUAAUCUGAAUAUGCAAAUAACCCUAGUGCAUGCAAUAUUUUAACUUUUCCAGAUAAAAAAAAGUAAUUAAGACAAGAUAGACCAUUCAAAAUCACCAAAAGUAUGAAUAUAAAUUGAUCUUAAGCCUUAAAGAUCAAUAUAUUAAUUUUAUUCUCACUUGAUUAAUUAUUUCAUCUAAAACUUUAUAGAUGAAAUAAAAAACCCAGACGCGAUUGCGAAUCAGAUGGUAUGUUAAAAUUUCCAAUUAUAUAUAGAGAAAUAUUCCGAAUAAGUAAACAAGAAAUAAAAAACAUAAUAAGGUAAAAUAAAUUGCCUAAUAAAACAAAGUAAAUAAUCUGAUUUUUUUUCUUUUUUUCUUUUUAAAAAAAGGAAUCUUGGCCGGUUCGGAGCUCUGGCGAAGGGGGGGUCGUCGCCGGCGAAGGCACAGCAGGUCGCCGGAUCUAGCGUCGGGAAGGGGAGCGGCGUCGCGGGUCAGCACGGGCUGUAGCAACGGCAGCACUCGGGCAGCGUCGGUGCUCGGGCGGCAGGAGCAGCUGGUCACAGGUCAGGCUGGACAGGGGCGUCGCUCGGUGUCCGGUGGGACGAGGCGGUGGCAGGGACAGAGCAGAUCUGGGUCGUCGAAGCAGAAGACUCCGGGUGCAGGCGUCGAUCGAAGGCGGAGGCGAGCAGCGGCGGUGCAGGCUCCGGUGGCGUCGGAUCGCGGCAGGGACAGCGGCGCGACGUCGGACGGAGGCAAGCAGGGGCGCCGAGACUUCUGGUGUUGCAGAUCGGUGACGGCGGAGGCGGAGCAGGGCCGCUCGGGUCGCGGCUGCGGCAGGAGAUGUCAGAUCUGCUAGCGUCGGGGCUGGGUCGCGACGGCAGGGGGCAGAUCCGCGAGGUGGUGGUCCGGCGGUGGUGCGGCGAGAGCGGCAAGGGCAGCAGAGGCAGUGUCGGCGCUCGGGUGGAGGGGCAGGCGCGGGCCGGCGCACGGGUUGCUGGAGAUCGCUGCGACGGUGGCUGUCGGAGGGAGACGCCGGUGUUCGGAGGCGCGGCGGUGCAGGGGGCGGAGCAGGGGCUGUGGCGGAAGAGCUCGAGUACGCGUGGGGGUCGGACAACAAAGGGGACGCCGACAGAGGACCCAACGAAGGAGAAGAACAGUAGCUUCUCUUUUUUUUUUCUUUUUUCUUUUUUCCUCUCUCCUGCUGCUGGCCGCACGUCCCUUCUUCCUCUUAUUGUUGCUGCUUUUUCUUUCUUCCCUUUUUUUUUGAACGGAGAGAAACCCCCUCUUUUCUCAUGAACUGUGGCCGUGUAUUAUAUGUAAUGUCGCCGCCCAAAACCCUACGUGAAUUAAUCUAUUUAUAAGCGACAGAUUAGGGUUUUUUUAAUCUUCCAAAACCAUAUCCACGAAUAUUUACUUUUCCAAACACAAUAUUUUCUUUUGAAUUAAAAACCUCACAAAGAUAAAUUUGUAAAAUCUCUUCGAAAAUAAGGGUUUUGGCCAAUUUAUUCGUUUCGUGGGUUUGGGCCGACCUACCAAGUUAAAGCUUAGAACUGCUAAUUUAAACCUUAGAACUGCUAAUUUAAACCUAUCCGUCACCGAUUCAAUAAAUAAAUGCAAAAAAUGCAAUUUAAAAAUAAAUGUAUCUAAAUUUAUAUGCUAUGCGAUUAAUAUUUUUUUUCAGGAAUAAAAUUAACCCAGAGUUUUAUAUGCAAUAAAUAAAUUGAUCGUCAAAAUUUAGGUGUCAACAAUGAAAUAUCAUAAACAACCUGAAUUAUCAUUCAUUCUUUUCCUGAAUCUAUCACGAAGUACAUAUGUAGCUAGUAGAAUUAUAAUUAUUUUCAAAAUCUCAUGUGACUAGCUGAUUGGAUAAGCCAAUGAGUGUGAGACCCAAAUACAGGGUUUACAUUUGAUGAUGCGGUUCAAACUAUAAGAGACACAGCCUCGAGUCAUGAAAAACUUCUUAACGACUUGCCUCGAAGGACAACCAAGAGAAGGGAACAAAAUCUAACCAAGGAAUGGAGAAGGAGAAGGAGAAGGGGAAGGGGAAGGAGAAGAAGAAGAUUGCUUCAACUGAGUUGACAACAAAUUGCUGUUACCACUGCUACCGGGACCUUCUCAUGUGGACUCCGGUGCCACCUCCUCUGUGGUUUAACUAGUAUGAUGACUAAUUCAUGAUAUAUAUAUAUAUAUAUAUAUAUAUAUAUAUAUAUAUAUAUAUAUAUUUUGAUGACCUAGGGAAACCCGUAAGCCGACAGCCGGCGGACAAACCCUGGGGCUGACACAAGCUAGCCACCACACUCACGCCAGCGGUUAAGUCACCCUGCGACGCGCUGGGGAUUCGAACCCCUCCCCUUCGUGAGGGGGAGGAGGCCCAAAGCUAGCUACGCCACCCAAGUGGGUGGUAAUUCAUGAAAUAUUUGAUAUAAUGCCAAAGUGCUAAUUUCUAGUAUUGCCGAUUCUGCACAAUCCCUCAUCAUGGCUUGGCAUGUGGUUAUAUCUACCACCUCGAUUGUCUGGCCAACAUUUCAUCCGCCAAGCUCAUGGCUUUGGCGAUUCUACCCUCUCCAACGAGCCCAUCAAUCAAAGUGUUAAAAGCUCGCAGUUGUGGGUUCAAGUCCAAGUUUGACCAUUUUACACAAAACUGAGGACCCGAGAUCGGAUCUUUUCAAUUGGAAAAGGUAAUUCAUCAAAAUGUUGUGAGUAGAACUAUUGGGAGUCGUUCCUGUGACAUCCCGAUUUUCCAAUUCUAUUUUCAAUAAAUUGAGACGGGCAUUUCGUUGGCACGCAUAUAGUUCUUUUCCUUGAGUUGGCCACUCAUGUGAAAACUAGUUUAUCGGGUAAAACCGUUAAGAGUUUCUAAUGCAUCUGACUCGAGAAUUUGACCAGGAAGCGACCUUUCGAUCGAGCUAAUCUACAAGGGUCAUUACGGCACAAUUAAAAAUCGAUUAGAGAUCGGAGAUAGGUCGACUCGACAGAGGCAUGUGAUCAGGUAUGGGUGAUUCCACCAGAUCGCACAAUUCUUAUCGAUCGGCACUAGACCGACUUUUCUAUCGAUUGGGUACCCUGUGUUUGUAUUUGAAACCUUGAGAUUACCUCGACAACCGAAAGUCACCAAUGUUUCAAAGAUGUACAUUGUGGCUUGAGAUGAUCAACCACAGGUCAAAUGCAUGAAAAUUUCUAAAGGCUACCCGGUAGGUUGCGCCGCGCUAGUAUCGUGCCAAAGUGAAAUUAACCGUGGAAUUGAGAUCGAAUUCAGAAAUUUGAGGUCUGGGUGUGUCACAAAUCACUUAGGAUUAUUGACUUAUCUUUGGAAGAUUUUUCAUGCAAUCAGAGUUUUUCAGCAAUUAAAUCAGAAAAUGGUUAAUUUGACCGGGAAAUUAGAAGGCCCGCCUUAGGUCUUGCUUUUAGGACUUAAGUUGGUUCUAUGGACAAGUGAAGAUGUGAAUUGGACUGUGGUGACAUCGGAUUAAUUUUAUGGACUUCAAUUGGACUCAAUUGGAAGAGAAUUGAAUGGAAUUAAAGAAAUUAAUGUACAAAGCUUCAUGCCCCGGCGGAAAAAUAAAAUGGACCCAUUGAAGAUAGUUGUGGAGGAUUUGAAUUUCAGUGGAAGAUGACAUCAUCCUAUGUCAUGGUGGUUGGGCCAAAGAGAACGAGAUUUAGACAAGUGGAGGGUGGAUAUUGGCUCUUGGAAAGGCGCCCAUCAACAUCAUCUUCAAGCUUAGGAAGAGAGAGAGAGAGAGAAGGAAAAAGCUGAAGAAACCAGCCGUUCGCAACCGCCGCCGCCGUUCCGCCCGACCGGUCGCCCUCCGCCUGCUCGCUCGUCCCCGCCGGAGCCAUCGCCGCUGCCGUUCGAACGCACGCAUCGCCCGUGCUCGCCUUGCCAGCUAGCCCGCCGUUCGGUUGUCCACAGCCCGAGUUCCCAGCCCUCCGUCCGCCGCUUGUCGCCGCCAGCCGGAGCUCCUCGCCGUCGCAGCUCGCCGCCGUUCGACCGCUCGCCAGCUCGCGCUGCUGCUGGCCGCGUGUCUUGGCGGUCUUCUCGCCCAGCUCGUCGUCCCGAGCUGCUGUUCAGUUCGCGUAAGAGCUGCCGGAGCUUGUCCCCGCCGCCGAAGGGUCGCCGGAGCUGCUGCCUUGCCCGCCCGAGCUGCCGCCCCUCUUCUCCGCCGUUCCUCCGCCCAUUCUGGCGCCGGAUCUGCUCCCUCUCGGCCCCGAUCAGCAGCCAAGAAAAUGGGUAUCUCAGCCCGUGUUUAGCCCGUUUUGGCCGUCCUCCCGAGCUCGGAUGCUCGGCCCGCCUUGAGGAAAGUCGAUCCUCGCGUCGUCCCCGUCGUUUUGGUCCCCUCGGUUCGUUAAUCCGGUGAGUUUAACUCACUAAAUCUUGAUUAGAGGGUUAAUGAUGCCCUAAGUGUGCUUAGCUUAAGUUAAGUUUAGGUGGUUAUAUUAGUUUAUUUGGUUGAUGAUUAUAUUAGGGUGUUUAAUUAAGUUAAAGUGUGUUUAGUUUAAAGUUAAGUAUGUUUAUUUUUAAUAUAAAGCCUUGAUGUGACAUAAUAGGGUUUUAUUUUUUAAUUAUUUAAUGAUUUCGAAUUCUGGAAUUUAUAAUAUUAUAUUAUAUUCCGAAAUUAUUAAAAUAUUAUUAUAAAAAAAACGGAAAAAUUAUUUUUUACCCCGAUUGUUCAGAAUUUCGUGCCGAUCGCUGCUGUGUAGUCGGAUUUUGAAAUUGAUGAUUGGAUAUUAUAAAUUGAGUGUGGAUCGUGAAAAAUAUGAAUAUUAUUAUUUAAUUAAUUUUUGGAAUAAAUUUAAUUAUUUAAUAAAUUCCGAAAAAUUAUUUUGGGACCCUAAAUUCUCAGAAUUUCGUGCUGAUCGCUGCUGUGCGUUUAGAAUUUGAAUUUGAUGAAUGGAUUUGGCAAAUUGAGUGUUGAUUGUGGUAAAUAGGGAUUUUAUUCAUAAAAACCCAAGUGUCGGGUUUUGAUGCAAAAAUUGAAUUUUAAUGAUUAUAUUAAAUAGUGGGGUUUGAAAAAGUGAGAUAUUGGUUUUUUGAUUCGAAAUUAGCGUGUCCCCACACACGUGAGUAAUUUCUGGAAUAUUUUUAAUAUGAAGAAAAAUGGGCGGGAUCACUAUUUUAAGUGGAAGUAUUGAGUGAAAUAUAAAGUGUCAUGGGGCCGAGUAUGCUUUGGCUGUGUGAUAACUAAGAGGAAUCGUCCUGGGCUGUUGAGCCGGACUUGCCCCUAUAUGGGAUGCCCACGCGGUGGAUGCCGAUCGCAGUAGAGGCUGGGCCGACUGGAUCGAUGCUCUUUCGGGAAUGCUGUCGACGUAAUGACGAAGCCGCGCUCCAUGGGGGGAGGCGAUGCCUGGCAUUAGUGUCAGUAGAUAGCCGAACUGCGAGUAGGCUAUGCCAUAGUGUGGCAGUGAAUAAUAAUUGGGAAUGUGUGCUAAGUGCGAUUGUGAUUUAUAUGAAAGUGAUGGCCUUCCAAUUGUUGAAUUAUUAUUAUUACCUGAGAUUGUGUGAUAAAAAUUAUGCUAACAUGCAGGAAGGAAUUGAGGUGAGGUAAGUUCUCUGUAUGAUGUGGCUAGACCACCCGGGGCGUAUUUUCUUUCUAAUAGGGGUUUAGGGGGUUGAACUUGCUGAGACAUUGUCUCAUCCCGGUUUGGGGAUUAAAAUUUCAGGUCCUUAGAUGGCGGUCGUGGAGGACCCGAAGCCCUAAGUCUGGAAAGGUGGAGACUGAAGUAUCGGUGAACGUGUCCUGCUAGUUGGUUUUAGGAUAGUUCCCCUUUUGUCGAGCUGGUCUAUUUUGUAGACAAUCCAGAGUUGUAUCUAAACCUAUGUGUUUGUAAAUGAGUGUUUGGUAUUGUGAUUGAUUGCCCGCUUUUCUAUCCCAAGUUAAAAGUUGUCAGCGGAUUUGUUUCGCUUCCGCAUGCGUAAUAAAAUGAAUGGGUCGGCGACAUAUCUUGGGAUGUCGCAUAUUUGAUCGACCGCAGUGGGAUGUGCGCGCGCUCGAGGUUCGGGGCGUGACAGUUCUUUUCGAACCCAUCCGCUCGAUCAUGUCAAUGGUGACAGAGUUAUGCUUCAUCUUGGCCCCAACCCCCAAGAGUUGGGCGAAACAAGGAGGUUGUCACGCCCUAAACCUUGAGCGCGCGCCCAUCCCCUCUGUAUCGAUAAAAUUUUGCGACUUCCCAGGUCUAGUCGCCAGCCCUUUUUGUUUUAUUGCACAUGCGGAAGCAGAUUAUAAAUCCCCUGACAAUAAUCUCGGGAUAGAAAAGCAGGAUACGAAUUCACAAACAAACAUGCUUUUAUAUUCACACUGAGUCAUGUACAAAAGUCUAUGACCAAAAGAUUACAAAAAACUAACCUUCCAAAAAGAAGCGGUCCUAACUGACCUACGCUUCCAAUCACCUUCUCUCAGCUCCAGGUCCUCCACUCAACAAUCCUGAAAAUGUUGUCCCACAAUGGGGUGAGAUAUAAUCUCAGUGAGUCUAAGCUCUAAACUCCAAUUAGGAGGGAAAUAUGCCCAGAAGUGUCCUAAUUGCAUAAUCACACAAUUAAGGAGACUUACCUCAUUUUAGAUCCACCCUGCAGGCCAGUACAAUUUAUAACUCAGAUAGCAUGAAAACAUGAGCAACAAAUAAGCUCCAACAAUUGGAACACCACACUCAAUUAAUCAUGCGUUACUAGUUUUGAUCUCGGCAUAUAACACGACAUACUCUCUGUUCGGCGGUCUUCUGACAUUGCUAGGCAUCGUCUCACCCCAUUGAGCAUGGCACGUCUCUUUAUCAGACGGCUUUCCCAAAGGAGUAUAGGGUCCAGAAUCUACUGCGACCAGCUUCCCGUUGUCCAAGGGGUAUUCCAAAUAGGGAUAACGUCUAGCUUAACAGCCCGGGACGAUUUCUCUUAACCAACACACGAUCACUCAAAUAUGGUCUAGGGCACCAUGCAUUGCACUCAAAUGCUUCAAUUAAAAUGGUGAGCUUGGCCUUUUUCUUCGUAUUAGAAAUUCACAUGAAAUUACUCGUGUGUGGGUACACAGUCAGAUUGGACCCAGAAAAUUCAUAACAUUCUUUUCAAAAUCCCACUGGUUUAUAUAGUAUAUAAAACCAUUUUUGGUGUUUAAAACCCGACACUUGAGAUUUUCUGAAUAAAUAUCGAAAUUCAUAAUUUUUAGAAUUGAAUACUCAAAUUUCCAAUCAGCACUCAAUUUGCACAAAUUAACAUCCAAUUACAGAAAUUGAACAUACCAUCGCAAUCAACACGCAAUUCCGGUCACCGGCUAUCCCGAACUAAUUUUUGGAAAAUAAUUAAUAAUUAAAUAAUUUCUAAAAUUAAUUAAAUAAAUCAAUUUAAAUUCUAAAAAUACUAACCUAGGCCAGAAUCAUUAAAUUAAUAACCAAUACGGACUCGGAGAAAUUCCCGAACCCUUCUAGAUAAAUAGUACAAUUUAUUUAGGCCUUAACUAAACCAUGCUAACCACCUAACAUGCUCAAUUAAAUAAUUACAUUUCUAAUUUAAUCUAACUAACCACCUAAUUCCUAAUAAAAUAAAUCUAAACACCCCUUAAACGUCAUUAACCUACUGAGCAGAGUUUAGAGUAUAAACUCACCUGUUAAUUGCGGAAACCGGUUCAUCACAACGACGACUCGACGGCGGCCGAAAUCAAAAUUUUCGGCGGUGUCAACAAACUUGGGCCAGGCCUAAACUUGGCCCAACAAAUCUCAGCCCAACUGAGAUUUGUUGCUGAAACGGGCCGGGCUUCGUUGGACUGAACAGGCCUUGAAUAGGCUGAACAGGCUUGAUUGCGCGGGCCUCAAGAUGGGCUGAAAUGGGCUGCUGAUGGACUUCAAAUGGUCUGGCUUUGCGUGAAGAUGGGCUGCAGAAAAAUGGCAACUUGCUAGGCCGUUGAUGUGGGCUGAGCUACGGUGAUGUUGGGCCUGACUCGGUGAAGAUCAACGGCGAAGGAGCAGCUGCUUCGUGAGGCUUCGGUUCGGUGGAAGAUUGCUCGGUCUUCUUUGGCAAGGAACUUCGGACGUGGCAGCUGAAAGAAAUCGCCGGUGGAGGACGUGCGGACGUGAACGAUGGAGGGGAAGCACCGUUAACCGGAACGUGGGGUUUCGGUGAGCCGCAGGGGCGUGCGGAUGUGUGGAUUCGGUUGCUGGACAAAUGGAAAUCGUGGAGGCGUUGGUUCGGUGGCAGCGUAGGAACGAAAAUGAAGAUGUUGGAUGGGCCGCUCGGUGAAGAAUUCGGUGGGCGGCAGACUCGUGGAGGUAGCUCGGUUGAAUUUUGGGGAAAGCUUCGGGCGUGAGGGGGAAAAACAAAGGGCCAGGGAAAUGAAAGCAAGAGCUGAAAUCGUGAGGGUGCUUUGGCUGAAGAAAAGAUCAAUGAAAGCAGAAGCAGAUGCACGAAAGGAGAAGAGAGCAGCUAAGCGUGCUCGUGAAGCUAAGGAGGGGGCCCCAAAGUCAGAAAUUUUAUCCCCUCCAUUGAUGGCCUUGUCUCCUAUUACUUGCCAACAUCAAUUACCACUAAUUAAACACAUUUUGGUGCCUAAAAUGCUGCCCCAUGCCUUAUUCCGAAUUUUUCAAUCUUAGGAUCAAUUUCAUUACUCAAUUUCCUAAAUUGAGGUCCAAUUUCGAUGAAAAAAAAUCCUAUAUAAUUUUCUGCAAGUCCCCAUCACUCAAAAGCUCGGAUUGGAAGUCCAAAUUUCCAUCAAUUUAGCCCAUCUGAAUUUCUACUGAUUUUCCGCAACAUCCGAACCGAUUUUUCAUAAAAACCUCGGAAUCUUUGAAAAUUCUUCGGAGGAUGAGUCGACGUUCCCCAAAUAUCUUGUGACACCACAAAACUUAAAUCUGGUUCAAAUUCGCGGUUAAUUUCAAUCCGGCACGCUUUUAGCGUGACCUAGUCUAUCAGAUAGCUUUUAGGAAUUUUUAGUGCAAUUGACCCGUGAUCGAUUUAUCUCAAAUCACAAUCUAUAUCUUUGACACAUUGACGACUCCCAGUUGUCGUGAAAAUCUCAAGAUUUUAAAUACGGACACAUGGUACCCAAAACGAUAGAAAAUCAAUUUAGUGCUGAUCGAUGAAAAUUUUGCAAUCAGGUGGAAUCACCCACAUUUUGAUUACUUAUCUCAGUCGAAUCGACUUAUGUCUGAUCUUUGAUCCAUUUUUAACUGUGCCGUAAUGACCCUUGCAAAUUAGCAUGGUUGAGCAGUCGAUUUCUGGUCGAAUUCUCAAGUCUUUUGCGUUAAAAUCCCUUAAUGACUUUUCUAGAUAGUCUAGUUAUCUCAUGAGUGAUCGGCUCAGAGAAUAGCACUAUAGACGCAUCGAUGAAAGACCCGAUUUAUUCAAUUGAAAUCAGAUUUGAAAAAUCAGGAUGUCACAGAGGUAAAGUCAAGAGGGUUCACUCGAAUCGUCCUCUCCAAGAAGAGAAUAAAGCAUUGUCGGCUUCCACUAAUCCGCCAUUUCUGCAUUUGUUCACCACAAAGGUCAUAAGUUCAUAUUGAUCCAUUGACUCACUCACUCCAGCAGUGGAUGGGCAACUGUGGGAGCGACGUGAAAGAAAAUGGUUCGAUGUAAAGAUGGGAUUAGAAGUGAGAGGUUUAGCGAGAUGGCAAGAUUCUCGAACAAGACGGUGAAGAGCAAAAUUGCAGAUGGAUUGAUUCAUUUUCUCGUCAGUUUUGCCAAAUUUUCUCCUUCUGAGUUCCGACAAUCCACAAAUUGACGCGAUGUCUUGAUAACAACAUAGUUUUCGGUUCGAUCAUUGAAAACUAAUUGUUUGCCAAACUGAACAUUUUGAGAAAUACUCUGAUCGAUUCAUUCCCAUACUCAGGAGUUGAAGAGAGAUCAGUAUGCAAAAUCAUGUUCUUAUACUGUUGUGAAAACGACUAUGAAAUCCACAUCUGAAACCAAAUCCGAAUGGAUAGAUAUCUCACACAACGAUGGCGAACACCAGUGGGUUUGAAGUGUUGCCUAUCGAAAUGAACGUUUCUUGUCUUACUACUGUUAGCUGAAAAAAAUGAGAACUUAAUACGAAUGUUUCUACUAUUGUCACUGUGUGCACGGAACAAACUACAUUAUACCAAUUUAAUUUUUUUUUGUUCUAUUCGACGCUUUCUUACGCAUCGAAUGAGACAGUCAUCCCAGCUCAUAUGUCGCAAAAUGACGUCAAAGGGAAAUUUUGAUGGUUUACAUUUGAAGCACGUAACUUCGCAAAAGAACAUAAUAUUUCGGCCCUCUUCUCUCCGAUGGCGUAGGAUUGCUUAUUUAGUGAAUAAACUCUAAACAUGUAAAGAUCGUGUUAAUUCACCUAGUUGAAGUCAGUAGAGGUGAGUGAGAGAUGGUUUGGACACCAACUGAUUGCUAAAUUAAAAAAAAAAAAAAAGAUAAUGGAUUAAGAAAAAAUUUAAGCUGUAAGUCUGUACAACGAAAUCCAUUAUCUGUCUUUGAUAAUGUGGUUAUGCGAAGAUCAAUUGCUUAAUCCACGUGCGCAAGUUCGUCGUAAAUCACAAAACCAAUCGCAUGAGUAGUGUCGAGAAAAAGAAUUAUUAAUUAUGACAUUCGAAUGAAGAAAAUGAAAAGAUUCUUUUUCCCAACUUCAAAUUGUCCCCAUUUUCACAAGGAGUAUAGUUUACAAUUCGGUUCUCAUGUUGAGGAUACCAAUUGUGCAUAUAGCGCAAAACAGAUGUAGAGGUUUGAUCAGUAACUUCUUCUUUUAUGCUUAUCUUAUCAUUGUGUCAUUCAAUUGGAGUAAAACACGCGCCUAAUUAACAAUUCCACUCUAUGAGAACACAUAAAGACAAUAAUUUACAAUUUAACUAGACAUGAACACCAACGUCACGCUGAAAUAAAUUACUAAUAGAGGGAACAAAUAAUUAUCAAAAAGGGAAUAAGUAUUGUAAAAGAUUCUUUUAUUCAUUUGCUCUAUAACAUAAAGGAGCAAUUCAUGAAAAAAAUAUGAGUACUCAAAUGUUAUUAAUGACAAUGAAAGGCAAGCCUUUGAGGUGAAGAGACCAAAAGCAAUUGUCCAACGAAAUGUAAAUAUAUGCUUAGGUGGAGCAUUUUUGGUGGAGAAUACAGUAAAUCCAAGUUUUGCAAUAUGAAUAAGACUUCUCUAGUUAUCUUAAGUCUUAUGCGUCAUCAAGGAAGUGAUGCUUUAGCAAUACUUUGUUAUUACGUAUUUGUAUAAAUGAGACCAUAUAGAAUUUGUAAUACCUGGUAGCUUAAUGAUUACGCAUGAACAUUUUCCUAGUACAUCAAUUUUUUUCUUCUAGGUUUUGCCGGAACGGGGAGUGCAGGUAAAGACUAGUUGUGCCAUGUAAGUCUUAUUUAGAUCAUAAAACAAUCCUCAAUUGAUGCAAAAACAACCCUUCCCAUCAUUAAGUGGAAAGUAUACAACGAUAGGUGCAUAAUAGACCAAGCUAUCUAAUUGCCGAUAGAUCUCAUAAUAAAUUAGCAGAUAUUCUGAUGGAAAAUGCAUCUAGACUAUAGACCAGUAGUGUAGGAACUCAGAGAAAAUCUCACGGAUUGAUGCGGUAGAAUAAUAGUUGAAUUUUUUUAUAGAUUUACUUGCCGAAACUUAUUCACAUCUGGAAGAUGUAUAUUGACAACUUUUUCGCUCAACUUAUUAUUUUUUUUUUCAAAGGGUGCAUGCAUCUUCCAAUUUUUUUGGGUAAAUCCUUGUACUAGAGAUUCUGCAUGGGCAGAUAGAAGAAGUGCUAUGCAGUGGGUGAAGUUAUGAAUCCAACCGUCCAUCGCCGAGGAUGGAAUAGAAUGGGCCUUGAAUGAAGGUACUAAUCAAAACCUUUUUGUUCCUAUCCACGUCAGACGCAAUAACAAUUUAGACGUAUUUUAUAUUGGUCACUUUCUUAAAAAGUCAAUAAAACGCGUAUAGCUUCUACUACAUUGAGCAUUUCCAGAUACGUAGAGAUUAGUGAAAAUAGUGUAUGGAGAUUAUUGGGUCUUGUUUGGUUUAAUUAAUAAGAAAUUAAUGAGUGAACUCUCGUUCCUUGAAGUUACAUUUCAUUAUUUUUCUUUCUUUAACUAUUGGUUUAACUUUAAUGUGGAAUUUCAUUUUAAUUGUUUGAAGAUUAAUCGUUGCCGUGAACUAAGUUAAGCUGCUACCACAAACGCACCACCACCACCCGCCCACCUAUUCACCGCGUCCUCGCCACCUCAAAUGCACACCGUCACCGCGAGGAUGCCAUUAGCUCAACUACCACACCAACCGCCCACCGCCACUGGCCACCACCAAAUCACCCAUUGCGCCCAUGCUCCUCCGCCACGAGCCACGCUGCAGCCACCAUCGAAGCACCACGACCACCACCAUCAAUAUUCCAGUACCGCCAAGUUGCCCAAGCGAGAACCCCCUAAUCACUUCCCCGCCUUCACUCCCGAUUCCACCCCCCUUCUACUCGCACACCGAGUCAGCACUCUCCUCCCACCUCCCCGAUCUCCUCCACCUCGCCACGACCAUUGCUGUCCACUGCUCCCACCCGGCAUGACUGGAGAGUGUUGAUGGACUUUCAAGUCUAUGCUUACAACUUACAACUAAUCUUAGACUCUUCGUAACAAAUACAUCUGAAAAAAGGACAGAACUAACUAAGGAUCAAUGCAGCCACGCCCAUAUCUUUUGUUGAGAUCACUGGAGAGUGUAAAGCAGUUUAGUCUCGACCAUCUCAUGUAAUACAUCCAUCGCCCCUCAUAUUCUGACCAUCUUUAACAAGUGCUCGGGUGGAGAUUAGUUUUUUUGCCAGAAGGAGGAGAUUAGUUAUAAGUCUCCCAAGGUUGAAUUUGCUAGUGUUCAUAACUUUUGAUGAAAUACCAGAAGACAAUCUUUUCCUGCAUCUAUCACAACGUACAUAUGUAGCUAACAGAAUUAUUAAUUGAAUUCAAUAUCCCAGGUGACAACAGUUAAUUGGAAAAGCCAAUGAGUAUGAGACCCAUGUACGAGAAUUAUAUGUGAUGAUGCGGUUCAAAACUAUUAAGAGCGCGCACACACCUCCAGCUCGUCCAGAACUUCUGCAUGACUUGCCUUGAAGGACACAACAAAGAGAAGGCAACAAAAUCUCACCAAGCAAUGAUAAAAGCUGAAAGAGGAAGAAGAAGAAGAAGAAACAUUCUGCGCCAUCAUUUUGUCGCAAGUUGUCACAACUUUCUGGCCGUGUUUAAUAAAGUCGUUCAAAAGUCUUUGCUCAUGUAAUUUUACAGUCCAUUCUCACUUUCUGGCCGAACAGCACCUUUUACUAUAGGUCUUUAAUUAUCUUUAUAGACUCAUAUUGGUGAUGACCAUGGAAAAAGGAAAUAAAGUGGAAGAUGAAGAAGGUGGUAUUCACGCCAUUUUCCUAAUUUCCUGGUCUGUAAUGCAAUCUGCCAUUUGCCUGAAAUGAGUUGACAAUAAGAUGUAAUGAAAAUCUCGGAAAAUGAAAGAGCAUGUCUUCAAAGUUUGAACACAACAAACGGAAUGGUGAGGAUUGUAGCUAAUGCUGCUACCAGGGACAUCUCAUGUGAACUCCAGUGUCGCCUCCUCCGUGGUAUGAUGACUUGUACCUCAAAUAUUCGACCAAUGCAAAAGUUUCUGUAGGCACAGGGAGCUGUCAAAAUUGCUAAUUUCCAAGUCCACUCUAUUUAGUCAAUGCACAAAGUUCAUAUUUCUCACUCUCAUAUCAGCAGCGUCACAAAGUCUUCUCUUCCAAUUCCCAAGGAAAUGAAUUUUUUUUUUUUUUUAAAAAACUUUGCAGGGUUUAUACCAAUAAAUUAUCAAAUCUCUUUUUGCUUUGUCAAAAUGUCACAGUUGGCAUUAAAACUGAAUUGCAUAUUUAACUUUUUAUCGAUAAGAAAAUUUGACAGUAGAUUCACUUAUACGUCUCAGCUAGAAUUGUCCAUCAGUUUUCCGUUUGAGCUGAUUGAGAGGGAUGACAGUCCUUAUUGCUCAAGUUCUACCUAGAUGUCUAUUAUGGCACUGAAAUUGAAGCGUCGCUGGAGAUUAUCUGUCCUUUGCCAGAGCUGUCAUUGUGUGUCAGCAAUAUAUCCAGCUCUCUAGAUUCCAUGCUGAUUGGAUGAUACAACUGAGUCGCCAACGUGGAGUAGUUAGGUGGCACUUCACAGCAUGAUCAAGGGCUAUUCAACUCGAUGCUAUUCAAUAAAUGUCCACUAAUUUGCAUAAUUCUUGAAUGUAUAUUUCCAUGGAAGGUUCUUCCGUGCUUUUCCUCAUAAAUGCUGAGGAAAAACAAUGCCAUACCUUGCAAAUUUAUUGCCUCAGUCCCUUUUUUAUAUGAGCUAUUUAAUUGCCUGUUGUAGUUACGGUUGAUUAGUUUUUGAAGCAGCUAUUCACAUUGAAGCCGUUCAUGGAGGUUGUUAUCGUUGUUUUCACACAGUUAGGACUGCAGUAGACUCUCACUGCCCAUCUGGUCCCUGAUUUGCUGAAUCAUUAUUACACUCAUCCAGCUGAUAAUUGGGCAUCCUAGCGAAUCGUCAGCUGAUCAAUUAAGCACAUGUUGGGAUUUUUGCAAGUUUGGAAAAAUAAUUUCAGGCAGCACUAAUGCUUAAGAAAUCCUGUUGACAUUGGAGAGUUUCUCAGACCUCUUGUUGGAGAUGUUAAAUUCAGUUCUCUAUGACAUGCUUGGCAUCAACAUGUAGAAAUUCAUCUGCACUACAUUCAAUCUGGGAGUGGCACAAAUUCUGUUUCUUGGAGUAUUAUUAGAAAUGGGCGGAGGUAGAGUAGAAUGGGACCAAAUCAAAUUUUGAUUGAAAGAAAAAUCUCGCGCAAUUCCAGGUAAAUGUCAUUUGUCUAGAAUGCAGUUCCAAAAUAUCAGCCAAAACCAGCAUUUCAUAUGUGCAAGUUGCCCCUAAAAAUGUCGCCUCCAAGUCAUUGCCUAAUCAAUCCAAUGGUCUUUUACAGCUGGCGGCCUCUCUGUAAAAUUACUUUGCGUUUGGGGACAGCAAGCCUGUGAACCGCCUCUGGAGCCUCCUUCUGUCAUUGCAUUUGAUCAGAUGAAGCCUGCAGCCUCUUUCUGUUAAAUUUGUUACAAAUCUGACAGCCUUUGCAGUGUUGCACGGGCCCCCAGCCAUGAUUCCACUAUAUAUCCUUUGGGAAGCAUUUCAUCGACUGAACUUAUGACAUGGCUUGUGCAAUUUAACCUUUUCCUUAAAGUCCACUGAUCAAAGGGGCAAGCUCACAACAUCUGGUUUGAGUCCAAGCUUGAAGACUAUAUUCAAAACAGAGAAGCCAAGAUGAAAUCUUUUCAAGUGGCAAGAGGCAAUUUAUCAGAGUCCUGAGAAUAUAAAUGUCUCAAGAUUAAGGGGGUGUGGGUCAUUGCAGCAUCCUCUGCAAGUUAAAACAUAAUAAAAUCUACAGCAAGCCUAUGAUGAAAAGACAGUUAAAGGAAAGAAUCGUGGUCAAUCUAUUACUAGAAUAAAUAGCCAAAAAUUUUAAAUGGCAAAACAGACGUUAGAAAAGCUCUCAUUGUAGCUUGGCAGAUUCAUUUUUCAUACUCUCAUACCAUCAGCAUCAUAAGGAUAUCAUAAAAUGAAUUCCGACCUUUCUUUUCUGGUCUUCCGAUUCCAACGGAAUUUAAAAGAAAUUAGGCAUGAGUGCUUUCUACUUUCUGUUAAAUUAGUGCCUUAAUUUUCUCAUCACAUGUACCUUUUUAUCUUCCGCGAGUAGAGAAAUGCUAAAUCUAUAGCAACCUUACUGGAGAAACACAGUUAAAGAUAUGAACCAUGAUCAAUCCACAAUGAAGAUUUAUAGCGUAAAGGUUCAACGAGAAAACAGAUGUAAAGAAAAACUUUUGUUGUAGCUUGGUAGAGUUUUGAAGAUGGUGAUGAAGAACCAACAAGAGUUCCAUUGGGAGGAGACUCACAGAUCAACACAAUCUGGACCAUGUUUGUAUUGGUGUUCUCUGAAGUCCAUGCAUACAACUUUCAGCUAGUUUUAGGUCUUCUUGCCAAAUAUAGUCAAAACAGACAGAACUGAGGAUCAAUGCAGCCGCUCCAAUCAUCUCUCAUUGAGAUAAGAAAACUCUACCAUAUCCAGUCACUCUCAACCAUAUUGUGCAACCCAUGCAUCGCCCUCAUUUUCUGACCAUUUUUAACCAGUGCUCAGGUGGAGAAUGCAGCUUCUCUUUCAUUUCUUGAAGCAGCUCAUAGGCAUCACUCAUUUGGUUGGUUUACAUAGCCCUGCAAUUAUAGCACCAAAUAACAAAGCAUCAUGUUGCAAACCUUUCUUAGGCAAAGCAUUGGAGAGUUCUUUAGCAUCUUCAAGUUCCCCUGCUGCAUAAGCCGCUAAUAAGGGUGUUAUAGCUGAUGAUAUGGACAUUUCCAUCUUUCACUUGUCUAUACAAAGCAAUUGCCUCAUGAACCUGGUGACAUUUACAAAGAUCAUCUAAGUUGUUGAUUAUUGUUGAUUUAAAUGUUCGCUACUAGCUAGAAUUUUGUAAAACAAUUGGUGUGCAACCUGAGGCAGUUCAAUGAGGAAAAAGCCACCCCCUGAGAUAGUUAUAGGUGGCAACAUCAGGGACUGAUCCAUUCUGUAACAUUCAUGAAUCAAUGAUAGAUUGGUUGUGAGUGAAAGCGAGCAGUUUUGUGCAAUCAUCAAAUGAAAUGUAGUGGGUGCAUCAUCCAUUUGAUUUUAAUAAUGGUAACCACCAAGCGAUGAAUUAUAAGCAACUGGGUCGGGUGUAAAUCCUCCUCAGAUCAUCAGAUCAGAGAUGCACUUUGCCUCGGUAGUCCUGCCCAUCCCACUCUGCAAAGUGCAUCCACAAUGAUACUGAUGGUUCGAACAUCCGCCAUCGUUCCUCUUUGCAGCAUCUCAGCUAACGCAACUGAAGGCUCUUCCCAGUGGCCACCACAGCAUAGGCCUUGGAUUAAGGAGUUACGAGUGAAAACAUGUGGCCAGAUUCCAUUGCUCAUCAGCUUGUCCAACAAAACCUUUGCUUCUUUCCAUUAACCUAUGCAAGUUGAGCAAGGGAUGACAUUUGGGCAUCAGCCAUAGUAUUAUAGAACUUCAAAGCCUCUGUCCCGGUGCCUCCUAUGAUCGUGGUGUACAUGAUCUCAUCUAGCUCCCAGCCUGUCUUCCAAAUUCUUCAGCAAUCGAACGGUUUUCCUAGCUUUGCCGGUUAUGCACAAUCUGUCACUAUGGCUCCACACGUGGUCAUAUCUACCUUGAUUCAUCUGACCGACAUUUCAUCCGCCAAGCUCAUGGCUCCGGCAAUUUUACCAUCUCCAACAAGCCCAUUGAUCAAAGUGUUAAAGCUCACACUUGGGGGUUCUAGUGCAAGUUCGUCCAUUUAAAUUGGUGGAGGCAACUCACCAAAAUGCUGCCGGUAAAAACGACGGGAGCCGUUCCCUUGGAAUCCGUAAUGCUCCGUCUUGGCCACAGCCCCUUAGAGUUGGGUGGAAACAUGGAGGUGAAGGCAAAGUGUUCAUCCGAACCAUCCUCUCCAAGUAGAAUAAGGGUGCGUUUGAUAACUACACAAAAUUUAUGUUUUUGGAAUAAAAAAAGAACAUAAACACAUUUGGUAAACUUCUAUAAUUUUUUUUUUGUUUCUUUUAAUUUUUUAAUAUUUUUAUUUUAUUUUUCCUUUUUUCUUUUUUCAUCCUUUUGGCCGGUCGCUGGACUUAGCCAUGGCCGGCGAUCGGCCGACAAGGGCUGGCGGCCUCGCCUUGCCAUGGCGAGGCUCGCUAGGGGCCGGCGACGCUCUGGCGAGGUCAUCGGCCCUCGACGGCCGGUCGCCUAGUCAAAGAAAAAAGAAAAAGAAAAGAAGAAGAAAAGAAAAAAAAAAUAGGAGAGAGAAAAAUUGUUUCUCCAAAGUGUUUCCAGGAACAAGAAACAAGUUUUUCUUGUUUUUUUUUUUUCUGUUCCAAAUUUGUUUUCAGGAACAAAAAAUAUAUAUUUAGAACAAAAGUAUAAACAAACGCGUUUCUAUUCGUCUUUUGUUCCUCGGAACAAAAGAACAGAAAUUGUAUUCCGGGGAACAAAAAAAGAACACAAACAAACAGGCCCUAAAGCAUCGUCGGCUUCCUCCGAUCCCGCCAUUUCAGCAAUUUUUUUUUUCGUCACAAAGGCCCCGCAUUCAGGUCGAUCCAUUGAAUACCUUACUCCAGCAGUGGUCGCGCAAGCGCGAGAGCAACGUGAAGGCAAAUGGAUCGAGGGAGGGACGAAGGUGUGGACGGUGUCCAUCACCCUUCCACCUUCGCGGAACGCGUACGGGAGGUGGGCCUUCAAACUGGCAUUAUAUUCUUUUUCGUUUUUUGCAUUAUAUUCUAGAUUUUUAUUUUUUAUCUUUUGAAUUUAUCGGCUGAGAUAUUGAAAAAGAUAAUUAAAAAAUCACAAAAAAAUCCAAACUGGCACAUUUUCUUUAAUCAAAUCAUAUCCACUACUUAUUAACUGAUUAUGCCAAUUAAUAAUCUUUUCUGAAAACUUAAUAUGUAGAAAGUCAACUUAACUGAUUAUGCCAUAAUAAUCUUUUUCGAAAACUUAAUCUAUAGAAAGUCAACUUUUUUAUAUGCGAAAUUACUAGGUACGUGCAAAAGUAGGUUAACUGUAAAGUCGCCUUUAACAUAGUGUCACAAUUACUAAAACUGAGAGGGCACAAAAAUCAUGUGACAUAGCGUAUAAACUUAUCGAAAUGUCAAAAAUCUAGAGAAAUUCACAAUAGUAGAUGCUCAUAGAGUUCUGGAAAUUCCUGGGCUCGAGGAAUUCACAAAAAUCUCUAACGUUUGUGUAUAUCAUUGGGAUGAAAAACAAUGGAAAAUUUAUUAGAUUUAUCGGCACGUAGGAAGUUACAAUUUCUAUUUGCACGUGACUGCACGGGACUUACCCACUAUACUCAGUUUCAGGGGCUUGGAGAGUUGUAUCUAGUUUAUCUGGAUAUAUGUAGACGCAAUUCAUUAUAAACAAUAUCAAAAUCAAGUGGAACUGAUAACUCUAUAAAAAUAGAGUUAUUUUACCUAUUUUAAGCAACAAUUAAUGCAUUAUCUAUGAGAAAAUAUUUGGAUUUCCUUCUUAUUAUUUAAAUUUUCCUUGUUUAUCCAGAAUAAUGAGAUAUUGAGAAGAUAAGGAAAAGAAUGGCAACUAUCAGGAAUUCAAAUAAAAGCAGCAGUGGAAGAUGGAUAUCAAAUCAGGAAAUUCUUGAUUUUGUUCCCUAAUGUUAUCUGCAAGUGUUGGGAGAUAGAUAUUUUAGAUUUCUUAUAAAUAGGAAAGAGAGAGAGAAGCUAGGGUUUUGGGGGGGGGGGUUAGAUCGUUUUUCAUUCUUUUGAGAGUUUUUCAAUUAUUUUGAAGAGAAGACAAAAGUGGUGACAGAAUUCUUGUUUUUUGAUUCAAGAUGCUGGGUUUAAUUUAUAUUUUUAUUUUUUCUUCUACUAUGUUCUAAUUUUCUUUUGUUAGGGUUACGAUGUAGUCUAACCAUGAUGAUAUGGAUUUCAUGAUUUUUAUGUUUUACAAUUGAUUUCAUUCAUGUGAGUUAUAUAUUAUUGCGUUUAAUGCACACCACUUGAAUGAUCUGAUGUGCAUGUUUGAGACUAAGAGGUGAUAAUAUGCAAUUGCUCGUUAUAAUAUAUAACCAUGAAUUAAACGUGGAUAGAAAUAUACCGCGUUAUUUGUGUAGUUUUCGGUGAUAAGGUGAUCCAAAAAACUCAUUGUAAACCAGGAAUAUUAAUAAUUUUUAAUGCACUCAUGUUUAUUUUAAUUCACAUAGAGAUAUAGUGAAUUAAUAAGCGGAGUAGGUUUGCUAUACCUAGAGAUAGGAUAGUAAAUAGAUUAGGAAAUUCCGCUAUCACAUGUUUGAUAUCGUUCUUGUAUUCACAACAAUCUGAAAUUCAUAUCUAGUGGUUAUGGUGAAAUCGGAUGCUCUAACAUAUUUAUCUGAUUGAUUUUACUGCAUUUAGUCUUCAAGUUUUGUUUUUAAUUUAUUCUAAAUUAUAUUUUGAUUUGUUAGAUAAAUUUUAGAAUAAAUCUAUUUUAUAUUUAAUUAGUUUAUUAAUCAUUGAUCUCCAUAGAACGAUACUUUUUCUCAUCAUUAUAUUACUUGUUCGAUACGUAUACUUGCGUUUAGAAUUUCACGAGCAAGUUUUUGGCGCCGUUGCCGGGGAUCGUUUGUUUAAUACUAAUUAAUAUUGAUACCAGAUAAUUCUAAGUUUAAUCUAGCUUUCGUUUUGUUUUAUUUUUCAGGGUGUACAUCGGUUUAUGACACGUAGCCAACAAGGGGAACUUGUUGAACUUGAUCCACAAAUCGAGCGUACAUUCAAAAGGCGAUUGAGAGAACAGAGAAAUCACACUAAGAUGGCAGACGUUGAGAAUGAAAAUCCACGUAGACUCUUAAGAGAUUAUGUUGCGUCAAUAGUUCAAGGCACCACAUCAAGUAUCAGAAGACCUGCAAUUCAAGCAAACAACUUUGAGAUCAAACCGUCACUCAUUCAGAUGCUUUAACAAUCAGUGCAAUUCAGUGGGCUACCAAGCGAUGAUCCAAACGCUCACAUCGAUGCUUUUUUUGAAAUUCGUGACACCAUUAAAUAUAAUGGAGUUAUAGAUGAUGCUAUUAGAUUGAGAUUAUUUAUAUUCUCUCUUAGAGAUAAAGCUAAGAGUUGGCUUUCUUCUCUUCCUACAGGAUCAAUUACUACAUGGAAUGAUAUGGCUUAGAAAUUUCUUGGUAAGUUAUUUCCACCUGCAAAGUUUGCGAAGAUGCGUAACAAUAUUACUAAUUUUAUGCAGAUGGAUAAUGAAUCAUUAUAUGAAGCAUGGGAAAGAUUCAAAGAAUUUCUUAGGAGAUGCCCACAUCACGGACUACCCGUAUGGAUGCAGGUACAAACUUUUUAUAAUGGCUUUAGUACAAAUCUUUGUUCUAUGAUUGAUGCAGCUGCAGGGGGGACUUUAAAUAAUAAAACACCAGAAGAAGCCUACAAUCUAUUAGAGGAGAUGGCAUCCUGGCAUCCAAUAGUUAUCAGUGGCCUACUGAGAGAUUACCAAUGCGAAAAGUUAGCGGAGUUCAUGAAGGGGAUGCUUUUGUUGCAAUUGCUGCACAAUUUGAAACAUUCAACAAAAAGCUUGAUAAUAUGAGUAUUUCAGUCAUGAAAAUUCACAAUUUGACAUGUGAUUUUUGUGGUGGAGGACAUGUUAGCACAGAGUGUUAGAUAAGUAAUACUUUUAAACCAUCUCAUGAAAAUUCUAACUUUGUUGGGAAUUUUAACAGGUUGCAGAAUAAUCCCUACUCCAACACAUACAAUCCGGGAUGGUGCAAUCAUCCAAAUUUUUCAUGGAACAAUCAGAAUGUGAUGAGACCACAAGGAUUCAAACAAUCAGAAGAGACAAAGUCAAAUUUGGAAGACAUAGUCACCAAACUUGCUAACACAACUCAUGACUUCAUCAAAAGCACGGAUGUGAGAUUUCAAAACCAAGAGGCUUCAAUCAGAAAUCUGGAGAUGCAAGUGGAUCAGUUAGCAAGCAUGAUGUCAGGAAGGCAACAGGGUUCUUUGCCGAGCAACACAGAGAAAAAUCCAAUUGAAAACAUAAAGGCUAUUACCCUGAGAAGUGGUAAACAAGUAGGAGAAGAAGAGAUUGUCAGAGACAAAGAAGAGGUGAUCAAUAAACAAUCGAAUGAGACAAGCAAGAGUAAACUUUUUCCAGAUAAUCUCAAGCCAUAUGUGCAGCCAAUUCCAUUCCCUUAGCGACUCCAGCAGCACAAAAUAGAUAAGCAAUUUUCUAAAUUUCUUGAUGUAUUUAAAAAAUUGCACAUUAACAUUCCUUUUGCAAAUGCUUUAGCGCAAAUGCCUAGUUAUGCAAAAUUUUUGAAGGAGAUUUUGACAAAUAAAAGGAAACUGGAGGAUUAUGAAACUGUGAAGUUAAACGAGGAGUGUUCAGCCAUCCUACAAAACAAAUUGCCUACGAAAUUAAAAGAUCCAAGGAAUUUUACUAUUCCUUGCACUAUUGGGGAUUCUUACUUUGAAAAAGCAUUAUGUGAUUUAGGUGCAAGUACUAAUCUGAUGCCUUAUUCAAUUUUCAAGAAAUUAGGAUUGGGUGAGGUAAAAGCAACCACAGUGUCACUUCAACUGGCUGAUCGAUCAAUUAAAUAUCCGAGAGGUAUUGUGGAAGAUGUUUUGGUAAAAGUUGACAAAUUUAUCUUUCUUAUAGAUUUCAUAAUUCUUGACAUGGAGGAAGAUUUUGAGGUACCACUUAUCUUAGGUCGACCUUUUCUAGCAACAGAAAGAGCUCUUAUUGAUGUACAACAGGGGAAGUUGAUCCUUAGAGUUCAAGAUGAUCUUGUUUCAUUUAAUGUUUUUAAAGCAAUGAAAUAUCCAUCUGAUGAUAAUUCUUGUUUUAGAAUUGAGAUAGUUGACAAGUUGGUGAAUAAGGUUUUUCAGGAAAAUAUUUUUGAAGAUCCACUUGAAGCAUGUUUGAUUCAACUAAGGAACAAAGAUAUUCAGAAUGGGAAGAUAAAUGAGUACGCAAAUUUCAUGGAGGCAAUUCCACCAUAUUCAAGGCAAAAGACAAUUAAAUUUGAGGAGUUUGGACAACACAUUACAAAGCCUAAACCAUCAAUUGAAGAGCUUCCAAUUCUUGAACUCAAACCCUUACCUUCUCAUUUGAAAUAUGCUUAUUUAGAUGGAGUUUCUUCUUUACCGGUAAUUAUAUCUUCUUCUUUGACAGAUUUGAUGGAGGAUAAAUUGCUCAGAGUAUUAAGAGAGCAUAAAGGUGCAAUUGGAUGGAAAAUAGCUGAUAUCAGGGGAAUUAGUCUUUCAAUUUGCAUGCACAAAAUUUUGAUAGAGGAGCAAUAUAAACCCACUGUCCAACCUCAGAGGCGUUUGAACUCGAAGAUGCAAGAAGUAGUGAAAGCUGAGGUAAUUAAACUACUUGAUGCAGGUAUCAUCUAUCUUAUCUCUGAUAGUUCUUAGGUAAGUCCUGUACAAGUUGUACCAAAGAAAGGUGGUAUGAUUGUUCAGAAAAACGACAACAAUGAAUUGAUUCCAACUAGAACAGUUACUGGGUGGUGUGUGUGUAUGGAUUACAGAAAAUUGAAUGAUGUCACUAGAAAAGAUCACUUUCCUUUACCAUUUAUUGAUAAGAUGUUAGAAAGACUUGCAGGGCAUGAAUUUUAUUGCUUUCUAGAUGGAUAUUCAGGGUAUAAUCAGAUUCCUAUUGCACUAGAAGAUCAAGAGAAAACUACUUUUACUUGUCCCUAUGGUACUUUUGCUUUUAGAAUAAUGCCCUUUGGUCUUUAUAAUGCACCAGCUACUUUUCGAAGAUGCAUGAUGGCUAUUUUCUCUGAUAUGGUUGAAAAAUAUAUUGAGAUUUUUAUGGAUGAUUUUUCCGUUUUUGGCCUAUCAUUUGAUUCUUGUUUAAAUAAUUUGGCUUUGGUCUUCAAAGAUGUGAGGAGACUAACCUUGUUUUGAAUUGGGAGAAGUGUCACUUUAUGGUGCAGGAAGGAAUAGUGCUUGGGCAUAAAAUUUCUCGAAACGGAAUAGAAGUCGAUCGAGCCAAAGUGGAGGUCAUUGCAAAAUUACCUCCGCCAACAUCUGUGAAACUUGUCAGAGGAUUUUUGGGGCAUGCAGGAUUUUACAGGCGAUUUAUAAAAGAUUUUUCAAAAAUUGCUAAACCUCUUUCUAAUCUUUUGGAAAAAGAUGCUCCUUUUAAUUUUUCCGUUGAAUGCAUGCAGGCUUUUAACACUUUAAAGGAGAAGUUAAUAUCAGCACCAAUUAUGGCAUCACCAAAUUGGGAUUUACCUUUUGAGCUGAUGUGUGAUGCUAGCGAUUCUGCAGUAAGAGCUGUUUUGGGACAAAGGAAGAAUAAAAUUUUUCAAACCAUAUACUAUGUUAGUCGAACCUUGUCAGGUGCACAAUUGAAUUAUUCAACAACAGAAAAUAAACUUCUGGCAAUAGUAUUUGCUUUUGAUAAAUUUCGUUCUUAUUUAAUUGGCUCAAAAGUUAUAGUUUAUUUUGACCACUCUGCUCUUAAGUAUCUGCUUGAAAAGAAAGAAUUAAAAUCCAGGUUGAUCAGGUGGAUUCUAUUUCUGCAAUAAUUUGAUUUGGAAAUCAAAGAUAAGAAGGGGACUGAAAAUCUAAUUACAAAUCACUUAUCAAGAAUUCCAAAUUCAAAAGAAGAGGUAAGACCAAUUUUGGAAGAGUUCCCUGAUGAGAAAAUUUUUUUCCAUCAAGUCAAUUCCUUGGUAUACUGACUUUGUAAAUUAUUUGGUAAGUAAUGUUCUUCCUCCUGAAUUAUCAUAUCAACAGAAGAAAAAAUUCUUUUCUGAUGUUAAAAAUUAUUUUUGGAAGAACCUUUUUUGUUUAAAGUAUGUGCAGAUCAGGUCAUAAGGAGAUGUGUUCUAGAUGAAGAGAAGACAAACAUUCUACAUCAUUGUCAUGAUGAAGAGACAGGUGGCCAUUUUGGUGCCAUAAAAACUGCAGCUAAGAUUUUACAAUCUGGAUUUUAUUGGCCUACACUUUUUAAAAUGCAUACUCCUAUGUAGCUUCAUGUGAUAGGUGUCAAAGAACUGGAAAUAUUUCAAGAAAAAAUUAAAUGCCUUUAAACAACAAUAUUGUGUGUGAAUUAUUGGGUAUUGAUAUCAUGGGACCCUUUACACCUUCUUAUGGAAAUUUAUACAUUUUAGUGGCUGUGGAGUAUGUGUCUAAAUGGGUAGAAGUUGUAGCAUUACCAACAAAUAAUGCUAAAGUUGUGGUCAAAUUCUUGAAAAAAAAUAUUUUUACCCAAUUCGGCACUCCUAAGGCAAUCAUAAGUGAUAGGGGGACACUUUUUUACAACAAACAGUUUGAAGCACUUUUGAGUAAGUACGGAGUCACACAUAAGGUUGCAACCCCUUAUCAUCCUCAGACUAGUGGUCAAGUAGAGAUUUCAAAUAGGGAAAUCGAGAGAAUUUUAGAAAAAACAGUGAAUGCCUCUAGGAAAGAUUGGUCAAUAAAACUUGAUGAUGCACUUUGGGCCUAUAGGACGGCGUUCAAAACUCCAAUUGGGAUGUCUCCAUUUAGGCUAGUAUUUGGAAAGGCUUGUCACUUACCAGUGGAAUUAGAGCAUAAAGCAUAUUGGGCAUUGAAAUUUCUAAAUUUUGAUAUGCAGUCUGCAGGUGAAGAAAGAUUAUUGCAAUUGAAUGAAUUGGAGGAAUUUCGCAAUGAGGCCUAUGAAAAUUCUAAGUUGUACAAGGAGCGUACAAAAAGAUGGCAUGACAAGCACAUAUUGAGAAGAUAGUUUAAAAUUGAUCAAAAAGUUUUACUCUAUAACUCUCGUCUUAAACUUUUUUCAGGAAAGUUGCGAUCUAGAUGGUCUGGUCCUUUUACAGUUACACAGGUAUUCCCAUAUGGAACAUUUGAAGUUGUGCAUGACACUGAGGGCACAUUUAAAGUGAACGGUCAACGUUUGAAACCCUACUUUGAAGGUGGUUACAAUAAGCAGAAGAUCACAAUUGAACUUCAUCCUCCAUAAUAGCGACAUCUGAGAUAGUUUGGCUGAAAACUAUAAAGCAAGCGCUUCUUGGGAGGUAACCCAAGCAUUUUAAUUAUGUUUUUAUUUAUUUUUAAGUUUAUGUUUUGCCAAAAAAAAAACGAUUAACUUUUCUCUGUUUUAUCCAGAUUAAUUUUUAGGGAGCACAUUUCAAGAGUUUAAUCAUCAAGAUCAUCUAUGGACUUAUCUUACAACCAAGGAAGUUUUCUUCUUCUUAUUCUAUUUUUCGCAUUGAGGACACUGCUUCAUUCAAGUUUGGGGGGAAGACAAAUUUUUGGAUAAUUUUUUAUCAUUAUUGCUUUCCUGGUUGUAAAUUUUUAUGAUUCUUAGGAAAAUUUAAAGUUUAUUUAAACUUGCAAUUGAUGUGUGAGUUAAUCUUAAUUCUAAUUAUGUUGAUCAACUUACUGAGCACUAAAAGUCCUUACUUUUUGAAUUGUGUGUAAAUCUAGAGAACAUUCAUGUGAAAUAUGUGAUUUUCUUAGAUUUCACCCAAAUCUUAGAAUUUGUUUGAUUUUCUCUUGAGGCGAAAUCCUAAGCUAAAUCUAACUGAGAAAAUGAUAUAGGCAGUUUUUGGAUCGAUUGAGCCUUUCAAGCCAACCUUGUUUAUUUAUCCCUAGUCACCCCGUUGAGCCUUAAUUAUUACCCAAUUUUUCAUUGGCACCCAUAUACGUUUAGCCUAGCCAUUAUCAAAUUAUAUCCUUAUCCCAUGCCCUAUGAACACGUUGAUUUUCUUUUGGGAUAAAAAAUUAUUUGAGUUUGAUAGAAAUUUGGGAGGAAUGAUGAAGUAAAAAAGAAGAAGAAAAAAAGUGAUUGCUAUGGUUGUUUGGGGUGUAUUGUCAAAAAAAAAAAUUGCUUUUAUGGUUCCCUAUCCAACUUUCAAUUGAGUGAGCCUUUUGGAUACUCAAUGGGUUGGAAAUUUUCAUGUUAUAUUAGGAAGGACUUUGGGAGAAACUCCACCAUAAAGCAAUUCAAAAAAAAAAAAAAGGAAAAAAAAGGGAAUAAUGAUAUAUUGUGGCAGAAAAAUUAUCUUGAAGGAGUGAAAUUGGACAGUGACAUUGGCUCUAAUUAGAUCCUAGAAAUCAACGUAUUGAUGGGUGAUUUGAGGUUAAAAUUCCCAUUAUCUCACCUUUAGCCCAGCCUUACAUUACAACCUGAGAAAAAUCCUAUUGAUUUUUGGUUGGAUGAUUAGCUUACAUUAGUGGAGAGGGGAAUGAAAAGCAAACCUAUGAGAUUUGGUCAUAAUUAUUGAGAAUGUUUUAGAGGUUACAUGUCAAUGUGAAUUUAUCCGGAUUGCAUAUAAUUUGAAAAAGAUGAGGACUCUCACAUACACACUUGGAUCAUAUAGUUAAAAUUGGUCUUAACUUAUAAAUUGAUUUUAAUGUUUGGAUGAAAUUUGUGUUUUUCUUUGAAUUGUGAAUUUAAGCAAUUAUGGAAAGAUGUCAUGGAGAAAGUUGUUAGGUUGAGUAUGUGUUAUGUCUUACUUUUGCUCGAGGACUAGCAAAAUGUUAAGUUUGGGGGUUUGAUAACUCUAUAAAAAUAGAGUUAUUUUCCCUAUUUUAGGCAACAAUGAAUACAUUAUUUAUGAGAAAAUAUUUGGAUUUCCUUCUGAUUAUUUAAAUUUUCCUUGUUUAUGCCGAAUAAUGAGAUAUUGAGAAGAUAAGGAAAAGAAUGGCAACUAUCAGGAAUUCAAAUAAAAGUAGCAAUGGAAGAUGGAUAUCAAAUCAGGAAAUUCUUGAUUUUGUUCCUUAAUGUUAUCUGCAAGUGUUGAGAGAUAGAUAUUUUAGAUUUCCUAUAAAUAUGAAAGAGAGAGAGAAGCUAGGGUUUGGGGGGGGGGGGGGGUUAGAUCGUUUUUCAUUCUUCUGAGAGUUUUUCAAGUAUUUUGAAGAGAAGACAAAAGUGGUGACAGAAUUCUUGUUCUUUGAUUCAAAAUGUUGGGUUUAAUUUAUAUUUUUAUUUUUUCUUCUACUAUGUUCUAAUUUUCUUUUAUUAGAGCUACAAUGUAGCCUAACCAUGAUGAUAUGAAUUUCAUGAUUUUUAUGUUUUACAAUUGAUUUCAUUCAUGUGAGUUAUAUAUUAUUACGUUUAAUGCUUUUGAGUGACUAGCCACCACUUGAAUGAUCUGAUAUGCAUGUUUGAGACUAAGAGGUGAUAAUAUGCAAUUGCUCGUUAUAAUAUAUAACCAUGAAUUAAACGUGGAUAGAAAUAUACCGCGUUAUUUGUGUAGCUUUCGGUGAUAAGGUGAUCCAAAAAACUCAUUGUAAAUCGGGAAUAUUUAUAGCUUUUAAUGCACUCAUGUUUAUUUUAAUUCACAUAGAGAUAUAGUGAAUUAAUAAGCUAAGUAGGUUUGCUCUACCUAGAGAUAGGAUAGUAAAUAGAUUAGGAAAUUCCGCUAUCACAUGUUUGAUAUCGUUCUUGUUUUCACAAUAAUCUGAAAUUCAUAUCUAGUGGUUAUGGUGAAAUCGGAUGCUCUAACAUAUUUAUCUGAUUGAUUUUACUACAUUUAGUCUUCAAGUUUUGUUUUUAAUUUAUUCUAAAUUAUAUUUUGAUUUGUUAGAUAAAUUUUAGAAUUAAUCUAUUUUAGUAUUUAAUUAGUUUAUUAAUCAUCGAUCUCCGUGGGAAGAUACUUUUUCUCAUAAUUAUAUUACUUGUUCGAUACAUGCACUUGCGUUUAGAAUUUCAAGAGCAGGAACACGUCUCAAAGAGAAUUUUGAAGAAUUCGAACAUCAUUUGGAUGAUAAAAAAAGUCCAUUUCUGGAGAUAAAGGAUGUGAUAAGCCAUGUUCUUAUGUUGAUAUAUAUUGACAAUGAGAAUUUCCUUGACGGCGUCUCCUGUUUAAUGAUCGAUUACCAUAUUCUUAAAGAUAAUAAAAAAAUUCCAUGAUUCCCUCCUUUACGUGGUUUGUAAGCAAUAAACACUUUCAACAGGAAGAAAGACAGCAAAUAGGCAAAACCUCCCAUUUAAAUUUUUUCCAACUUGGGAAGGAAUCUUCAAUUAUAAGAAUUUGACAAAUACUCCUCCCUCGGGCUUUCAAAAUCCACUCCUGAGGGAUGUAGUCGAGCCUCAAGCUUUCCACUUUAAGAAAUGAUUGGAUGACCUUCUUUAAUCUACUAUGAUAAUAAGAGUCAAGUUUUUUUUUUCUUCGAUUCUACUCUAAUUCUACUCUAAUUCUACUCUAACACUCAUUAUCAGACUUUUGUCAUGCCUCCUUGCAAGGUGUGGGAGUCGAAACCCAUUCCUGAAAUGAAAUCGUCCCCACUCCAAUCCCUCCUAAGAAGAUGGGGAUUUGAACCCUCCACCUCCCCCUACCAAGUUGGAAGGGUGGCCACUGGGACGAAUCCCCAGUGGUUUAAGAGUCUAGUUUGGAUCACCAAAAAAAAUCAAACAACAAAUAAUUUCAAAUUGUUGUGGGGUCAACUCAUUUAGGGAUGUAUGGCUCACAACAAGCCGUUAUUCUCACAGUAACUCAAAAGCUAUUAUGUUGGUAAAGUCCUUUCACUUUCUCUCUCUUCACUUGAUAGAUUAGUUCAAAAGGCUUGUCAUUUAUUGUUAUCUUUCUUUGGCCACCAAAAUUUUAUGUUUUUCUCUUUUUAAUCUAGUCAUUUACUAUACUUACCUUCCAAUCCCCUUUUUCCUAUAACAUGAGGUAGCCAAGCCUUUCAACUGAAAUAAUCUGUAUGGAUGCAUAUAAUUCUUCUCAUCCGUGUAUAUUAGAUAAGGCUCUAGAAGGUGCAAGCACGUUUCCCCUAAUUAAUACAAGUGUGAGACUAUAAUUUGGACAUGUAAUCUACUAGAUCCACAGCCAAGCAUUUAACUAACUCAGCUUAACCAUUAGGGGCCCCUUCUAAUCUCUUCACUCUACUCUAUAAUUCUAACAAGAGAUCUACAUUAAAAUGAUGUUGUGCUAUUGUCUACUGACUUAACUUUUGUUUUCUAAAUCUUCCACGAAAUGAAGAUACUUAGGAGCUUCAUAUCAUUUAAAAAGGAACCUCGGUACAAUGAUAGAUUCUUGUGCUCCCAAAAAGUGCCAUGUGACUUGUUGGUAGAAAUGAAGUACCUAAGAGUGUUUUCUUUAGUUACUAUCGCAACCCAACAUACCAUAUUGCAUUAGUCAAUUGAGGCUUCUACACUAUCUCAAUUUUUCAUAAAUCAAAAGGCUUCCCGAAUCAAUUGUUGGAUUGCACAGCCUAGAGGCUUUGAUGCUGUGAGGUUUGAAAAUCUCAUCGAAAUACAAGAAGGCAUGGAGGAAAUAGAUCAAUCUACAGUUUGUCCAUGUUGGAGACACUUGGAGCCUAAGAGCAAUGACAUUGUAUUAGGUUAUCUUGUGGUCAUCAGAUCUUGUUGAAGUUUGUUGUGGAAACCGAAAACAGAUCGAAGCUAGAGGAGUUUAAAAAAACUGAAGCAUCUUGGAGGGGAGUUGUUCAUCUCCGAGUUGUAUAAGGUUGGAGAAGUAGAUGAUGCCAAAGAGGCCAUUUUACAAGAAAGGAGGGAAUAAGCUGGUUGAGCAUGCAAUGGAGCGGAUGUUUCGAAAAUUCCUGGAAGGAGGUGCUUGAAGAGGAAGGACCUACCAAAUCUCACAUUAUCCUACUAUUAUGGCUUAGAAUUUCCAUCAUGGUGGUCAACUUUGACGUGGCACAUAUGGUUGCCACAUCAACAUCUCCAUUUUCAAUUUUAACAUAAUGAAUAACUUGAGCAAAAAUUUAAUAUAUAAUUUAGGGACUAUUUUGGCAAAAAAAAAAAAUAGUACAAGAAUGAUAUCGAACAAAUUGAAAAAGUAUGCGACACUAGCAAUUUCAUUAUCACUAAACUUUUCACACAAGUUUUAUCAAGAGAAUUUUUUCAAGGUUUAUUAUUUGCUGUUCUUCUGCUACCAUAUUAAGGACAAUUAACAUCUUUAAAGAGUGGUAUACACACUUUAGAGUCUAUUUUCAUUUCCGCCAACGUUGUGUUAUCUGAUAUCGCAUAGUCCUUAAAAGGCGGCAUCAUUUAAAAUUCAAUUUCCAAUGUAAACACCUUGACUUUAGCGUAAGUACGGAGUCGCAAAAGGUUGACCAUCCACUUUGGUUUGAACGGCCACGUGGUCCAAUUACAAAGAGAACUAGGAAAAAUAUCCUGGAAGUCUACAGUGGGGUUAGUCUUGCCAAUUUCCAGGAAGGGGGUUGUUCGGGGGCCUUGGUCAAAAGAUAAGGGCUAAAGAAGUAAAUUGCCUCGUCAAAGAAACGCUAUCCACCACACACAAUUGCUUGUGUACGAUGGCCGAAGCCCGUCUGGCUUCAUCCUUCGGUGCAAGGGAAAAAGCAAAGCUUGUUCAAGGGCAGGGGGGGCCUUGUGCUUGAAGAGGAUAAACACAUUGGAUCUUCUUUGCUUGUUCAGAGGUAAGAACACCAUGCCAAACACCAGAAAUCAUUGAGAUGCUCGUUUUCGUUCUGAGAUAUAUUUGGUUUAAUAACUCUAGAUUGAGGCGUGAAGUUGAUCCUUCCAGUUGUACUGUCUUUCGGGACUCCGGACAUAACUUGAUCUUCUCCAAACUGACUCAUUCUCAAACACAAGACUCACUGCAAUAAGUUCGUCUCUGCAUCGCUUCUUCAGGUAAGCCCAACCAUGAUUAUUUAGUCUGAUCAAGGGGCUGAUGUCCAUGCUUUAUCUAGACUUCAGGCUUGCACUUUAUUAUGCUCCGCACAUUGUUUUUAUGGAAUUGCUUGCACCUGACUGCAUUAUAACCUGUUGAGACUUCAUCUACCCCAACCUCACCUGUUAACUGAUAUUAGAACAAAUGUUGAAAAUUUAUGUGUAGUCCAACUUUCGACUUGAUUAUUCUGUUUAAUAUGUUUUGUCAUCCUUUUCUAGGUCAAGACAUCAUCCUCUACAUUAUGUGAAUAGAUCAAUACGUAUUUGGUUACAUUAAAAAUGUUAUUUAAAAUGUUUUAGACACGAUGAAGGAAGGGCUUUCAUAAACAAGAUGUGACAGUAUGAGAGGAGAUCGUAUAUGUCUAUAGCACCGAGAUAAGGCAUAAUAGCAAGUGACCUUCUCUCGCGUGCAAAUUUGAAUGAAGUCGUAUCAAGAACACUUGUAGAAAUGGGGGAAUGGAAUAAAGAAAAUAAAAUGCUUAUCUUCUCCAUGGAUGAGAGAUUUUAGGGAGUGACAUCGUUGAGCUCUAAGGAAACUCUUCCUAAUCCUAGCAAAUCAUUGAUAACUUCAAAUUAUUUUGAUUGAUAAGUAUUGGUCACGCCUAUCGUGUCCAUUAUGGAAUAAUGAAUGUGCAUGAUCACACACACAUCUUCUAGCUCUUUUGUGAAAAACCAAUUUCUUAGCGUACGUUCAAAAUCACGGAGAAAAUAAUUGAUAUGUUUAUUGAUCAACAUUUUAAACAAAAUUAAAGAGGACAAUCUGCUUUGGCAAAAGGAAAAUUAAUAUUGUGAUCUCAAAUUUAUUAAAUCAAUCAUACCAAAUGUCAAAGAAAAAUAAUUGUGCCUAGAGCAACCAAGAUCGCUCCACCAAUUCAUACCUUGCGCACAAAGUGCACGAAGUGGGAAUUCAACAGAGUGCAAAUUUAAGUGAAAACUAUUGGAAAAUAAUCCAAAGAAAACACAAACUGUUUGUUGCAAUCAGAACAUGAAAUUGGAUGUGAGGUACGGAUAUCUGAAUCUCCUUAAAGCAAUUAGUUCCUACCAAUAGUGCUCCACAGAUUUACGAAUUAUGCCUCCCAAGAUACAACACCUCGAAUUUGUUUGGAUUAGUAUUAUACAAACAUGACUCAGUCAAACCGUUCAAUUGAAUCAACACACUUAGAAAAAUCAGAAGAGUAGAUAAAAGUGUAUCAGAGCAUUUUUAGAAUCGAGUCGGAAAAACCAAAAACUAUAAUGAAGCUCGAUACUCCCAUCUAUUUAUAGAGAUUUUUAGUUCAUGUACAGAAGAGAUACAUGAAUUAAAUAGACGCAUGUAUCCAUGAAAUUCAUGAAUCAAGAGAUACAUGAAUUCAAGAGAUUCACGAAUCCAGAGAUACGCGAAUUCAAGAGAUUCGUGAACUCAAUAAAUACAUGAACUAAAAGAUACAUGAAUCUAGGAAAAUCAUGAAUUCAAUAGAUACAUGAACGGAAAAGUUUAAGAAAUUCAUGAAUCCAAAAGAGAUACGUGAAUAGAAAAGACGUAUCUUAAUUUAUUGCCAUUCGUUGAUCCAUUAACCAUAAUUAUAACCAUAAUUAUAACAAUCCCACACAUUAAUGGAUCAACAAAACAUUUUUGACUCGAAGGAAUCUGAGCAUACCUGUUGAAAUACACUGCAUCAAGAUAGGUAGCUUUCGCCUUGAACCUUCUUUAGUGAAAGCCUAUCGGACUUACUUAACUAGUCCAUGGACGAAGUCUUGAAUUGCCAGUUAUUUGUAUAAGCCUAGACAAUAAAUCUCACACAGAGUAUUUCCAAUUCAAGAUUGGUUCUCGGUUGUGUUCGUUCUUUCGGCCCUGAACCUCUCGAGAUUCAUUCGUGCUUUAGAAAAUCUAGCCUUUAAAGAUUUUCAUAGAGUCGGCCAGCUCCACGCAUAUAGGUGCAUUCCUAUUAAAGAUAUCCUACCAUAUCUUACUUGGAUGUUACAUUCCAAGUUAUAGGAAUCAUUAAACGCAUAGUGUACCCUUAAUAACGUUGUAGGAAAGCACUGUUGCAUUAUAAGAAUGGGAGACAAUGCUUACACUAGAGUUUCCAAAAUUUGAGUUGUCCUAUUGAACCUAGACCAUGGGAUCUCCAAUCGCAUAGGUUAGGUUUCCACGUUGGAAUCUCUUUAUUAGGUUAAGGCUCUUAAACCUACUCCCCUCGAUGCGCAGUUUAUCUGCUCUUUUGACAAACCUUUUGUUAGUGGAUCCGCAAUAUUUUCCUUUGACUUUACAAAGUCUAAAGAAAUGAUUCCAUUUGAGAGCAACUGCCUUACGGUAUUGUGUCUACGACGAAUGUGUCGAGAUUUACUGUUAUAAAUCACAUUAUGCACCCCCACCCUUUUAGAAAAUUGUAGGAUGGCAACUCUCCAUUCCAUAACUCGUAUUGAGUUUUAUCUGUCUUUUUGUGGGGGUAUUUAUUAAGAAUAAAAUUUGCAGUUAAAACUGCCUCCCCCUCACAAGUCUGAGGUAAACUUGAACUCAAAAGCAUGGCGUUAGCCAUCUUCUUUAGUGUCUUGUUCAAUCGUUCAGCAACUCCAUUUUGUUGUGGAGUAUAAGGUAUAGUCGUUUGGAAAAUUAUUCCAAAACUAGCACAAAAUUCUUUAAAAUUGAUUGAACUAUAUUCUCCUCCUCUAUCAAACCUAAGCACUUUGAUUUGUUUAUCAAGUUGAUUUUCAACUUCGUUUUUAUAGUUGACAAACAUGCUCAUAGUCUCAUCUUUGCUAAUUAGUAAAUAAACAUAGCAAAAUCUAGUACAGUUUUCCACAAAUGUGAUGAAGUAUUUUCCACCUCUACUUCCUACAAACUUUAAAUCACAUAGAUCACUAUGGAUUAAUUGUAGAGGUUCACUUGUUCUUUCAAUGGAUUUGAAAGGUUUCUUGGUAAACUUGGCCUCAACACAAGUUUCACACUUAUAACGGGCAUCCAACUCAAAUCUUGGAAUUAACCCCAAGUUUGCUCUUCAUUUUACCAUAGUUUACAUGUCCUAAUCUACCAUGCCAUAAAUAAGGAGACACAAUAGUGUAAACUGAAGACUUUUAUUUAUUAAUAGUCUUUGGGUACACAUAAUUCGAAUUUACAUCAAUGACAACCACAUUGGCUUUAAACAGGUCAUUACACAAGUACCAUUUCCGCCGCAUACAUCCCUCAUUUCGAAAGUACAAACUUGUCAGAUUCAAAUACGAAUUUGAAACCCUUCUUGACAAGUAUAGGGCUAGAAAUUAGGUUUUUCCGAAUCUCUGAUACAUGCAGCACAUUCAGCAGGGCGACCUUCUUGCUAGAUAUAAACUUCAAGAUCACAUUUCCUCUUUCGGCAAUCUUUGCUGAUGCAGAGUUAGCCAUAUAAAGCUUCUAAUAUUCUUCAGCCUUCCCAUAAAAUGAGAACAUGUGUUUAUCUGCACAUAUGUGAUUUGUGGCACCUAUAUCUAGCCACUAGCCAUUAGUGUUCGACACUAGAGAUGCUUCGGACAUUACCACAGCAAAUAGUCUCUCAAUAUUGUCAUGUUCUGUCAAAUUCAGUUGCUGGGUUGUAUCAUUGUUCUUGCCUUUUUUCGAGCACUUCUUGCAAUUCUUAGCACGAUGGCCAGGCCUGUUGCAUAUAAAACACGUCCCUUAGAUUUUCUGGAACUACUCCUUCUGCUUGCCUUUUCCUUGAAAAGACAUCUUCCUUUUUCUACCUUGCUUGGAUUUGGAAGAUUCCACAACGUUGGCCUUUGGCUCAGAAGAAGGAUUCGCACUCCUUCUAUUGUUCUCCUCAAUUCUGAGGCGCAAAAUGAGAUAUUCAAGGCUCAUCUCCUUCCGUUUGUGCUUCAAAUAAUUUUUGAAGUCUGACCAGUCCGGAGGUAGUUUCUCAAUCAUAGCCGCCACUUGGAAUGAUUCACUAGGUAUCAUUCCCUCAGCAGAGAUGUCACUCGCAAUUAAUUAUAAUUCUUGAACCUGACUCAUGACAAAUUUAGAAUCCAUCAUCUUGUAGUCCAAGAAUUUGGCAACCACAAAUUUCUUGGUGCCAGCGUCCUCAGUCUUGUAUUUCUUUUCUAAGGACUCCCAUAACUGUUUAGCAGAUUCAAUAUUACAAUAAACAUUAUAAAGAGAAUUCACUAAACAGUUAAGGAUAUAAUUUCGACAUAAGAAGUCCCCAUGCUUCCAAGCCUCCAAUGCACCAAGCGUCGUGACAUCUUGCUCGUUUGGACUAAUUAUUGGGUACACCUUCGAUAAAUAUUUUGUCAGAUUGAGCAUGGUCAGAAAGAAGAACAUCUUCUGCUGCCACUGUUUAAAGCCCACUCCGGUAAAUUUCUCUGAUUUCUCAUUAGCUGUAACUAGAGGCGUUGCCAUCACAGUAGGCAAAGUUCGUUGAACUAUCCCUCUAGAAACGGAGCCAAAAGCCAUUUGGCUUGUACUGUUCUAAAAAACAGUCCUGGGCAUACCAGUUAUAUGACUUGUACCUGCACCACCAAAAUUGGUGUUAGCCUAAGGGCCCGUAGCAUUGGCUGCUACAAAUUCAGACCCUAAGGGUUGAACAUCUUUCAUAGCAACGGUCGAAUUGACCAUAGGAAUGUCUCCUGAAACAUUCGGGACAUUGAAGGGCACUUGGUUGUUUUCAACCAUCUCAAUAAACUGACAAGAACAACAAAUAGUGAGUAAGAUAAUUGCCUUAAGAUUGUUGGAAAAUAAUCCAAAGAAAACACAAACUGUUUGUUGCAAUCAGAACAUGAAAUUGGAGGUAAGGUACGGAUAUCCAAAUCUCCUUAAGACAAUUAGUUCCUGCCAAUGAUGCUCCGCAGAUUCACAAAUUAUGCCUCCCAAGAUACAACACCUCGAAUCUAUUUGGAUUAGCACUAUGCAAACAUGACUCAGUCUAACCGUUCAAUUGAACCAGCACACUUAGAAAAAUCAGAAGGUAGAAAAGUGUAUCAGAGCAUUUUUGGAAUCAAGUCGGAAAAACCAAAAACUAUAAUGAAGCUCUAUGCUCCCAUCUAUUUAUAAAGAUUUUUAGUUCAUGUACAGAAGAGAUACAUGAAUUAAAUAAACGCAUGUAUCCACGAAAUUCAUGAAUCAAGAGAUACAUGAAUUCAAGAGAUUCACAAAUCUAGAGAUACAUGAAUUCAAGAGAUUCACGAAUCUAGAGAUACGUGAAUUCAAGAGAUUUGUGAACUCAAUAAAUACAUGAAUUAAAAUAUACAUGAAUCUAGGAAAUUCAUGAAUUCAAUAGAUACAUAAAUGGAAAAGUUUAAGAAAUUCAUGAAUCCAAAAGAGAUACGUGAAUAGAAAAGACGUAUCUUAAUUUAUUGCCAUUCGUUGAUCCAUUAACCAUAAUUAUAACCAGAAUUAUAACAAAAACAUAUAUGAAGAUUAAUAGAAGAUUGCAAGAAAAAAAAAUGUAAAUUGUGAGAAAAGAAAAUUGAUAUAAUGAAACUGUAAAUUGUUUAUCUUUUUCCCUUUAUUCUCAAAUUGUGUGCCAUGCCAUAACAUCAGAUUUUCCUUUUAAUAGACCAUGCUAUGCACUUUGUCACGAAACAUAGGCCAACCACACGUUUCCUCUACCCCUAAACAUGACUUACAGCCAUUGAUCAGAUAUUCCACUCUUGAAAUUAAGGACAACUGACUCGAGCCGAAAUGCACGUUCAACAAUAGUACGAAAUGCCCUUCUACAGCUGAUUUUGGGUCCACGAUCCCUAUUCGUACCCAAAUGGUCCAAAAUUACUUAAAGCCGCCAAACAUAAAAAUAUACUCGAUGUUUGCAAAAAAUAAUUCAUUUUCCAGAGCCUCUAUAGGGACAUCCAAUAAAAUUCAUUUUCCAGAAAAAAUUAUAUUUUUCCAAAUAUCGAUCGUGUCAGUAUAUUCUCUUCAAUAAUCGUACCAUACCUUUCAAAAGCUAUGGAUCAAAAUUGUCAACAACAAAUAUUUAUUUGACCGGAUCAUAGAGAAUUUUUGGAUGUCUAGAAAAUCAUUUUUCCAUUAGGGAGAAUUGUCCAAAAAGUCCUAAACCUAUUGCAGUUUUGCCAAUUUAGUCCUAAACCUUUUAAUCUUGCCGAUUGAGUCCUAAACCUUUUGUUAGUUUGCCAAUUGAGUCCAUCCAGCCAAUUUUGGCCGGAAAAUGCUGACGUGGACACCGGCAGUGCCACGUAUGACUGUCGGCGCUGACGUGGACAAUUUUUAAUAACAUUUUAAAAUUUUAAUUUUUUUUUAAUAUUUUCUGUUUUUUCCCUCUUUUUUUUUUUUUUUUUUUUUGGCUUUUCCCUUGCCCUUUUCCGGUGGCCGAUGGCCGAGCGACGGCGAUGCCAGGCGAGGCCAGCCCUGGCCCCGGCAAGGGCCGGCCUCGCCAGUUCAAGCAAGCCCUCGCCCAGGCGAGCAUCGGCCUCGCCGAGGCCAGGGCUGGCCUCGCCCGACCGGGCCUCGCUGGGGCUCACCCUCGCCCAGGCGAGCGUCGGCCUGUAGCCGGUGGCCAGCCGUCGCCUGCCUGGCCAGGGGCGAGGCCGACGCUCACCUGGGCGAGGGCGAGCCUCGGUAAGGGCUCCCCUCGCCCGGCGUUGCCGUCACCGUCGCCCCGCCGGGCCUCGCCUGUGAUGGGCGAGGCCAGCGGGCUGGCUGUAGCUGGUGGCUGGCCGUCACCUGAGGCUGGUGGCCGGCCACUGGAAAAGGACAAGGGAAAAGAAAAAAAAAAACAGAAAAAACAGAAAAUAUUUAAAAAAUCAAAAAAAAUUUAAAAAUUUAAAAAUAUUAUUAAAAAUUGUCUACGUCAGCGUCGACAGUCCUACGUGGCACCGUCGGCGUCCAUGUCAGCAUUUUCCGGCCAAAAUUGACCGGAUGGACUCAAUUGGCAAACUGACAAAAGGUUUAGGACUCAAUCGGCAAGAUUGAAAGGUUUAGGACUAAAUUGGCAAAACUGCAAUAGGUUUAGGACUUUUUGGACAAUUCUGCCUUUCCAUUAUAUUGGCAAUUUUCUUAAUAUCUGGAAAAUGAAAGAAAAAUUAAAUGCUUUCCAAAAAUUAUGAAAAAUUCACAAUUGUACUAUUUCUUGUGCUGGUUUCAAUUCAAUAGAAAACUUCAAAGUAAGCAAAGCUGCUGUUGUGUUGAAAAUUCCUUGCUGUCAUUAGAGAAGGUCGGGGUUGAAUUUUGUUUAUGUUGCCAAUUUCGCAAUUGAAGUAACGCCUUCUAUUUGAAAUCACAUGCAUUUUUCACUUUUACUGUAGCCACCGACUAUUCUAAUUUUUUCUUCCCAUAGGAGUUUACUUUCUUUUUUCCUUUCGAACGUGGCGUUCUGCAGUUGGAAAACGUAAAUGUGGGGGAGAAGAGUUUAGGUGACUUCUAACCCUUUCUCAUCACUGAUCGUCUUCCAUUAUUAUAAACUUCAUUUUUCAUUGGCUUACUGAUUUUUCAAGAGGUAAAUGAUAUGCCAACAUUGACUUGGAAAAGAACUUGAGGAAGGUAGACAAAUAUUUUAUAUAUCUAUCUUAACGUUGAUUCGUUAUGCUCAAUUGGUGUCAUCUAAAAAAUUACGACUCUAUUCUACGAACAAUAUAUCAAUCAAUUUUAUUUUAUUUUAAUUCAGGAGUUUGAAGUAAAAUAGCUUGCUGAUAUCAUAUCAGUUUUUAAGAAAUUCUUUUACAUGGAAUCAUUGCCAUGCGGGAGUGGGGUGGAAAAUUAUCCAAUAAGUCCUAAACUUAUUAUACAAAUUGAAUAUUUCAAUUUUUUCAAUUUAAAUUUAUAUGUUUGCGUGAAAUUCCAAUGUAAUCAUUCUGGUCAAUUUUUGCUGAAAAUUGCUAACUUGAUGGUCCAAUCAUUGCUAGUCAUACAUCGUCACGUAUGCAAUUUUUGAUAAAAGUUAAUUGGAAGGACUACAUUUGAAUUUGCAAAGAUUAAGGAUUAAAUUAGGAAAAUUAGAAAAUUUAUGACUAAAUUGCCAUACAUAUAAUAUGUUUAGGAUUGAUUGAACUAUUUUUCCAUAAAAGAGAAAUACCAAUGACUAUUUAUUCAUCUCCACCUCGCACUGCCAACUUCAUUAAUAAUAUGACAGUUUCAAACAAAAUUAAAAUAUAAUAUCACAUUCAUAAUCACCAGCUAGGUCCUCUUUUCACGUCUCCCACACAUUUCCAAUUUCGUUUCAACUCAAUGAUCAGCUUUUGAUUGAUUUAAAUUCUGAUUUUCAAUAACCAAAUGAAAACCGAACCUAUGCUUAUGUUUUUAAGGGAAUGCAAUUUGCAUGUACAUAGAUUUUAGUAUUUUAUAGCCCAAUUAAGAAAUUAAUGUACACGUUAUUCCUGAGUGAGAACCACGCUAAAGAGUUUGACUUGACUAGAGGGUGAGGUCCAAAAGAAGUUAAGGCAAGGACUAGAAUUAUCUGCAGCUCUUCCUAGUCAAUAAUUACUAAUUAAUUAAAUAUUUCAUGUUAAUCUUUUCUUGCUUGCCAAAAGAUACCGUGUUUAUAUUUGUCCUUAGAGACUAGUUAUCAAUCCUUUUACGCAGCAGGAAAGCAUCACUUAUUUCACCUUUUCCCCUCAGAUUGUCAUGGACAAAGGGCAGGGUCAGAGAAAGAGAGAGAAUGCAGAAAAAGAUCGCAUUGGGAUAGAAUCCGCUCCUUCCUUCAUCUCCCCUAUAUUCACGGGAGGAGGUAGAGAUCAACAUGACAUAUUUUUUAGCUUUAGAGGCUCAGAUACACGAAAAGGAUUUACCGAUCACCUCUAUCACGGACUAGUUAAUGUAGGGAUCGUACCGAUUUUCGUGUUUAGGGAUGAUAAAAGCAUUCCAAUUGGUGAGGAAUUUGGCUCAAAGAUUCUUGAUGCAAUCAAACAAUCUAAGAUUUCAAUCCCCAUCAUCUCAGAGAAUUAUGCUUCGAGCAAAUGGUGCCUCCGUGAGCUCAUUCAAAUCAUGGAUUGCAAGAAGAGCACGUCACACGUAGUGUUGCCCAUUUUCUACAAAGUGACUCCAUCAGAUGUGUGGUAUCUAAAACAAAAUUUUGGGAAGGCCUUCCAUUCGCGCAAGGAGCAUUUUGAUGCAAAGGAAAUUGGGGAAGGCCAGCGAGCACUUACAGAAGUGAGUUACUUAAAUGGAUGGGAAUCUUGAGAAAUUUGCCAAUGGGUACUGCACUUUCCCGAAUUUUUUUCUUUUAUACUUAAGUUUUCUUAUUUCACGCAAAAGUGAUGAAAUGUGGAUGAACUACUUUCACUACAAGCUCACAAAAGAUCGCCAGGAUAUCCAAUGAACACCCAUAAUACCCUAAAGACAACAAAAGCUAGUACUCCCCAAUGUGUCCCCUAAGAACCAAACCAAUAACACCUAAAACCGAAGUAUCCCAUAGUGCCUAAGAAUUUUACAAAUGUCUCCGGUACAAAAAGGACGACCCCUCUAGCCAAUAGUAUCAAUUGCUAAACAACAUGCCUAGAAAGGACUCCAAUGCUCAGUCUUCCGAAGCUUGAUCACCCCCAGAUAAAAUAGACCUCCUUAUGCCAACGGAACUUGGCUCAAUUGAAGAAUCAGACACUUUAAAUUUACCAUGUUUAGGUUUGAUUUCCGCUGCUGUUAACCCUUCAUUAGCAAGCGAUCUACAAGUUAAUCAAUGUAGGCAUAUGGAAUGCCCUGGCUGUGGAUUAGGGUCCCUUCCUCUGAAACUUUUUUUAACCACCCAAAAAGAGAGAGAGAGAGAGAGAGAGAGAGAGAGAGAGAGAGAGAGAGAGAGAGAGAGAGAGAGAGAGAGAGAGAGAGAGAGAGAGAGAGAGAGAGAGAGAGAGGGAGGGAGAGAGAGAAGAAUCGACCUCCUAAAUUUCAAUUAACAGCAACCUUAAGCCUUAUAACAAAUAUUAUACUUCUAAAGACUCUUAAUGAGCCAGGUGCACCAAAUCGACCUCCUAAAUUUCAAUUAACAGCAACCUUAAGCCUUAUAACAAAUAUUAUACUUCUAAAGACUCUUAAUGAGCCAGGUGCACCAUUUUUUUUUCUAUUUCAACAAGAUCUAUCAACUGGCAGAAAAGGAUGGGAAAAAAAAAUGAAAUGACUGCUACACCUUCAUCAUUCAUUGUCAUUUAUAAAACCAGUACAUCUUGCAUGUUGAUUGGCGCCAUUCAUCUUGGAAAAGUUUUACGUGUCUUUUGAUGAGAUUAAGUGUAACCACAAAGUUAUCAGGAUUUUGUUGUAUGACAGGCAUGAAGGAGAACUAGUAGAAAAAGUUAUCACAACUAUUUUGAGCAAGUUGCGACAUGAUUUUCAACUUGAUGUUACUAAGCACCUAGUUGAAAUUGGUGAUCAUUUGAACAAAAUCAGGAAUUGGGUAGAUGCUCCUGCCAAUGUUGCUCGAAUGAUUGGAAUCUAUGGUAUGGGUGGGAUCGGUAAAACGACUCUUGCCAAGGUUAUCUACAACGAGUUGUCAAAUAAAUUUGUGCAUUGUAGCUUUCUUCCAGAUGUUCGAGAAACAGCUCAUUGCAAUGGUAUUCCUUAUCUACAAAAUCAACUAAUUAAGGAAAUACUGCAAAUUGAACAUCAAGUUUGGAAAGUUGAUGAUGGAAUUAGUUUGAUCAAAUCUAGAUUCAAAGGAAGAAAGGUUCUCCUACUUUUGGAUGAUAUAGAUCAUAAAGAUCAAUUAAAUGCUUUGGCUAAAGAACGUGACUGGUUUAGUCAGGGAAGUAUCAUCAUUGUUACAACUAGAAAUAAAGCUAUUCUUGAUCAAUCUGAAUUUGAGGUUGACUUCAAGUAUGAAUUGAAUGAUAUAGCCGAGAUGCAUUCUUUGCAUUUAUUUAAUAAACAUGCAUUCCGUAUGAACCAUUCUUCGAAGGAUUCUGAGGGUAUCUCUCGUGAUAUAAUUUCAACUAUGGGGUGGGGCUUCCCUUGGCUUGGAGGUUAUAGGUUCAUACUUGUAUGGAAAAACAAAUAGAAAAGUAUGGCAAGAUAUGCUUGAAAAAUUAAGAAAAGAACCCGAUAGAGAUGUCCAAAAGAUAUUAAAAAUAAGUUUUGAUGCUUUAGAGCAAGGACAUAAGGAGAUUUUUCUCGAUAUUGCUUGUUUCUUUAUCGGUGAAGAGAGCAAAUUUGCCAUGUACAUGUGGGAAGACUCUGGAUUUUAUGCAAGUCAAGGAAUUGAAGAGCUGAAAUUGAGGUGCUUAAUAAAAAUUGCAAAUGAUGGUAAGUUAAGGAUGCAUGAUCAACUGAGAGAUCUCGGAAGGAAUAUUAUUUGCCAAGAAGGACUGCCUGAGAGACGUAGUAGAUUGUGGGACUGUGAGGAAGCCUCUAGAGCACUAACGGGAGGAAAGGUAACGAAUGACCCUCCUUUUUUCUUUCCCUCUCCCUCAUAUUUUCAUAUAUUUAAUCAGAUCUAUUUAAUCUUUUGUCUAGUAUGGACAGACGUAUCUGCUUUUGAAUAAAAAGGUCCAUUCAUAAUUCACGUCCAUCAUAGAGUAAUGGUGACAACUAAAUGUAUCACAAAUACUCCAGGGAUAAAAAGCUAUAUUAUCUCACGAUGAUGGCCAAGUAGAAUAUCUCUAAAUAUUCAAAUUCAAUGACCUGAGUUAUGCAUGUCAAGAAUAUAAUUUAUAACAAAUUUCAAAUCACUUAACUAAUGAUUCUACACUAAAAUCCUCGUUUACUAAAAAAGUGUAAUUUUCAUAUUGGUUGGUAAUAUGAAAGACUUCAAUAAUAAAUAGACAUGAAGUAUAUGCAUGAGAUAUCAAAUUAAUGAAGGGCUCUUGGUCUAUAAUAAUAAGAGAUACUGGGUGCCAAUUAUAAUAAUUAACAAUCAAACAAAAGGUGUCAAAUUCACACGUAUCAAAAGUGCUUGCUUUCUAUGACGGCCGUAUUUAUUUCGGUGCUCCUUUGUUUUGGGAAACCAAUAUUUGAUAUAAUAUCUCUCCUCUUUGAUUUUGAAGACAACUAUUCCUCCCUCUACUAGUUACAUCUAUAUUAUCUCACUCUUCUUUCCUCUUAAUAGAUGUGAUAGUGAAAUCCCGUCAAGAAUUAAAUUUAGAAAAUCUUAGUGUAGCUGUUAAAGUUGUGUUUGGUUGACCUUGUUCAUCCCAUGGAUUAGGUUAAGUAAAUGAUAGAGUGAGUUUUCUCAUCUCUCUUUUUUUGUUUCUUUCAUUGCUAUUGCCUUGUCCUUUUCGCUUUUCUUAAUUCACCAAUUUUUUUUACUCCAACCCUACCCCAUAUCCUACACCCAACUUUUGCCUUUCCACCCUCGUCACUCACCUGACGUUACACAGCGUCACACCCCCCCCCCCCCCCCCUUUCUCUCUCUCUCCCCUCCCCUUGUCCUCUCUCUACAGAGGUCCUCAAUCGUGAUCGGGCAUACUCUGGACCAAAUUUGAGGCGGGGACGGCAGGGGGACCAAGUUAAUGAACCAAAACACUUGUUAGGAAAGUAUACCCAUGCUAAAAAUGAACGCCAACAAUUGACAUUAAGAUACCUCUAGAGAACUUAUUAGGAAAGCAUCCCGAUCAACUAAACGUUUGGGGUAAAAACAUAAGUACAAUUAUUGAAGUCAAUCAAAGCUGUAUGGGAUUUUUUCAGUAUCGUCUACUAACUAAAUGAUCUGUUUCAAAAGGAAAGUCAAAGAAGAGUUUUUGACUUAUAAGAUGCAAAGCGAAAUGGUGCCGAUAUUAUGCAAACAGACAUAUGCAAAACAUUUAGGUCCGUUUGUCUUAGAUUUUUCAAGUCAAAAUUUUAAAAAAAUUGUUUAAAUUUCAAAAGAUUAUCAAAAAAUUAAAUGGGAUUUUAUGUGUCAACAUUCAUAUACGACAUGGUUAGAAAAAUGAAAAAUUGCAUUGUCCACAGUUUAAAAAAGAAAAAAGAAAAAAGAAAUAGCCAAUCCAGAUAUUCAUUCGAUUGAUUUUAUCAUAGGGAACUGAAAGGAUCCAGGCAAUUUGUCUUCGCAAAGACUAUCGCCAUUUCCAGACAUACAAGAAUGAACAGUUUAAAAGGCUACAUGGCUUAAGGUUCCUUCAAUUGAGGUCGGUGGCUUUAAGUGGAGACUUUAACAAUCUGUUUUCUGAAUUGAGAUGGCUUUGCUGGGAUGACGUUAAAAAGAAGAAAUGGUUGUCCAUAUUUAACAAACAAUCUUUUCCGGCAACCAAUUUGCGUCUGCCGAAAUUAGUGGUGCUAGAGUUGAAAGAUUGCUGGAUCACAGAACAAUGGAGAGGAUGGGGUUCAAUUAUGGUAAGAUGGAGAAAAGACAUCACCUGUGAUUUUUGUUUGUUUUGUUUUGUCAAUCAACUCAUUAUUUUCUUUUGUAUAGGUGGCAAAACGGCUGAAGAUUCUCAAUCUUGAAUAUUGUGUUAAUAUAAGAUGUACUCCUGAUCUCUCAGCUUUCACAGAGUUUUUUUUUUUUUUUUUGGUCAGUUAGCUUUCACAGAGUUAAAAGUUCUCAUAUUGAGACAUUGUUACAACCUGAAGCAAGUCCACCCUUCUAUUGGCAAGGUCAAGAGCCUCGUUUCUUUGGACUUGUGUAACUGUUACCGUCUCAAGCAGUUGCCAAAGGAAGUGGGUCAAUUAAAAGAACUUAAGGAACUUAAUAUACAUUGGACUGGUAUUACAAAGGUCCCUACGGCUAUCAGUUCUUUGAGAAAGCUGGAGAAAUUAACUGUCACACUUUGUUGGCAUGUGGGAGAAAUUCCUAGCUCAAUGGGAGAAAUUCCUAGCUCAAUUGGAAACAUUUCUUCUCUCCAACACCUCGAACUAAAUCUUUUUCCGACAUUGAAAGUAAUCCCCAGCUCAAUUGGGGAUUUACAGAAUUUGCAGUAUCUAAACAUGAAUUAUUCUGGGAUUGAAAAUUUACCCGGUGCUAUUGGAAGGUUGAAAAAACUGCGGAGUCUACUUCUUGCAAACUGUGGUAGUUUGAAAGGGGUUCCAAAUGAAAUCGGUGACUUGUCUUCCCUUGAGAUUAUUAAAAUCACUAACACGCCGAUAUCUAACCUACCAGAAAGCAUCCAGAAUCUUUCUUAUCUCCAAAACCUUAGCCUAAGGGGCCGUUUCAAGCUCCGGUCGCUGCCGGAGCUUCCAUCCAACUUAACAUAUCUGGACGUCUCUUGUCGGAGUCCUAGGUUGACUCAGCUUUCUUGCCUAAUCCACUUGGAAGUACUUGAUCUUUUUAGAUGUGAUCUACUUGAAGACAUCCAAGAACUUUCACAAUUAAAUUGUCUAAAAAUGUUUUCAAUGGAAAAGUGCAAUUCCAUUAAAAGAUUAGACCUUUCACAAUUAAAUUAUCUGAAACAAUCAUCCAUUAAAUAUUGUGAUAAUUUAGUUGAAAUUCAGGGCCUUGAUAAUUUGGAGUUCUUGGAAGAGAUACAUAUAGUACAUUGCAAGUCAGUUGAAAGGCUGAUCCUUGUACAAAUAUGGUGUUUGAAGAAAUUUACAGCUAGUGGUUGCGACAAUCUAGUCGAAAUUCGAGGUCUUGAUGGGACGGAGUUCUUAGAAACAUUGGAUCUAUGUUGUUGUAAGUCCAUUGAAAGAUUACCUGACCUAUCAUGCUUUGGGACCUUGAAAGAAUUGAACAUUAAUGACUGUCGCAAUCUAUGUGAUGUUGAGAGUCUCGAGAGCUUUUUGUCUUGCCGAAGCAUAUACAUAACGGGGUGCAUAUCAUUAGAAAAACUACCAAACCUGUCAAAAUUUGAAAAUUUAGAGAAUUUCACAUUGAAGUAUUCGUUUCAUAUUACAGACAUUCCUGGGAUUAAGGAAUCAAGAUCUCUAACACACAUAGAUAUCAGAGGAUGUGUAUCAAUGCAGACUUUGCCAGAUUUGUCAGGAUGCAAGAAGUUAGAACGUCUAGUGGUACGAGACUGCAAGAAACUUACUCAACUUUGGGGAUUGGAAAAGUUGGAUAUUAUUUAUUUGGAUAUUUCUGGGUGCGACUCAUUGCAAACAAUACCGAUGUUAGCUAAUACACACAUCAUGAGAAAUUAUGAAAGUCAGCCAUAUGUGCAGGACUAUCGAAAUAUUAUAUUGCAGUGAUAAUGAUAUGAUAGAUCUUAUACCCAUAUUACAAUAAUGAGACCAGCCACGUUUCCUUAACAAAGGUAAAUAAGCCAUAAAAUACCAUUUUUCUUCUGAGAUUCAUGACUUAUUUUUCAUCACUAUUUUCUUUUGACAAGAAGGUUUUCCUUGACAGGGUUCUAUACUUUCCUGAACUCCUAGUCUUACAUAGUUGAAGGAGUCAUGACGGUGGUUGAAGAAGCUGACUUGAUGCUUCAGCCAAGAUCAAAAUGUAGACCCAAAAGUGUCUACAUACAAUAGAAGGCAUUUGUCACUAGUAAGAUUCUUCAUCCUAUAGCCAGCGUGAGUGAAUAGUAUUAAAAUAUAUCUCGAGUUUGAACUUGUAGAAUAAAAUUCAGUUUCAAUAAAGUGAAGUACACGGGCUCUUCUUGAUCAUAAAACAAAAUUAAAUGGAGAGGGGCACACAAAUUAUAUGUCCGUGUUAGUGCAGUCGGCCAAGGAAAGGAUAAAAUAGGAAUGUUAAAAAUUUGGUUUUGGUUGACCGAAUAUGACUCCGACUUUGUUUCCUAUUUGAUGCAGCAACCUUCACUAUGGAAAUUUGCACUUUCGCUGGCAAUGGUAUAUAUGAUAUUUUGUUUAGCUUAGGAGUUUUUUUUUUUUUUGGACAAAGAGUCUUGAUAAGCCGUUGUUGAUAGAUACGUGAAGUGCUUCUUGAAAUGCUGUGUUUUUAAGCGAGCGUUUGGUGUGGAUUAUUUUCAUGGGUUUGUACCAGACCGAAGCUAAUCCACACUUCUAUUGGCAAAGUCAAGAGACUUGUUUACUUGGACUUGAGAUGGUGUUGUUGUCUCAAGAAGCUGCUAGAGCAAGUGGGCAAAUUAGAAGAACUAAAAGAACUUAAUGUAGGUUGGACUCGAAUUAAAAAGCUUUCAAUGUCAAUUAGUUCUCUAAGGAAGCUGGAGAAGGUCAAAGCCCAAGUUUGUCCCAAUUUGGGAUAUCCCUAGCUCAAUUGGGAAUCUUUUCUUCUCUCCUGCACCUUAAUCUAGAAGUUUGUCAGUCUUUGAGAAUAAUCCCUAGCUCAAUUGGGGAUUUAUAGAAUUUACAAGAUUUGAACAUGAAUUAUUUUGCAAUUGAAAAGUUAUCCAUUGCUAUUGGGAGGUUGACAAAAUUGUGGAGUCUACUUCUCACAAAUUGCGGUAGUCUGGAAGGGGAUCCAAAUGAAAUUGGUGACUUGUCUUCGCCCGAGAUUCUCCAAAUCACUAAUGCACGAAUGUCUAACCUACUGGAAAGCAUCCGAGAUCUUUCUUUUCUCAAAAUGCUUGACUUAAAAGGCUGUGACAACCUCCGGAUGUUAGCAGAGCUUCCUUUCGACUUAAAAUAUCUUACACUUUAUGGUUAGAGUCCCAAAUUGCCACAGCUUUCUUGCCUAAUCAAUUUGGAAGUACUUGAUCUUUUUAGAUGCAAUCUACUUGAAUACAUUCCAGAGCUUACCUCAAGACCCUCAAAACAUUAUGUUGCCUCCUCUCCCAAGCUAAUAUUGCCUAAGCUUGAUGGAUUUGGGUACUUGAAAAAGUUUUCAAUAGGAGAGUGUGGUUCCGUUAAAAGAUUGGACAUUUCACAAUUAAAUCGGCUGGAACGAUUAUAUGUUGAAUGUUGCCGUAACCUAGUUGAAAUUCAGAGCCUUGAUAAUUUAGAGUUCUUGGAGGAGAUACAUAUAUUACACUGCAAUUCCAUUGAAAGGCUAAUCCUUUCAGAAGUACGGUGUUUCAAGAAAUUAACAGCUAGUUGUUGUGACAAUCUAGUCGAAAUUCGAGGUCUUGAUAGAUCGAAGUUCUUAGAGGCAUUGUAUAUAUGUUGUUGUGGGUCCAUUGAAAGAUUACUUGACCUAUCAUGCUUUACGACCAUAAGAGUUGAGGAUCAAUGGUUGCUGCAAUGUACAUAGUGUCAAGAGCCUCGAGAGAUUCUUGUCUUGCAAAAACAUAUACAUAGAUGAGUGCUAAUUCCUAGGAAGACUACCAAACCUGUCGAAAAUUCAAAAUUUAAACAAAUUCACGUUGAAGUAUUUUCUCUGUGUCACGGAGAUUGCUGGGGUUGAGGAAUCAAGAUCUCUAAGGGACAUGAAUAUCACAGGAUGAAUGAAUGGAGAUGUUGCCAGAUUUUGGCCUAUGAGAAGUUACGAUCUCUAGUGUUACGAGACUGCAGGAAACUCAACUUCGGGGACUUGAAAACUUGGAUUUGAUUUAUUUGGAUAUUUCUGGGUGCGACUCAUUGGAGACGAUACCAAAGCUUCCCGGAACACGUGUCUUUAGAAAUUACGAAAGUAAUGUGGGAAUAUCAUAUUCUGUCGUUCUCUGAAUUUAUAGUCUUACAUAAUUGGAGGAGUGGAACAAUUGGUCAUAGAAGCUGACAUGAUGCUUCAGCCAAGAUCAAGAUGUAAACCAAAAUGUGGAUCUACGUACGAUAGAAGGCAUUGGUCAUCUCGUAAACUGUUCACCCUAGGGCCAGAGCAAGCAAAUAGAGUGAUACUUUUGCUCCCGACUGAGGGUCUAGUUGCUUGAUUUUAGAAACUCCGGAUUUUGUACUUGCUGUUGACUGCACCAUGGCAUUAUCUCUUCAUAUAUCCUUCCUUGGGCAGCUUUUGCAGAUUGCGAACAGAUUCGCGGCUUCUAAGGCAAUGAAUGAAAUUGUCAACCUCGGUAACCUAGUGAUUUAACGGUUUCCCUCUCCUAAAACCAAGGAUUGAAUUUUUCAUCUAAAGGCAAAAUGAUCUUGUGCUACUAAAUAUUGCAAACUGCGCCCAAAAACCAUUUUUCCCUCCGUCUGAGAUUAAUAUUUUCUUUGGAAAAGUCCUUGGCCGUUUUGGACUCCGUUGUGAGUUUUUUCUUGUCAAAUUAGACUAAUGGAAUAUAUUCUGCUUAGAGGAAACACCUUCUAAUUUUCUGUGAUGUAUGAUUGUUGAUCAGCUUUUUAUUACCAGUGGUUGAACUGUUGUUUUAAAAGAUUAUCAAGCAACGUAAACUUGUGCUGCUUUUGUGCCAGGUCUGGUUGGUCUAUGUAAUGAUCAAGGAUUACUUUUGGACUUCGAUUCAAAGAGCCAUAUAGAUGACAUUUUGCACAAUUGGGACAAUUUUUGCCUGCUCUGUGAAACAAGUUGGGUCGAGAGGCUCAAGAAUUGGCUAAUUAGUUUUCAUCCUCUCUAAUCCUAUUGUUGACAUGGAAUUGUUUUAUCAAAUGAUUGAUCUAGGUCUGGCUAACUUGUCUAAGAAGCUUCAAAUUCCAUACCAGAGACCGAUCAAAAUGAAGAGGAGGGAUUUUUUAGAGGAAGCAUCAACAACAACUCAGGGCCAUUUGCCGUGCCAACCUUGAAGAGGCUAGUGUGCCAGCUGGAGUGCGAAGAUGUGAUAUGGUCUAUACCCAAAUGACUGACUUGAGUGUUUUCAAUUGAAUCUGCUUCAUGUAUGCUCAUUAGGUUCUACCUCUCUGUUAAUCAAAUACGUACCUGUUGAUAUCCUUGUAUGUUAUCCUGAUGCAGAGUUGCUUGAUGCAGUUGCAUUCUACCAUAUUACUCCCGAACUUGAUGAAGCUCUGCAGAGGGAGGUAUGGAUAACCAGUAAUGCCAUAACUAUGAAUGAAAAACUUAUGUGCUUAUACUAUAUGAGCUGUGAAAUUUCACCUGAAAACCUAUAUACAAGGGUGCAUGAUGACAAUCUCCUCCCUUUUCUAUCAAUUUAUUGGUGUGACAAUAUCCUCCAAACGUUGUCAGAUAGGUUUCUAAUCGAAAAGCUCAGUCUCAUGUUUGCAGUGUUGAAUUUGUGAAGUCCAAUUCGUCUCCUAGCACACUAUACUGAAUUGCUGAUUUUACUAAUUGGAUAUUGGGGAACAACCGAGUACAUGUUCAUCUUUAUGGUCUGGAGUUUAGGCACAUCACCUUUUCAGCAUAAUUCUAUUAACACCAGUUUCGUUCCAAAACACAAGUAAGGAAAGUGUUGCUAAUUGCUUACACAAGUCUGUCGUGCUCCUCUUCAUCGGCCAGUUAAUCAAGUCUUUGCUAACUGCGGUCCAACUGUGAACUAAUUAGAGACACCUGGAAUCUGUGGCAAGACAUGUCCCCAAAUUUUGGUCUUGGAGCAAACGAUGUUUAUGCAUUAGUACCUCAUCUUUCAUGGGGUAAAUUGUGAUGCUAUGAUAUCGAAUGUCUUCAUGUAUUGAUAAUUAGUUAAUCCGAUACUUCUUGUGUAGAUUUAAUCUGUUUCCAUGAAAUUGGGAGAAAGUUCCCAAAUGCCACGAGAUGGCAAUGCAGAUAGUAAUGAGUUUUUGUCAUGAGACAUUAUGGAAAGGCGUUCCAGAGUUCUUUGCCAUUGGCGUUUAUCAUGUGCUCUGGGUUGUUAAAACUCUUCAUAGGAUUCUUGAUAUCAAGUGGGUGUAGUAGUCCUUUGCAAAGCUUUGAUAUCGUGCUAUUCUUUAGCAAAGGCUGAAUCUCAAAAGUGCUUGUGUAGGUGGUUCUGUGUGUGAAGUUUAGGUAUGAAAUCAAAUUUGUUAACAAGAUCACCGCUAAGAUGUCCUCUUCAAGCUACAAUCUUGUCACUGGAAGAGAAACUAUUUUCGUGAAAACAGCGAACGUCAUGGAAUCAGCAAAAAAUCUGUCUAGUGCAGCCAAGAGUUUCGAUGAAAAGGUUUCCCAAAAGACAGUAUUCUCUCUUUUGAAAGAAUUUCUAACCCAAAAAUGAAAGUUUAAGUGUACAAUUGUCUCUCUGAUAUGAGUACGUCAAAAAAUUCAUGUCUUGGCAAUUUGCAAUGACACCAAUUGUGUAAUCUCAAACUUGAUCAUUUAAGCACGAAUCAUAAAGUAGAAGAGACGCAACCAUAUAUUUUUACAAAAGAACCAAUUAUAAUUUUUGGAUGGAAUUUUUUUUUUUUUUUGAAAAGGUGUCAUUUAAUUGGUUAAUACUCCGACUCUAUUAGGCCAAAUUGUGGUCACAGGUUUAUUGGUUGAGUCUACUCUCAUGCAGAGGAAGCCAAAUGAAUUGCAAGCCCAAGGACUUGAGCGCAUAAUAUGUCCUAUGGACAAAUAGGAGUUUUCACUAUUUUUAUGUGAUAGCUGCAAAGGAUAUUAGUUUUUUUUUUUUUUUAAUUUUUUGGUAAAGGUACGAACUAUAUUGAUUUUGCCAAAAGAAUACAAGGAAGGAUAACCGGCACCAUACAGGACAAACACUCAGGAAGACAGUCGUCAAAGAGAGUGUAAGGGUGCCAUGGGAUCCCAAGGAAAGAAAGAACUACCAAAAGAACAAGACAAGAAAGAAAAAACUAACAAACAAACACUAGAAAGAACCUCCAUUAAUCAAAGAUAAAUGGAUGUAGGUCCCAGCUCCGUAGUAGCCUUCUAUUCUUGUGGUUGUCUGGAACACGUUUAAAGGUCAACGCCUUAUCUUUAAUAGCCUUUUGAAGGUGCAUCUUCAUCGCCGGGAUAAAGAGGGCCUAAUUGUGAAAUAACAUAUUAUUGUGCUCUUUCCAAAUAAUAUAACAAAGAGCGCCAAAGCUGAAGCGAGCCAUAGAUUCGAAGAAGCUAUCAUCUGCAAAUAUCCUGGUUGCCCAUGCAAGAUUAUCCAUCCAAGGCUUGUUUCGCCAAUAUAGGUUGAAUUUGGCCGCCCAAAAGGAAAUGAGAUUACUUGAAACUCGAUAGGCAAAAAAUAAGUGGUUCACAGAAUCUGGUCUACAUAAACAAAAGGGCCAAUUAGCAUUUGCAAUUCUAGCGUAGGAGAUAAGUAAGACUUGAGUAGGCAGCUGGUUGCGAGUAAUGAGCCACAAAAGUGUCUGAUACCGCGGAGGAAGAGAAGGACUCCAAAUAAAGGAGUACCAAGGGACCGAGUUACCCUUAGGGCGAAUCAACUCCCAAGCCGAGGCUGUAGAGAAACGUCCUGUCGGGUGGCCAAGCCAUUGAAUCUGAUCAUCUUCUUGAUUUAUCACCGGGAGGGGAUCAUCCCAAUUGGCCAUGAUAUUUAUAACGAACCAACCCAUAGGGGUGGUGAAGCCAUCCACCACCGAGGCUAGGUGAGAGAUACCGGUCCGAUAAAUUUGCUGGUUCGAAAAGAUCUUGUACAACGGUCCCUUUUGAUGCCAAAGAUCAAACCAAAAUGAAACCGACUACCAAUUACCAAUGAUCCAUUUAAAAUAUUGUUGGAAGUGACCACGGAGGUCCAAUAACUUUCUCCAAGCCCAUGAACAUUGAGUAGGACGCUGGACAACCCAAAAAUUCUUAUGCUUUAAAAAGUUGGAGUGUAUCCACUUGCACCAAAGAGAUUCCUUAUCAAAAAAGAGAAUCCAAAUGUACUUGAGCAUAGAGGCAGUAUUACUUUCUCGAAGGGUACGAAUACCUAAGCCACCUUCCUUCUUUGGUAAACACACAUCACUCCAAGAUACCUUAGCUCCACCCGGCCCCAUUCUCGGGCCUUUCCAAAGGAAUUGACGCAGAAUUUGCUCAAUACGAUUAAGAAUCGAGCAGGGAAGGACGAAAACAUUAGACCAAAAAACUUGGAUGGAAUGAAGAACUGACCUGAUAAGUUGCAUGCGACCCGCAAGCGAGAGGAAUCCGUGUGUCCAAUAUUGAACUCGAGCAAUAAUUGCAUUGACUAGAGAGACACAGUCUGCCUUUUCCAAUCUAGAAGAGAUAACCGAAACACCAAGGUAGCGAAAUGGUAGAGAUCCCUUAUGAUAACCUAGCCUACUUAAAAUCUCAUCAUUGAGAGUAUGCGAGCCCCCAGAUAGAAAGACUUCACUCUUAUUUGAGACGCAAAGGAUAUUAGUUGAGAUGCAAUGACGAGAAAAAGAGAGAGUAGAAAAAUCUGGUUUGAGGGUAGUAUCUAAUUGAGCUGAAAUUUUGUCGGUUUGUUUGUGGCACAUUUUUCUCGAAUAUGAACGGUUUGAUUUUCAAAUGAAACUCCUUAGAUAAGGUUUUUCGUGAGUUGAACAUCUCUUGUGAAAUUUAUGUGUAUUAUCAAGAAUGAUGUUCUUGAAAUCUUUGUUGCUAUGUUCCUCUACUAUUUAUUAGAUAAGAACUUUGUUCACCUAAUUUUGUUAAUAGUGAAGAAUUUGGGUGGACUCCGGUCUUAUGGUUUUUUAUCUCCUCACGAUAAGGCUUUUCACGUAAAAAUGGUCUUGUACUUGCAUGCUUGGUAUUUAUAUUUCCCAUUAGGUUUGCACAAGAAGUGAAAUUAUUUUGUUCUAUUGCAGCAAUUUGAUAUUGUUCAAGUUGUUAUUGUACUCUCAACAAAAGUCAUGCAUUCAAGUUUCAUUCAAAGUAAUUUUUUUGGGCCACUCUCAGAAAUUCCCCUAUCCCGUACUAGAUUACAUUGGUGGAAUUUUAGUAGUUAAUUCUCGCAAGGUUGAUUCACUGGCUGUCUACUCGGACUAGAUUCAAUUUCUCCGGAGCUCAAGACAAGUCCAAGUUUUGAGACAAGCUCGAAUCUACAAGUACUAAGUCGAUGUAUUGACAGCCAAUUUAUUUCCUUUCUUGCUUAACUAGUGCCUAAGUAUUUGUUUGAAAUUGACAAAGUAAUACUUUCUUUUUUCUUAAUUUACCUUUCUACUUUUAUAUUCGUUUUCAUCUGACGAUCUCCAAAAAAAUUGAAAAAAUAGCAUUUCCAACACUACUUUACCGUCUGGCCAGAAAAAAGAAAAUGGAUAAUUAUGUACACCAAAGGAAAAUUAGGAUCCGUAAGGUAAUUUAGUAACUAACUGAAUAUUGACAAACCAUACGACCCAUAGCAAAAUCACCAUCAUUAGACAGGAUUCGGUCCCAUCUUCCCUUCUCAUCUGGUCACUAGCGAUCAUUCGACUAAUUCUCGCCAUUCUUUAGGUGGCUUUGGGUUGUCCCCAAGCAUUUUGCCAGCGAGCCGAACUCGAGUCAAGAAAACAAUACUCGAUCAAGUUUCGAUUUUUGAGUGCCACGAUCCGAGCCGAAUACACACAUUUGUGCACAUUUUCUGUGGCAAAGAAUGAAGGUUUAGGUAUUCUUCAGCAACGGGUACUCUUUGUCAAUUCUAUUUCUGUCUAUUGGUGAGUCUCAUGUAAAUAUAUUAGUCAGUCCACGCAUAAAUAAAUCAUAUGCUCCAUUCCUUUGCAAAAGGCUAAACAUAUAUGUACGUUGAUCACUUGAUUAGAGAAUCAUACAAUAGCCACCACCCUUCUCCUUUUGGACACUAUAUUUACUAUGAAAUGCAAAUUACAAAUGCAUUAUACAAGUUUCUAUCCACAGAGUGAUGGGGAAACAAGCUAAUCGACGCUUGAAGUUGCCCCAAAAAUGCAAAGAAACAGAUGCGGCUUGGUGGAAUUGAAGAUUCACACACAUGGAGAAAUAGGUUCAAUUCCAGUCCCGUGCUUCAAGCUGCCGUCACCAUUCAUUUCAUCUUAUUAAAGCAGCCAUAAUGUUGCCUAACCAUUUCAUUUAGGCCAAUCCCACCUGUCUCUCCCACCUAAGGUCUUCGGAGAAUUUCGAGAGUGCAGCCCUUGGGUCACCAUCAGAGAUAGACAAGUAGUACUGAGCAGUCCCGUCAUCAACCUGCAUACUCCUCCUAAGCGAGUUGAGUAUUCUCUUCUUCCCUCGUUCAGAGGUCGUCCUCUUCAGCAAAGAACUUAUCUCUAUGUCCCGGACACCUUCUGGGUAAAGCACAGCGACUUCCCUCUUUGCAUGGUUAUCGCGCUCUAUGUAGCAUGUGGAAUCGAUAAGAAUGUCAGGGUUGCUUAUGGGGAUUAACAAUCUCUCCCUCGAAUAUAUACCAUGAUCACUCAUCAUGUUGUUCAAGCGCUUUAUGUCCAUGACCUGACAGAACAAAGAAAUUCUUGAAGCAUGUGACAUGCGGUGUAGACAGGCACAAAAAGGAUAUGCUUGACAGAAACAUUGAAGCAGGGAAGAAAAAAAUUUCAGGGAAGCCAUUCUAAAAGUAAGUCUCUGCCAACAGUUAUCAAAACAGUGAACCCAGAGAGACCUAACUACAUGACAUCAUUAUUGACACUUCAGGGAUUAUUAAGACUACAACCAUGGAAAAUUUCCAUAUAAAGACAUUCAUUUCCUAGUUGCACAAACAAUUUAAGUUCUGCUCUCAGAAUUUGAGGUUCACAUUCAACCAUUUCGAUGAAUCAAUACCACCACUGUAGAAUCAUCUACUAUUUCUAUGUCAAUGUUAUUAAGUCAGAAGAACUAUCAUGAGGAUCACAAAGUGCAUUGCCCAUCAUUUCAUACUGAUCACUUGCAAAAUCUGAGCAUCAUUUAGCCUCGUGUGUUCUGGCAACUAAGAGAUUGUGAUUAUCUAUUAAGAUAAUCAAUAUAUAGUUGUCAAUCAAGCAUAUCUUUUUGCUAUUAGUAACCGGAGAUGCUUCUUGCUCGGCAAACUUAAGAAAACUUUACCACAUGAAGAGAUUUCAUAAUGUUUUACAUGAAGAGGACCCUAUGCUCCCUAAGACAUAACAUUUUUGUCCAAGCCCCAACCUUCCUCCAUACCUCCAGAAGAAACCGCAAUAGUGACUUCCAAGUGUAGCCAUUUCCUUUUCCUUCUUUAUAUUUUAGGCUUCACUAAAAGAUGAAGUGACUCCAAAAUUACAAAAUUCGUAUGUCAAUUAGUCUGGCCUUCUCCAAUGGGAAUAAAUCUAUAAGAUUUGCACUAGUAAAUUCCAUUGAGCAUCUAUCCUACCACGUAUUUGAUACAAUAUAGAGCAACAGAAUAAAAUUAUAACUAACCCCACUCAAUGGGAUAAAUCUGUCAUUAACGUUGAAGUCAUUCAACCGCCAGCCUGCACAAAGAAGCUAUGAACAUCUGAUAUGUACACUGUGUAGCAUCUUGUCAACAUUUUUCUUCUCCUAGUAAAUUCCCCAAGCUAACCUUUAUCAAAGAGGCCAGAACCCAAUCGAAUGGAGGUAUAAAAGAGCCAUGCCCGAAAUUGAACAAAACUAUGUACUUAGACAAUCCUGCACCAAUCAACAGAGCUAUCCAACUUUAGCUGUUGUAAUGGAGGAAUGACAGAAUGCUUCUUCAAGGAGAAAAGCCCCUGCAAAGACCUGAAAAUUGUCACUAGCUGUACAGCAUUCCUCAACCAACAAGUCCUCAGCAUUUUAUCGGGAUUCGCCACUUUAGCAAUCAAACUCAGGAUCACAAAUUCGUAUAUUAUUAAAAGCACCUAACCCAUCCCCACCCAUCCUCUCAGCGCCAAUGAAUAACCAAAUAGACAAUCCAUGCUGCAGAAGAAAACCAGAUGGAUUCCAAGCCAUCAGCAAAGCAAACCCACCAGAAAUUCCAUGAAAAUUCACAAUAAGGCUCCCAGCUUCCGGCCACUUCACUCAAACGGCCCCACCCACGUCUAACGCCAGCUACACAUGACCACAUGCAGAACAAACCUACAUGACUUCCGAAACAUCAGAACGAUACUACCAAGAAACCUUCUUCGUAAAGUUUCAAAAGCUGUGGCCUUACACACCACUUUAGCUAACCUUUAAAUGAAAUCGCAAUCCAUCUGUUCUUCAGAAUCAGCUGAAAGUGAAUCUCCAUCGAAAUGCAACGCCAAAUCAUGUCAUUUGCAAACGUUUAAAGUAUUCUGCAUGAGAAAAUCAUUUCGCUGCCAACAUAAUUCACAGUUUUGCUCACAAUCAAUACAGCAAAAAGGAUUGUUUCGCUGUUUGUGUUUCCUUUUUUCUUAAGUUUUUGGUGCCGAGACCCCUACUAGAUGUUGGUUAAAAGUCGAUAUAUUUUUUACCUUACCAAAAAAAAAUAGAGCAAAAAGGACAGAAACUCCAUUACCUGAACAGAGUACUUCACGGCGAGGCUCGCGACGCUAUCGCCGCGCUUAAUCCGGUGCGAGAUCGCGAACUUCCCCACGCCGUUAUCCCUCCAGAAGCUACCCGAGCUCGGGACGCCGACCACCUCCUUCAACCUCCAGGGGGCCGCGAAGGCUCGGGUGACCAUGUCAUGAUCGGAGGCGACGGAGCUCCAGAUGCGGCAGACGCAGCUCGCGCGGGCCAGGUCCGGGACGGGGAGCUUCUCGAAGAUGAGCCGGAGGGUGUCGCGGCAGGCGAGGGCGGAGAAGUGCGAGUUCAUGGGCGAGAUGGUGGAAUC